UGCUCCUGGGUAAAGUCAAAGCUGACCUAGCUGGGAAGAAUGAAGCCAUUGAGAAGCUUAAAGCUGAACUUGCUAUGCUCCUUGAGAAGAGCAAAGAGGAGCUUGCAGAGAAGCCCUUGCUAAAGCUGAGAAGGAGAUGGCUGCCCAGGCUGAGGACUUCAAAAAGGUCGAGACAGAACUCCUUGACGACGUUGCGGAUGCCUAUGCCGCGGGGUUCGAAGAUGCUCUGUCUCAGGUUGUUUGUGAACACGCAGAGAUGGACACUUCGAACUUUGAUACUGGCAACCAUAUCGUCGAAGGACAGAUCGUGCCGAGGAUCCUUCCCCAAAAUACCACUUAGUUCUUGUUCUCAAAAUUUGUAUUCUUAAUAACCUUUUUUGGAUGUAUCUUGCACUUUAACUUAACUGUUUUGCUCAUUUAUGAUUGCCUUUCUACUUGCCUUUUCGACUAUAGGUAGCACGCCUUGUCGUUUCUUUUUAACUCCGCCGUCAAAACAAUCUGUAACGAGACAAGUGUGCACGGACCUUCAAUUGUCCUUAACUUUCUUCCUUACUUGAGCGUGGGAGCUCCUUCUCUCAGCACUUACUUCGUACUCCGCGAACUCGAGGCAUUCAGCCUCAAGGGCGUUACUGGCCUCACCAUCGCUCAAAGGCGAAGGAGGACUUAUCUUGGUCGAAGCCUACUGUUUAUGCUUGGUGCCCACGCUCGAGGAGGCGCCCCCCGCUGCUCUCUCUCGAGGUGUCUAAACACCAGAACAAUCGAUGGGCUUAGUGCCCACGCCCGGGGAGGAGGCGCCCCAUAGGGAACCGCAUUCUCCUCGAGGUGUCUAAACACCAUGUCGACCGGUGUACUUGGUGCCCACGCCCGAGGUGGAGGUGGCCCAGAGGGCGCCCCUGCCCUCCCUCGGGGUGUCUAAACACCAGAGUAACCAGUUCACCACCACUCGGACCUUACUAUCUGAGCUUGAUGCCAACGCCCGAGGAGAGGUGUACCGAAGCAACGCCGCUCGUCCUUAGUGUGUCUAAACAUUGAGGCAAUCAGCGUACUUGGUGCCCAUGCUCAGAGGAAGCGCCCCCCACCGCUUUCCUCGAGGUGUCUAAACACCAAGAUGACCGGGGCACUUGGUGCUCAAGCCCUAGGAGGGGGCGUCCCUAAGGAUACUGUCUCUCCCGAUUGGGGUGUACAUACACCGAGGUGCCCGGUUCUCUGCUGAUUAAAACUUCUCUCUCGCGCUUGAUGCCCACGCUCGAAUGAGGCACCCCCCGUCGCCUUCCUCAAGGUGUCUAAACAUCAAGGUUGCGGGUUCGUUUCUUACUAAACUGCACCAUCUUUACUCGGUGCCCCCUUACAUUGUAAUGAAAAUUUCAGAUUACAUAUGCUUCAAACUAACUCUUUAUUGGGUGACCUCAUUAAAAAACCCCCGAAAGGGAAAAAGAGUGUCCCCUUGAACUGUAUACAUUGCAGAGUUUUCAACUAAAAUAAAAUUUGAGGUUUCCUGCGUUCCAAGUGCGAGGGAUGGCGCCUCCCUCCAGAGUCUCGAGCUUGUAGGAUUCGUUCCCCCGAGCCUCAGUUACCCUAAAGGACCAGUCCACUUGGGGGACAACUUGUUCUCCAGCUCGUACGGAUGAGCCUUCCGCAUUACCAAAUCAGCAACUUGGAACUACCGGGGCUUUACCUUAGAACUAUACUGGUGCUCCACUCUUCUCUUCACCACCUCAGCUUUGAUUUUCACCUCCUCUCUAACCUCGUCCAACAGAUCCAAAUUCACCUUCCUCUCUUCGUUGGACUCCUCAGCCACCAAACUUUGGAAACGUGGCGAGCUCUCAUGGAUCUCCUACGGGAUCAUCGCAUCUGAUCCAUACACCAGGCUAAAAGGUGUUUCCAUAGUGGAGGAUUGGGGCGUGGUGUGGUAAGCCCACACUAUCCUUGGCACCUCUUCCGCCCAAGUCCCCUUAGCUUUCUCGAGCCUCCUCUUCAACCCUCUAAGAAAGAUUCUCUUAGCGGACUCCACCUGUCCGUUCGUCUGGGGGUGCUCGACAGAUUCAAACACCUGCUUUAUGCCGACCUCUGUACACAGCUUUCCCAACUGCUGGCUGGCGAACUGUGUGCCGUUGUCGGAGACAAGACGCCUUGGUACACCAAAGCGACAUACGAUAUUCUUCCACACGAAAUGCUGCAUCUUGUGAGCCGUGAUCUGCACCACUGGCUCGGCUUCAAUCCACUUUGUGAAGUAUUCGAUGACCACUAUCAAAUACUUCAUAUUCGAUAUACAGGAAGGGCCCCAGAAUGUCAAUUCCCCACGUAUGGAAGGGUCACAGACUAUAGAUGGACCUCAACUCUUCUGGCGGCGCCUUGUGCCAAUCGGCGUGCUGCAGGCACUGCUUGCAUCGAUGGGCGUACCUCACACAAUCUUCUCUUACAGUUGGCCAGUAAAACCCUGCGUGUACGACCUUCGACGCUAAAGACCUCCCCCAACAUGGCUCCCACAAAUCCCCUCGUGGAGCUCAGCCAUUAUUCUCGUACAUUCAUCUCCGCUCACACACGUCAAGAUCGGGUGCGUGAACCCAUGCCUGAACAGUGCUCCGCCCACGAGGGUGUACCUUGCGGAGUUUCUCUUUAUCUUCUUGCCCUCCUCGGGCUCUACUGGGAGUAUCCCAUCGGCAAGGUAGCGCCUAUAGAGCGUCAUCCACGGGUCCCUGUUCUCCAACACGCAUACCUGCAUAGGGUCUUUCCCCCCAAUGAGACCAGAUAAACGCUUACAUUGGGCGUCUUCAACGUUCCCCGAGUCAACGACCGAUGACUCCUCGCCCUUCCCUUAAACAUACUGAUCUGGAGGACGCUUACCCUACUAUCUGCAACAAACGUUCGCGGCGUUUUGAGGGUCUCCUGUAUGAUCGUCCUCUACCUUCCCCCCUUGCCCGAGCUGGCCAGCUUGGCGAGCAGGUCAGCACGGGCAUUCUGCUCUCUUAGGACGUGUACCAGCUCGAACGCCACGAACACCCCCCUCAAAACUUGAACAUGGCCCAAGUACGCAGCCAUCUCAAGAUCUUUCGCUUGGUACUCCCCGGUCACCAGACCCGUGACUACCUGGGAAUCGCUCUUCGCCAGCAGACUCCGUGAGCCCAUCUCCUUGGCCAAGAGCAUUCCAGCUAUCAGGGUCUCGUACUCCGCCUAGUUAUUACUCGCCUUAAAGGCAAACCUCGGGGCCUGUUUGAUCAACAACCCAUUCGGCUCCUCCAAGAUUAAACCGACUCCACUUCCCUACUGAGGACCCAUCCACCAAGAAUACCCACUUGAAACUAACCUACUCCUCCUAUUGUGCGCUCCCUAGCGAAAGCUCCGCCACGAAGUUCGCGUAGACUUGUCCCUUUAUGGGUCCUCGGGGCUCAUACUGGACAUCGAACUUUGACAGCUCCACUGCCCAGCGAACCAUCCUCCCUGCCACGUCUGGCUUCUGCAGCACUUUCCGGAUAGGGAGCUCCGUCAUCACCACCACCGUGAAGCUUUGAAAGUAAUGACGGAGCCUCCUAGCCGAGAACACCACAACAAGUGCUACCUUUUCUAAAGCUUGAUACCUCGUUUAUGGCCCUUGCAGGACCUUGCUCAUGAAGUAUAUCGACUUCUGCAUAUGAUCUUGCUCCUGAACAAGUACUGAGCUCAUCGCCCGCUCGGUCACUUCGAAAUACAAUCGGAGGGGCACGCCCGUUUGUGGCUUACACAACAAGUGAUGGAUUUGUGCCUUCAUAUUUUUGUAAUUGUUGAUGAGUUGCGGAAGCUACACGGAUUGGAGAUGGAACAAGGUCCUCCUAAGAGUGGUGGUGACCUUGAAGGUGCAUGAUAGGUAGGAUUUGAGAGUGGUGAGGCCAACUUUACUUGGAAAGGGCAAAUUUGUGAAGAUUAAAAGCCUAACCUAGGAGGUUUUGGGCAAAGAGUGAUAUUGGCACAAUUUUGGCAGCAAUUCACUUAUGUAUUAAUCUUGAAUUUACAUGACCCAAGCUCCUCUAUAUAUAACAAGAGUGGACUGAAUAUGAAAAGAGAAAUGGAGGGAAAUUCAAAUGUUGACUAUUGGGAAAGUGGCUCCUAAAUUUCAGCACAUGUGAGGUAGGUUCUAGAAUUCUUCCAUGAGCUAGGAGUUCUAGAACCUUACGCUCCACUUAGGCUAAAUGUGGGUUGGACCUAAGUUUAAUUAGGAGUAGGAAACUCUAAUUAAACUUAGGUUAGCAUUUUAGGUACCACUUUGCAUGUUUCAACAAAAAUUCAAAAGAAUUAAACUAUGCUACUUUUGACAAAAAUGUAAAAGCUAUUCUACACUAGAGUUUAUGACAUGUAGAAUGCGUCCUCUUGACCCCUCUUUGACCAUAACUCUAGUGGUUGCCUCAAUUUGACAUUUUGGUGGCCUUUCAAUGGAUUGGUGUCGGGGCCUCUUCCAUCAGCAAGGGAGGAGCAACCAGGUACUCCUUAAGCUUGAGGAAUGUCGCCUCACACUCCUCGGUCCACACGAACCGACUGUUUCUUUUUAAACCCUGGAAGUAAGGGUGCCCCUUGUCUCAUCCAGCGGAUACGAAUCUGGACAGGGUCGCCAUCCGCCCUGUCAGCUGUUGUAGCUCUUUCAUCGAGGCGGGGCACCUCAUGGCAAGGAUCGUCGCACACUUGUCUGGGUUCACUUCUAUCCCACGCUCGGUGAGUAGGAACCCCAAGAAUUUACCCGCCUCAACCCCGAAUACACACUUUUCGGGGUUCAGCUUCAAACGAUACUUGGCUAUGGUAGCGAACAACUCUUCCAAAUCAGCUAUGUGUUGUUCCCUUUCCUAGGAGGUCACCACCAUAUCGUCCACGUAGGCCUGCACGUUUCUUCCCAGCAUGGGUGCAAGGACCUUAUCCAUCAACCUCUGAUAGGUGGCGCCUGCGUUUUUCAGGCCGAACGGCAUCACUGUGUAACAGUAACAGAAUGUCUCGGUCAUGAACGCCGUUUUGCACUCGUCACGAGGGUGCAUCUUAAUCUGAUUGUACCCAGAGAACGCAUCCAAAAAACUAAACAUCUUGCAUCCCGAGGCUUUGUCCACCUACGCGUCGAUGCUUGGUAAUGGGUACGAGCCCUUUGGGCACGCUUUGUUGAGGUCAGUGAAGUCUACGCACAUCCUCCACUUCCCGUUGGCCUUCUUAACUAAGACCAUGUUAGCCAGCCACUCGGGGUAUUGAAUCUCCCGGAUGUGACCGACUCUCAACAACUUCCUCGUCUCUUCCUACACGACCAGUCGCCUUUCUUCGUUGAACUUUCUUCUUCUCUGGUGCACGGGUCGGACCUUGGGGUCCAUGGUGAGACGGUGGCACAGAAAAUCCGGGUCGAUGCCUGGCAUGUCCGAGGCGGACCACGCGAAGGCGUCCAGGUGGCGCGAUAUCACUUCUGCCACCUGGUUCUGUUCCUCUUGGUCUAACGAUCCGCCCAACCUAAACGUCUUACCACCGAUCUGUCUCUCCACCACAUUCUCAGCCGGCUCGAGCUGCCUCUCCCGAGCGUUCUCUGCGCGAGAUACGCCUAUGCAGUCCUUCUCCAUGGGUAUUUCCUCCACAGGCGCCUCCUCCAUGGGUGGGUGCUCCACCACCAUGAAUAUGCCCCUCCUCGUCUUAAGGCUAUUCUCAUAGAACUUAUUGGCUUUUUUUUAUCGGAUUUGAUCACGAUCACCUUCCCACUGAGAUCGGGCAGCUUCAAUUUCAUGUGGCAUGUGGACAACACCCCUCUCAACCGAUUCAAGGCUGGCCUUCCCAGCAAGAUGUUAUACGCCGAGUCGACGUUCACAACUAAGUACCUUAUGUUUUCGGUACGAGACGUGGUGCCAUCUGUGAAAGUCGUCCUCAGCUCCAGAUAGCCACGCACUUCCACUUGAUCUCCGACAAAACCAUACAAACAUCUCGUGUAUGGCCUAAGCUAAUCAGGACACAGCUGCAACUUUUCAAACGUAGACCAGAACAUCACGUCCGUCGAGCUGCUCUGGUCUACCAGCACUCGGUGUACUUUCCUUCCCGCAGUUACGACCGAAAUCACCACGGGGUCAUUAUUGUGUGGGAUGACAUCGCGUAGAUUAUCCUUCGUAAACGUGAGAUCGACGUCAAGCGUGUCGUACACCACCUGUUCUGCUACUGACAUUACUGAGCACACAUACCUCUUGCGCUGGGAGGCAGUGCACCCUCCACCCGAGAAUCCACCAGAGAUGGUGUGGAUUUCCCCGUGGAUGGGCAUCUCGUGGGCCUGGUCCCCCACUAAUGUUGUUAAGGCCUCGGUCUCUGAUGACCCCGCUAGGUAGUCAUUCAGGAAACCGCUCUUCACAAGCUCAUCCAGUUGAUGGCCCAGUGCCAAGCAGCUGUUAAUCGGAUGUCCGAACGCCUGAUGGAACUCGCACCAUGCAUCCUUGUGCAGUCCCAACACCUUAUCCAUCUUCGCCGACAUCUUCAACCUAUCCGCUAUGUUGGGCACAAUGAUUAGGUCUUUCAACUCCACCACGAAGUUUUGCCUCAACGCCUUAUUUCCCCCCGGGUGCCCCUUGGCCUGGGGCUUUCUAGCCUCGUAAGGCUGUUUCCUUCCCUGGGUCUUCUUGCCCGCCGCAACCUCAUGCACUCUCAUGGGUUACGCACGCGAUGGUGCACGAGGGCGCGCGGGGACCACGCACGCGCACUUUUCAACUACUUCUCCUUCUGUUGCGAUGAGCACCACCGCACGACGCCUGAUUUCAGCAAAAGUCUUGGGGCGACAUCUGAUGAGCGAUUCACUGAACGGUCCAGGGCAAAUUCCCUUCCUGAACGCAUGGAAUAUCAUCGACUCAUCAGUGGUGUUGACCCUCACCAUCUGUGCCCCAAAGCGAUUAACGAACUCUUUCAACGUCUCCCCCUGAUACUGCUUUACGUCAAAAAGAUCAUACAAAAUGGGUGGGGGAGUGCGGUUCGCGAUGUACUUGAACAUUUGCGACAGCUGCGCAAACGAAGUCACGUGGCCAUCUGGGAGACUGAUGAACCAGUCCAUCGCCACCCCCACCAACGUGCUCAUAAACAACUUGCACCUCACGGGGUCAGAACCGCCGACCAGCAUCAUCUGCGUGUGAAACGCAGUGAGGUGCGCCUCUGGAUCCUCCACUCCAGUGAACGUAGCUUUCGGCCCUACAAACGUGGGUGGUAUUACUGCUUCCAUGAUUCCAUGUGAGAAGGACAUGGGGAACUCUCUGGGAGGCGUGAAGCAUUCUCGAUCCUCUGUUUCAUGACUUCCAGACUGGUUGCGCAACCCGCGAUGUAACUCCUCGUUAGUGUGAUGCAGCUCUUCGUUUCUAGCUUGCGAAGCCGCAAGAUCUUGCUGGAUGCGCUCCUGCUCUGCCCUUAACGCUGCCAUCGCCUACUGCAGGCCCUGCAUCACCCUCAUCACCUGCUGUAGGGUCAAAGCCUCAUUCCCUGCGCGCGUUAUAGCACUCUGCCUGGUAUUCCUCAUUCUUGGAUGUUUCUUGGAGAAUCUUGGACUGUUCUGCAAAUCUUGGAGAUUUCUUUGGUGAACCUGAGCAAACCUUGAGGAUUUUUUAUGAACUUUUCAAGAAUCUUGGAAAAUCUACUUCCACAACUCUCACUAAGUGUUCUACUUUUCAAAUGUUCCUGUCGCUUUGACUUGGGCACCUUCGGACGUCUCUACGAACUUCGCUUCACGAGUGCCUCUGCUUCUAUUCCAACGUUGUUCUUCCUCCUCCGCUAAUACCUAACAUAGAAAGACAAAUGCCGCCCUCGUGGCCGUUUGCACUCUGACGGUCAAGUCAGCUAUUGGAAAGGAAACACCAAACACCUCUCGUCACAGAACACCGCAAGCUCAAUGUUCAGAGAAAUGCGUAACUCUCAAUGCUCUCAAACUUAGAAUCUGUAAAACGUACCUUAUUCUGUUUACCGUAAACCUUAUAUACCUUCUUGGUGUCCCUGUCCACAUGUCAGCUUGAGACUUGCGUAUUCUGUGGGCGCUCCUUAGCAACAUUAUUCCCAGUCUUAGGGCCCUCUAAGUGUGUAAGGUUGCCCCAUUGAAGUGCACCUGCUCGGGGGUGACUGCUUGGGUGCCGACUCAUGCGCCCAAUCUCCGAGCCCUGGGAGUAUCUCGCCUUCCUCACGUGCCAUGCAUGCAGAUCACCCUCUGGGACGUGACCCUCCCAUGGGUCGUCUCUGUCCCAGUGGCUUUCCGACGGUGGUGCGUACUGCCACGUUCCUACACCUCAUGCACGGAUCCCUCAUGCGUUGGGUCUCUCCCUGCUGGAACCGGGGGUGUGGCUUGAAAACCACCUCUCUUUAUCUAUCAUUACUGUCCGGGGUGCCGAGGCCCGAGGCCUCCAUACCCCUACCGCCUCUUCCGCGGUUAUCCUUACCCGAGGGUAUCAGAAGGGAACACCUUCCUGGCUUACAAAACAGCCUCAAACGCCUUUACCAUGCUGAUCCUGGAGACGCCCAAGACCGGUCAACGCCCGAGGCCGGUCAACUCCCGAGGCCAUGGACCUUAAAGAAACUCCCUCUCUUGCUUUGCAGUACUUCCAGUGGAUUCCUCACUCUGGGUCCCAUCAUGUUGACUUUGGUCAACGCCCGAGGACAAAAUAUUAUUUAAAAACACCUAAGUUGAGAUCAAUGCAUUUUCCUAUAAUUAAAUAAUUCAAUUUUAUUUUAUAAAAAAAAUAUUUUUUAUAUUUUAAAAUUUUAAUCUUUUCAUAACGUUUUUUUAUUAAUGUUAUUGUUAAAUAAAAUAAUAAGAAAUGACAUUAUAUAUUACGAAGUGUACUACAAGCCCAACUCAAUCCCAUAAAACCGGCUCAUGGGUGAGGUUUGCACCUACUUAUAUACAAUGAAAUGUCCUUAUCUCUAGUCGAUGUGGGAUCUCCAACACACCGAGAGUGACAAGUCCAACAAACUCUCGCUAGGAUAGACUCGAGAAUGACUCUGAUACCAUAUUACGAAGUAGACUUUAAGCCUAACUUAAUCCCAUAAAACCGGCUCAUGAGGUGAGGUUUGCACCCACUUAUAUACAAUGAAAUGUCCUUAUCUCUAGUACAUGUGAGAUCUCCACCACUAUGUUGGGGAGAUAAAUGUUAUUUUAUGAAAAACAUAAAAGAAGAAAGUAUUUUUAAAGGACUAGUGAGUGAGGUUAUUAUUUUAUUAAAAUGUAAUAAAAAAAAUUAACAUGUAAAAGUAGAAAAGGAAUGUGUUUAUCAUUUUAUCUAACUUAAUGGGAGGUAUGUGUAACUUUUUCUUAAUUUAUUAAUAAAUCUAAUUAUUAAAGUUUUCUUGUCGCGGUAAGCCACUUCCUAUAGUGGUUCAUCUUAGUCGGCAUUAAAAUAAAUUGCAACUUUCCUCUUUUCUAUUCCAUCAAAUCAAGCAAGAAACCAAGUCAAACACGAGUUGUCCUUGUUAGUGUUCAUCACCAAAAGGGUUAUUGCAUUAAGGUAACGUGCUAGAUGUAAAUAUGUUCACAAGACACGCACGCAUGCUAUGGUUAUCAUCCUGAACUUAAUCACUGAAAUCAGUUCUAGAAACAACUUAGAUAGUCAAAACGAUGAAACUGCGACAGUUACAUCUCACCUUGAUGUGUGUGUUGUGAAAUCAUUGUCAUCACCAUACCCCAACCAUUGUUCUAAAAUACGAUAACCCACCUUAACAAUAUUGUUGUCAAAGAAACUUCAACCAAGUUCUACUUACCUUUUUUAUAAAAGAAAAAUAUACAAUUUUCAUGUAUCACAAUUUAGAAGCAUGCUUCUCUAUAUCCUCAUAGAACAACUUCUUCAACACAUCUAUAUAUGAUCUCCGCAAACAAACAGCUAGAACGAAGCCAUCACCACUUGCAGUGUCCAAAAGGAAAGCCUUACCAUUAGAAUUAAUGUUCCCGGGAAGCAAACAAACCGGUUUCCCCCAGCCAUAAUCGGUCUCAAAAUACGAAAAAUUGGUCCAAACAACCACAUUCAAAUUGGGGUCUUCCAUGUCUUUCCUAGCAGACUUGUAAAACGUGUCCCUCAACAAAUCCAUGUCCUCCACACGUGCUAUAUAAUCAAGAGCAGACUUAACAUACUCCUCAUGCAUUUUCUCAAUCGCUUCUCUCACUUUCCUCACAGCAUAGCCAAGAGGUUUCUGCAUAAUGUCAUCAAAGGAACAAGUUUCUGUCACAGUAGGAAAUGUUGCAUUGCCAAAAUAAGCAGUGGGGAGAGAUGGCCUCAAACGGCUUCUACAAUUAACCAAAGUGUUCAAUCUUGUUGGUUGACACACAUCACCUGAAUAACGCACCUUGCACAUACACCUCCACAAGUGACCACUUAUGACCUCAAAGCUAGUAUAACCUCGUAGGGGAACCUUACCAUACCCACUUCCAAAGUCACUGGCUUUAUUCUUCAGUUUCUGAACUUGCCCUUUUGUCACUACCAACAUGGCCGUAUCAAGUUCAUGUUGCAUCUCCUCAUCACGUGUUUUCCAAAGGGGCGGUGGCAGAAACUCGGGAUGUUCAAAUCGCGGUGGUUUAUUCAGUUUGAACGAAUCUAGUUUCGAUCGAUCAAGAAAAGGAAUCAAAUCAGAAUCUAAAUUCUCCCCUCUAGCGAGUUUGGCCCACGAUUUAACGAAGCUCGAAAGUGAAUUUCCGUCGAGGAAAGCGCGACACAUGGCAAUUCCAAGUGUGAUGAAACCACAGGGGAACCUGGUGAUCUGCACCCCCAGCAAUGGAACAUCCUCAAUGGGGACAUCGUAGUUGAUCUUUGGGACAGCGUAGGUGGGAGCGAACUCACACAGAUCUUCAAAACUGAGUUGAGUGUUGCAUGUGGCUGUUACGAGUAGUGCCCCUUUGGCGUUGCAGAGAAGCUCUAAGCGGCCACCGUGGAUCCGUCGCAAGCGACCGGCCAAAGGGUGGAAGACAGUGAGGGUUUUGCUGAGAGAUGUUGAGAGAGUGUGGACCGCAGAAGCGAAGGAGGAAUCACGGGUGAUGCCUGUGUUGGCGUAGAUGUAGAGCUGAGAUCCGUGGUUUGGAAGCUUGAUUUGGUCGCAGAGGGAGAGUGAGGAGUUUGAAGUUGGUGUAGUCUCGGAGGGCACCACAACAACGGAACUGUGGAUGGUAACCAUGUUUUUAGCUUAUCCUUGGAUCUUUCCGAUGAGUAGUCAUGAAAUAUUGGCACCGUCUACACACAUAUUUAAGCUAAGUUGGGUGGUAAUGACGUGACAGAAAUUGUGUGUUGAUAAUGUGAGACGUAUAGAAUAAAGUAAUAGAGCGAAUAAUAAAGUAAUAUAGCGAAUAAAUAAUCAGUAAGACAUAAGAAUAGGUAAAAAAAAAAUAUUGAUUGUUAUUAACAAUUGAUUUAAUAUUUUAUUAUUUUUUACUGAUUAAACCAUCAAAUCAUUAUAAUAUGCUAAUAUCAUUGAUGAUGAGGAAGAUGAAGGCUCGUAGGUCGCAACAAUCAAUAACCUUUUUUUUCUCAAAUUUCGUGGACAAUUAUGAAUAUGAUAUGGGAAAGGUGUUUCAAUGUUGGACCAGGGGAAUGAGAUUUUCAUAUCACCUACACCGAAUAGGUGGGAAAGAAGAUUUUAGAUUGUUAGACUCUUAGUGGCUUGAAAGGGAGAUGACCAAGCGUGGAAGGCAAAAUGAAACUAUAUGUCAAUGUUCCGCGCUACAGAAGACAUGAACCCAGAGGUAAGGAGGCACAUACUGUAUGCAACAUUGCAGAAGAAAGGAUACCACAUAAGUAUGAACCGAGAGAGGAAAAUAGACACUACAAGAAAAUGAUUGAAUGGUAACUAAUUUAGAAACUAAAAAAAAUAGUUUCUAUAGCAACUAAUUUAAAUACCAUUUUAUAAAUAAAAAUUAUUGGUUACUAAAAUGGUAUUUAUUAUUAAUAAAAAUUAUAAUAUAAUCAGAUACUAUAUUUUUGGUAGCUAAUCGAAACCAAUUUUUUAGUCUCUUGUUAAAAUAUAAUUGAAAACCAUUAUUUUAAUCACUUUUAAUCUAUUUUAGAAACUAAUUUUUAUCUCUAAAAAUAACAAAAUUAGAAACUAAUUUUGUAAUUUCUAAUCAUCAUAUUAGAUACUUAAACUUUUAGUCACUGUUAUUUGAAUUUUAGAUACUAAUUUUUGGAGUAAUUAAAUUUUAUAGAAUUAAUUAUUAAUUUAUAAAAUAUUUUAAAUUAAUAUGAAUAAAUUUACUACUUUAUUAAUUUUAGUAUAAUAUUAAAAUAAUUAAUAUCAAUUUAAAAGUUACAUUUAAAAUAGUAUUUUAAUUUUUUAUUUAAUUAUAAAAAUAAAUUAAUAAUAAUUUUAAAAUAUUAUUUAAAUUAAAAAUUUAAUAAAUUAAUUUAAAUAAAGAUACAUAUUUUUUCGAAAACUUAUUUAAUUUUUUUAAAAUUUGAGAGUUAAUAUUCUGCAGAAUUUUGAAUUUCAAAGUUUAUCUCUCUUUAACUUUCUACUCAUCUCUCACUCUCAGCAACACUCUACAACCGCAGCACCUUGUGACGUCACCCUGCGACGGCAACCUGCGAUGGCAAUGCACUCGCGACGGCAAUGCAUCCUGCGUCAGCAACGCACCCGCAGCGACAACGCACCCGCAACGAGAAUGCACCCGCGACAGCAACACACCCGUAACCGUAACGCACUCGCGACGACAACGCACCCGACGACAACACACUCUGCUUAUCAUCGUAAGUUUCAUUCUUCCAUUAAUUCAUGCUCCAUUUUCGAUCUUUGUCUUUUAUUUUUUUUCUUGCUCAUCGAAGCUUCACAACUUUACUCACUGUAUCCUCCCCAUCUUAAAACCCUAAAUUAUGUUAUCAUGUUGUAUUUUCCAAAAAUACUCAUGGAGAGAUAGUUCUUAAGGAGAACUAAUGUAUUUUUUAAUUCUUAAGAGAAAUCAGAUUUGAUUGAAGAUACAAAUUGAUAAAAUGCACCGUCAACACUAUAUCUAUUAUGAUACAACUGUCCAUGGUGCUUCUUGGAUGUAGCCGAUUCCAUUAACAGAAAAAAAUCUCUUUUCAACUCAAUAGGAAUUAUCUUUGUUUAGUCUCUGUUAUGUUAAGUGUCGUUGUUGUGUCUGGUGUUUGUGCAGUGGUCCUGUGCUUCAUAGGUUGCUUGUCUACUGCUCUACUUCUUUUGAAUUUGUUUUCUCUUUUAUGUCACAGUAUGUGUUGUUGUGGUUUUUGAAUGUUAUAUGUUGGUCUGUCUUUAAAGUAGAAAAAUGUACUAGAGAUAUAGAGAUACCUAUUGAAGAACUGUUUAUUUUUUAGAAUUAUAUAAAUUGUUAGAUUUAAUCGUUUAUUUGUUUGAUGUGAUGAACAUUAGGUUUUUAAUUCUCUUUAAUAUUGAGUUUAUUUGAUGUGUAGAUUAAAUGUAAUUGAUGGGCUUGACAGAGCUAUUUUGACUACGAAGAAGGGUUAGGUGGCAUUGUUAAUUAUUGCGAAUUCUCUCCAACUCGGGGAGUAUGAUGGAGAUCAAGCUCAAGUGGACAUGGAGGCCAAUCAUCAAGAGCAAGAAGAGGUUGAGGCUCAAAUGGAGGACGCCCAUGGAGGUCAAAGCCCACCUCAAAGGCUUACAAGAAGCAUGUUCAAAGCUUUAAGAGCUAAUGGACGUUUAUUUUCUCUUUUUGUAAUUUCUUUGUUUGAAGGUGCUUAGAGGGAAACAUUAGAAACCUCUUUUGUUAAAGCAUCUUUAGGUCUUUAGAUUAGGAGUCUUAGGGGGGUGCGUUAGUAAAUAGGUGUAGGAGUAAUUAGGGAGAGAGAAGGUCACACCUUCCUCAUGACUAUAGUUGGCGCCACUUCAUUUGUUUUUGGGGGGAAUUUUGAAUUCAUUUAGCUUUGCAUUUCAACACCUCUAGGCUAUAAAUUAAAGUGCUGCCUUUGUAUUUUUCAGAUUUGAAAUUUGAUUAGAGAAACUAUACUCAAUUUUUGAGAGAGCAUUGGAGAGCUUUAUGCCUUCCUCACUAGUCUUAACUUGAGAGUUCAAUGUUUACCUCAAGUGGCGGCUUACACACUCAUCUUGGAGUCACCAUCCUCUAAGUGGCGUGAUCAUCCAACCAUUCCUCCAUCUUCAUGAGCUUUCUCUUCUCCUUCCUUCCUUCUCUUUGAAUUGUUCAUGUCUUAGCUUGCUUCUCUUGAAUUUCUGUUCGGCAUUUUCAGUUCUUAUUAGUUCUGCUUCGGUUCAUGUGUUUCUUUGAUGUUCUUCAUCUUUUCUUCUUCAUUUCUAGUCUUUUGUUCGGUGCAUUUCUGUUUUUAUGUUGUUUAAUCGGUGCCUUUGCCUUUUCUUCCAAUUCAAUCAGUUCAAUUUGACAAUAUGUGGAACUUCCAUAUGAGUUUGGUUUUUGGUACUAGUUUUGGUGAGUUCUUGAUUAUAGAACAUUGAUCCAAUUCUAUCUUAAAGUGCCUAUCUCAUAUCCAACUCAAGAUGAUUCAUAAGAAUGUCAAGAAUCAUUCAAAGUGUGCUAGUGGAAUCACAUCAAUUAGAGUCUCAACAGGAACUUUGUUGGUGUUCCCGCCGGUUGACCAGGGUCGUCUUUAUGCGUGGCUUAUACUCACGAGCUAGGGCACCUUCAUUUUGCUCCGUCUGUGAGUACCUGAAAAGAAGUGAACAAAGGGACAUUGUCCUUCACACGCCACAUGAAGAUGAAGUUACCAGACCUUACCGAUAAGGUGAUAGUUAUCAAGUCAGAUCAGGAAGAGGCCCGAAAAUGCUAUGAAAAUAGCCUGAAGACAAAGAGAGGCGUGGUCAUGGGGAUUGAACGACCACCCGUUUCAGAUUCGCAGAUGGAGUUAGAACCAGUGCAAGAGGCGACGCCCGCGGAGUCCAUGCCUGCCGUGGCCACACCUGCAGGGGCGACGCCUAUAGAAGAUGCACGCACAGAAGGAAGAUACGGUGACGCCUCGCCAAUGGAAGAAGUAUACGGAGAGGCCUCGCCCAUGGAAGAAGAGUCAGAGGAGGCGAUGCCCGAUGCAUCCGAUAGGGCGACGCCUAUAGAAGAGGACCCCAUGAAUGAGUCUCGCGCAGAGGACGUGCAUAGUGAGCAACCCCAACCAGUAGACAACGUGGUGGGAAGACAGAUAGGGGGUAAGGUGUUCAAAUUAGGACGCUUCUUGAGCCAGGAAGAACGAGAAGAGGUAGCUGCAGUGAUCUCGCGCCACCUAGACGCAUUCGCGUGGACUGCGGCGGACAUGCCAGGCAUCAACCCAAUUUUUUGUGCCACCAUCUUACCAUGGACGUCAAGGUUCACCUUAUGCGAUAGAGAAGGAGGAAGUUCAACGAGGAACGAUGCCUCAUCGUGAAGGAAGAGACGCAGAAGCUGCUAAGUGUCGGGCACAUCAGGGAGAUACAAUACCCUGAGUGGCUGGCCAACAUAGUUCUAGUGAAGAAGGCGAAUGGGAAGUGGAGGACGUGUGUCGACUUCACAGAUUUGAACAAGGCAUGCCCAAAGGAUUCAUAUCCGCUGCCCAACAUCGAUGCGUUAGUGGAUAGCGCCUCGGGCUGCAAAAUGCUGACUUUCUUGGAUGCAUUCUCAGGUUACAAUCAGAUCAAGAUGCAUCCAAGGGAUGAGAGUAAAACGGCGUUCAUGACGGAGACAUGUAGUUACUGUUAUAAAGUGAUGUCAUUUGUGUUGAAGAAUGCAGGCGCCACAUACCAAAGGCUAAUGGACAAGGUCCUCGCACCUAUGCUGGGAAGAAACAUCCCGACCUACGUAGAUGACAUGGUGGUGACUUCACAGGAAAGAGGGCAGCACGCAGCGGAUCUGGAAGAGCUGUUUGCUACCAUAUCAAAGUAUCGCCUCAAAUUAAACCCAGAAAAGUGUGUUUUUUGCAUGGAGGCAGGGAAGUUCUUGGGAUUUAUGCUCACUGCAAGGGGGAUAAAGGCGAACCCUGACAAGUGUGCAACUAUCCUCUCCAUGAGGAGCCCAACCUCAGUUAAAGAAGUUCAGCAAUUGACGGGGAGGAUGGCGGCCCUGUCAAGAUUCGUAUCUGCUGGAGGGGAGAAGGGCCACCCCUACUUCCAGUGCCUAAAGAGGAAUAGCCGUUUUGCAUGGACAAAUGAGUGUGAAGCAGAAUUCCUCAAGUUGAAGGAAUACUUGGCGACGCCACCUAUGCUUUGCAAGCCACGGGAAGAUGGCCCCCUUCGAUUGUACUUUGCAGUAACAGAGUGGGCCAUCAGCUCUGUGCUGGUUCAGGAGCAAGACCAAGUGUAGAGGCCCAUCUACUUCGUAAGCAAGGCCUUGCAAGACCUAGAAUUGAGGUAUCAGUCACUAGAGAAGGCGACACUAGCAGUGGUGUUCUCAGCUAGAAGGCUCCGCCACUAUUUCCACAGUUUCACAGUGGUGGUGGUGACGAACCUCCCCAUUAAGAAAGUACUUCAGAAGCCAGAUGUAGCAAGGAGGAUGGUUCACUGGGCGGUGGAGCUGUCGGAGUUUGAUAUCCAGUAUGAACCCAAGGGAUCCAUAAAGGGGCAAGUCUAUGCAGAUUUUGUGGCAGAGCUCUCACCAGGAGGAGAUCCUCAAGAGGUAGAGUUGGGGUCAAAGUGGAUGCUCUCAGUGGAUGGGUCCUCCAACCAGUAGGGAAGUGGCGCUGGAAUAAUCUUGGAGGGGCCUAACGGAGUGUUGAUCGAGCAAGCUUUACGCUUCGCCUUCAAAGCGAGCAAUAACCAAGCGAAGUACAAGGCGUUGAUUGCUGGGAUGCUUUUGGCUAAAGAAAUGGGCGCUCAAAGCCUCUUGGCAAAGAGUGACUCACAAUUGGUCACAGGGCAAGUAACAGGGGAGUAUGAGGCAAAGGAUCCACAGAUGGCCGCAUACUUGACGUACGUCGAGGUGUUAAAGGGAGCCUUCGCCGCGUUUGAGCUGGUGCUUGUCCCUAGGGAGCAAAAUGCCAGAGCUGACCUGCUUGCCAAGCUGGCCAGCUUAGGUAAGGGGGGAAGGCAGAGGACUAUCAUCCAAGAGACCCUCAAAACGCCGCGAAAGUUUGUGGCGGGCAACAGGGUGGAUAUCCUUCACAUUAGUACAGCAAGAGGAAAGCCAAGAAGCCAUCACUCUUUGAGUCAAGAUACGGCGAGGGCACCCUGCAUCAGUACCUACGCAACCUCGCCGGAAGAAGAGAAGGGCGUACAGGUAUGCGUCUUGGAGGAAGGCGACACCUGGAUGACCCCUUACAGGCGGUACCUCGCGGAUGGGAUCCUCCCAGCGGAACCAGAAGAAGGUAAGAAGGUCAAGAGGAAUGCCGCAAGGUACACCUUAGUAGAUGGGAUAUUAUUCAGACAUGGGUUUACACACCCUAUCUUGACGUGCGUAAGUGGCGACAAGUGCACCAGGAUAAUGGCUGAACUCCACGAAGGUAUUUGUGGGAGCCACGUGGGAGGAAGAUCCUUGGCAUCCAAGGUGGUACGUGCAGGUUUUUACUGGCCGACGGUAAGGGAAGACUGUGUUCGAUAUGCCCAGCGUUGCAAGCAGUGUCAGAUGCACGCUGAUUGGCACAGGGCGCCGCCAGAGGAACUGAGGUCCAUAUACAGUCCAUGGCCUUUCCAUACUUGGGGGAUUGAUAUCCUAGGCCCGUUCCCGCUGGCGAUAAGGCAGAUGAAGUACUUGAUCGUCACCAUCGAGUACUUCACCAAGUGGAUAGAGGCAGAACCAGUGGCACAGAUAACUGCGCACAAGGUACAACACUUUGUUUGGAAGAACAUUGUGUGUCGUUUUGGAGAUACUUGGCGCCUCAUUUCAGAUAAUGGCACCCAGUUCGCGAGCCAAUAGUUGGGGAAGUUGUGUACAAAAGUAGGAAUCAAGCAGGUGUUUGCAUCAGUCGAACACCCCCAGACGAAUGGGCAGGUCGAGUCAGCAAAUAGAGUUUUGUUGAGAGGUUUGAAACGAAGAUUAGAGAAAGCUAAAGGGGCGUGGGCAGAAGAAGUACCGAGGAUUGUGUGGGCUUACCACACCACGCCUCAAUCUUCCACCAUGGAGACGCCUUUCAGCCUAGUGUAUGGGUCGGACGCCAUGACCCAGUGGAGAUCCACGAGAGCUCGCCUCGUUUCCUAGGUUUCGUGGUAGAAGAAUCCAACGAAGAAAGGAAAGUGAACCUGGAUUUGAUAGACGAGGCUAGAGAAGAGGCGAGAAUAAAGGCUGAGGCUGUGAAGAGAAGAGUGGAGCGUCAGUACAACUCUAAGGUGAAGCUGCGACAAUUCCAGGUUGGUGAUCUGGUCAUGAGGAAGGCUCACCCUUACGAGUUGGAAAACAAGUUGUCUCCCAAGUGGACUGGACCGUUCAGAGUAAUCAAAGCCAAAGGGAAUGGUUCAUAUAAGUUAGAGACUCUAGAAGGAGGCCCCAUCCCACGUAGUUGGAAUGCGGCGAAUUUAAAGUUUUAUUUCAGUUGAAAUUUUGUAAAGGGGACACUCUUUUUCCCUCCCAGGGGUUUUUUAAUGAGGUCACCCAAAUAAAGAAAGAGAAGUUUAAGAUAUUUCUGCCUUAUUUUUUUCCCUCUCAUGUAAGAUCAAAGAAACAAAAGACAAAGACUCAAGGCAACGCCAGGCGUCGCCAAGGUGAGGCGUCGCCAAGAUGAGGCGUCGCCAAAAUGAGGCGUCGCCAAGGUGAGGCAUCGCCAAAAUGAGGUGUCGUCAAGAUGAAACAUCACCAAAUUAAGGAGCGAAGGUCAAGUGCAGAACGAGAUGACAGGUAUGUUGAGUAAAGGUUAAAAUCCGGGUGCUUAGUCCUUGAGCAAGGGUUAAGGGAUUCCUUCGGGACGCCCCCUCCUCAAGUAUGAAUAGCUAGCCCCGGUAUCAAAUGUUAGAUAUAAGUUCAAAAUCUGGGCGUCUAGUCCUUGAGCAGGGGUUAAGGGAUUCCUUCGGGAUGCCCCCUCCUCAGGUAUGAAUAGCUAGCCUCGGUAUCAGAUGUUAGACGUAAGCUAAAAAUCUGGGUGCCUAGUCCCUAAGCAGGGAUUAAGGGAUUCCUUCUGGACACGCCCUCCUCAGGUAGGAACAGCUAGCCCCAGCGUCUGAUGUUUAGACACUUCGCCUUGGUGUUUUCAGACACCCUGAGGACGAUACGACGCUGAUGUAGUAGGCCUCUCCUCAGGCGUGGGCACCAAGCGCAAAGAGGUAAGGGCUAAGUUGCCUUGGCGUUUUAGACACCCCAUGGAUGAUACGACACUAUGUAUAGGCCUCUCCAUGGGCAUGGGCCCUAGAGCGCGACUUUUGUCCCAAGUGUUCAGACAACGUUGAGGACACCCAGAGCAGGUCUCUCCUCGAGCGUAGACACCUAGUACAGUUAAGAUAAGUCCUCCUCGCCCUUGAGCGAUGUGGAGGCCAGAAAAGGAGAGACUCCCCUUUUUCAUCCUAAAGUGAUGAAAAAGUCGGCAAUGCCUUUGGCUACAAGUGCCUCGGGCUCAAGAAAGGUGAGUAAAAAGCAGGUUGGAGAUUUUAUAAGUUCAGAGGGAAAAAGAAAUUCGAAGAAUAAGAGGGAGAAGCAUAAAAGCACGAGUCAAUGGAGACAACAGAAAUACGCGAAGGUAAAAUCCUCCUUUGCCUUUGGGCAAUGACCAGGCAGGCGACGCCUUCGUGAGGAAGAUUCCUCACAGAUGCGAAGGCCAAACUAGGUUCUAAGCGAAAGGGCCAAGAGAAGGGUGUGCCUCGCGACUUAAGAAGAAAGAGUAAGAGGGAGAAUCACGUGCUACCUAAAGAGUCAAAGGCGAAGCAACGAAGAAAUGCAUCGAAGGCAAGCACCAGUUGUGCCUUUGAUACAGAAAAGAAAGCAAAAGCAGAUAAAGCGCAAGAAGAGUUGAAAGCAGAUAACAUUUAAGCAAAUUUAAAGGUUAUAAUUACAAAUAGGGUUCAUGACAAUUACAAAAUAAGCAGAAGGUAACUAUAUACACGUCAAAUGUUUUGUUGAAGCGCAAAGUAAAGACUAUUCCUCAGAGGCCUCCAAAGGCACAAGCUUGCCAUCAACUACUUCGUUCAAGGGGCUACACCCAGAGACGUCGAUGCCAGGGUUUGCAUAGGCAGCUUGGACAAGAGCCUCUGCAAACCCAUCGGCGAAACCGGUGGCAGCCUCCCCUAUCAACUUCUCCUCAACAACCUUGAAGUUGGCAGCUUGAGUGGCCAUCUCUUGGUCCUUGGAGGCCAAGGUAGAAAUUAGCUCUUGGACUUUGGCUUGGAGGGUGGCGUUCUCGGCGGCUAGUCGGGAGCACUCACUAGUCUUCUCCUUGAGUGCAGCUUCAGUUUUCCCCAGUGUUUGCUCCCGAUCAAUACACUGGUUCUCAAGUUUUUUUUGCUGCGCCUCAGAGGUCUUGACUGCCUCCUCAAGAUCGACGAUCUUCACUCGGAGGGGCACCACCUGAUUGAGGAGUUCGGCUUGGGCUUACGACACCUCAUGCAGCCGUUUGUUAGCCUCCUCUUUUGCUUUUUGCGCCACCCUCAGAGAGGUUUUGUAGGCAUCCUCUUGACGCCCUCAGUGAGUGGCUAGCCUCUCCUUCUCCUCUUUCAGAGAGGCAACUUCCUUCUCCAGCGCUUGGAAGGCAGAAGCUUUGACAGCCUUUGCCCUGGCCUGCGCAUGCCAGGAGUGGGCGCAGGACAUGAAGGCGCCCAUAUAGUAAUAAAGGCUUUCCUUUUGGGGCCCUUUAGCCUGACCAAGUGGAGAGAGCCUACCCAAGAAGCCCCUCAGUGAAUCUUGCAUGGGGAGAGGGAGUUCUGGGACAGUUGGAGGAGCCAUUGUGGGCCCAGCUUCGACCCCACCCUCCAAAUUCGUUUGUUGAGGGGGGGAAGUGGCGCUUGGAGGGUCCUCCCUCAAGGAUUCAGCCCCAUGCGAAGAGGAAGUGGCAGAGGCAACUUGUUGAGGGGCAUGGUGAGUUGUCCUUUUUCAUUUGAGGACCUGCCACUCAGCAGAUUCUUCAUCAUCAGAAACCACCUCCACAACCCUUUUUCCUUUGUCAAGGAGGGCUGAGGGGGCAGCAGAUUCGGCCAGCGCGAGAGGCAUGGCCGCGAUGGGAGGUGGAGAGUGUGGAGGCUGAUUGGGAGAAGGUUGGACUGAUGGAGUUGAUGGCGUCGUGGAAGGUUGAGGGCGAGAAUUGGGAGAAGAUGGAGAGGCGUUGGAGGUUAAAAGGGGGGACCCCCCAACUUCCUUCGUCGAAGCCCCAUCUUUGGACUUCAGGACAUGAGCCAGCCUCAACCUUCGUUGUCUAUCCAUCUUCGAAUCUGCACCAAAAAGAUAAAUGCAAUAGGGGUUAAGCACAGGCCAAACACUAUGCAAAGAAAGCAGAUAAGCCAUACACUAAGUAAAAACAAGAAAGUGCAGUAAAGGAAGAGUUGUAGGGAUGACUCUCAUACUUAUGUACUUCGCUAGAGCCUCAGCAUUGUACUCUAGGCUUAUCAGGGUGGCAGUGUCGAAGCCCCCCGCACUGGUCAGAAUUUGACAAGCCUCUCGAUCAUUCGAGGGCAACUCGUCAAGGGAUUUGGGCUUCAUGGUCUACACCUCCUUCACCCAGUACAAGGGGAAGCCGUCAAGGGCGGAGGGAUCAAAGUCGGAGCAACAAACCUUGAAAAAUUUGCCCUUCCACCCCUUGAAGGAUUGUUGGAAUAAGGUCAUGAGGACCCUUCCAGGGAUGUUGCUGAGGCUCACCCAGAGGCUCUUCCCCUGCUUCUUCACUUCGAAGAAAUGAAGGAAGAUGUCGACGGAGGGGGCGCGCCCGAAGAACCCGCACAAGAUAUCAAAGGCCUUGACAAAGGCCCAGCCGUUGGGGUGCAGUUGGGCUGGGGCAAUGUUGAUUUCAGUUAGUAGUUCCCUCUCGAACCUGGUGAAAGGCAAGCGCAUCCCUAUGCGCUUGAAAACCACCUGGUAGAAAUAGAAGAAGGGGACCCCGUUGUUGGCCCGCUCAUCCCCACAUACAGGCUCCCCUAAGGUACAAUGGAGCACUGCAAUGUCGUCAUCAUGCCUUUUCGCGAAGGCACGAUGGUCGUAGGCGCUCGACUCUCCUACGUGAUCCCUCCAAGCCUUUGUGGAGACCAAGCUCGAGUACUCGUCGAGCAGUUCGUCUGGAGCCCAUGGGUAAAGGGCCCUAUGGUUGACUUUGGGGGGUGGAGGGUUGGCCGUUGUUUUAGUACGUGCCAUUGAUGAAGAAACUGAAGAAUGAAGAAGAGAAAAGGUUCAGCAAAUAAGGUCAGGAAGAAAAGGGGGAAGAAACCCUAAGAAAACCCCUACCCACGCGAGAAGUUCAGAAGGGGAGAAACAGAGAAAUGAGGAAGAGAAUACAGAAAUACAAGAAAGAUAAACAGUCCCAGGCAGUUAUAUCAGGCACGAUAAGCAGAAAGAGGGUCAUCGAAUGCGAAAGUUCAUACCUUUAAGUGUUCUGAGUUGGUGAAGAUCGAAAAUGCGAAGAGAAAACAGAGAGCGCAGAAGGAGCUUUGAGAAGAUGAACAAUAAGGAAUGUGAAGAGAGCGAAUGGAACAGUGCCUUGAGUGCGCGAUUUCGAAAGGUUAUAACGUUAACUUGGAAGCGCCAACGACACUCAUCCUCAGCCGUUGGAUCGCGCCACGUGUCGAAAGAUUAAAGCGCAACUUAAGGCAUCACAUCUCUGGCGUAGAGAAUGUCGCGUCAGACGCUCAGAGAGCGUCACGUCAACUGAUCAAAGGAAUGUCACGUCAACAGGAAUGCCACGUGGAUGCUAAGGUGAGGCCGUAGUAUUUUUGUUGAAGCAAGUGUCAGCUCAAGACUGGGGGGCUUGUGUACUGUCCCGUCCCCGGGCGUUGACCAAAGUCAAAGCGGGGAUGGGAUGGUACAGUUGGUAACAUUUCUAAUCAAUAGAGACAAUUGCAAAGUCUAUCAUAGUUUCAUUGUCACAGAUUCUCCAAUUUGUGUUAACUUGAUGUUCAUCUCCUUUCUACUGUUAGAGUUAUGUUUACUUCCUCUGCGGUUUUUGGGCCAAUGAUGAUAAUGUUCGCACUGCAUUGCAUAUCUGUCAUGUGUAGUUGAUAUAAAUGAUAGUAACUUUUUCAAAUAUAAUUGGAUAUACAACUUAAUAUAACAUAAGGUUGCAUGUGCUGCAGGGAAGUAUAGGACAAUGGUGCCGGUGUUCGUUGGAUAUACCUCACAAGAGGGAUAUCCCAAGCAGUUUUGAGUAUCAUGUAAAUCUCAGUAGAAUGGGCUAUCGAUCGCUGAUAUACAGGUCAAUAUUCUUUCUCUAUGUUAAUAUGUUGAAUAAGGUCACACGGUUGAACUAAUUUGAAUUUCAGAUACCAAAUAAAUUUUCUAUAUAACAGUGGUGAUCAUGAUCUUUUGGUUCCUUUCUUGGAAACUCAAGCAUGGAUAAGAUCUUAAACUACUCCAUUGUGGAUGAUUGGAGAUAAUGACAAAGUUGCAGGGUAUUCCACUAACUAUAGUUAUGUAAUCACCAGGCUUAAUUUAUCUAAAGCUGAUUAAAUUUUUGUUUCCCUACAAAUAGAUACACAAGGACUUACUCCAAUCGAAUGACAUUUUCAACUGUGAAGGUAAGUCUUUUGUAUUCUCCUUGUUGCUCUUGUGGGUCAAAUAUAGAUUCCAUUUGAUACUGUAACAAACAAUGAUGCAAUGAGAAUGAGGUAUGUAGCAUAUUUGCUAGUUUUAGAUUCCAUUAUUUUGUACUGGUAUAUUUUCAGGGUGGAGGCCACCCAACUCCAGAGUACAAGCCUGAAGCAUGCUUUGCCAUGUACAGUAGAUGGCUAUCUUGUUGAACCAAGUGGUGUUCAAGCUUUGAAGAAUCCAAAUCCUUUGAAGGAUGUUGAAGCCUCUAUUGUGCUUGAUGUUGUUGUGCUGGUUUAAGCUUUGUUUUGGGGUAGUUUAUAUGCUGUAAUCCACCCUAUGAUUAAAUCUAAAGCAUUAGCAUUCUCAAUCUUUGUGAAAACAAAAUGAUUUCAAACUAAGUAAAAACAACCGAUUGUUUUGUUAAAACAACCGAUUGUUUGUACUUAGGUGUUUUGAGAAAAAGAUUGAAAACUGUUUUGAAUGGUUGAACUGUUAAGUACCAAAACAACCGAUUGAUUCGAGAAAACAACCGAUUGUUUGUUUUGGGACCAUAACAGAAAAACUAUUUUCUUUGACUAAGCUUUAAAUGAUUUAACUGUUUACGCUCCAGUCAUUAAAUGCUUUGACCAAUCUUUUAAUGCAAUUUAAGAGUUUGUUAAGAUUUGAUAACAAACACAUCUUUGAAUAUAUUCAGAAAAACAGAUUUAAGAAUUAAAAAUCUUUGACAAAGUUUUUCUAAGAGAGUUUGUGAUUGACCAAAGUGCUGGAAUAGGAUUCUGCUUGUAUUGAUUUCAGAUUAUCUUCUGUAACAAGUGUAAUCCUUGUACUCUGUUGAACAAUUUCGUUUCUGUGUUUGCUGAGAUUGGCUGUGUGUUCUUGAGGUGUUCAAGAUCAGCAAUCUUAGUGUUGGCCAAGGAGAGUGUGUUUCUUGAGGUGUUCAAGGUCAUUCUCUUGGUUGUUGUGUAAGUAAUCAAGUGGUGAUUGCUUAGUGGAUAUCGACAGGGUUUCUAAGAAGACUGGAUGUAGCUCUGGUUUAGAGUGAACCAGUAUAAACAACUGUGUACAAUCUCUCUAUCUCUAACUCUUUAAAUUCAGUUUGUUUGUUGUUUACUGGUAUAAACAACUGAUUGUUUCUACGAAACAACCGAUUGUUUUUCUGGGCUAUAGCUUUUGCUUGCUAUUUUGGCUAACUGAAUUGCUGAAUCAUUUGGUUCGUGGGAUAAAUUCAUUUUAGUUUUUGAAAUAUUUGCGAAAACCUUUUUAAACAAUUCACCCGCCCUCUAGUUUAAAGCCAUCUUUUCUAACAUAUCUAAGAGAGCUUUGUAGGAGCAACCAAAUAAGGUCAUUCAUUUGCUCUGUUAGCUAAGACUAAACUUGGGAUCCUAUUUAUAGCAAAGUUUGAGGGUCGAUUUUGUUCACCAAUAAAGUUUACGUUCAUUCUUCGAACAUAUACCUUAUCAUUAAUACUAUAUUGAAGUUAAUACAAGAGUUUUGUUUGGAUCAAAAUAAAUGGAAUCUUUCAGUUCUAGCUUCCAAAACCGUCCUUGAUUUGUUCUAGCCAAAAAGUUUGUAAACAGUUUGAUGGAUAGAGAAGAACACUCGCACUUCCUAGGUCCCGCUCUGACUUUUUUUCAACAGCUCAGUGAGUGGCAAGUAGGCAGAAAAAAUUUAAUAGGAAUAGAUUAAACUUUAUUUUAAAUAUAACUCAUGGAUAUUAACAUAAGUUGAAAGUAGAUUUCAAACAACUACGCAAUAUAAUAAUUUCAACUUGAGUUUAUGUAAUUAUCUUCUAGUUUCUACGACAAUCUUAGUUCACAUUCAUUAUUCAUAAUUUUUUUUUGUAAAAUUUGAAAAAAAAUGCCUACUUAUAACCAUAUUUGGAUUCUAAACAUUAUUGCCUUGAGUUGACAAACUUUAUGAAUUUAUUUUAAAAUUAAUGAACUUAAAUCUACAAAUAAAUAUAAAAUAUGAAAGAGUUAAGUAGGCAAAUAAAUAAAGAAAAAACAAAAAUCCAAAAAAAGUAGGUAAAUAAAAUAAUAUUUUAUAAUAAAUUAUAUUAUUUAGAAACCAAUAUAGUGACCAUUUUUUGGUAUUUAUAUAUUUGGUCACUAAAUGAGUUUCUAUAUAUUUUGGUCUCUAAAUUGGUUUCAAUGAAAUUGGUUGUUAAUUUGGUUUUUAUAUAAUUUUUCACUAAAUUAGUUUCUAUAUAUUUGAUCACUAAGUUCAUUUUUAUUUAAUGGUAACUAAAUUGGUUUCUAAAUUAGAAUCGAAAUUGAUAUCUAAAAUUAGCGACCAUGAUUUUAGUCACUUAAUACUAUUAGUUUCUAAAUUAGUCUCUAAUUAAGUUAGUGGCUAAUUUUAACAUUUUAGAAACCAAAAAUUUAGUUUUUAAAAGCACUUUUUCUUGUAGUGAGAAAAGAAGUUGGGAGGCCUAAUAAGGGAAAGGAAAGGAGGGAAUGGAGAGAGGUUAAUGUACCGUCCCGUAUCCGGGCGUUGACUAAGUCAUAGUCAAAGUCAACGGCUGGAGAGUCAAAGUCAACGCAAGGCGUUGCCUAGGUGGAGAGACGCCAAGAGGAAGCGUCGCCAAGGCAAGGCGUCGCCUAGGUAAAGACGUCGCCCAACCAGGGCGUCGCCAGAUCAAACAUUGCUAAAGCAAGGCAAUCACGGUGUGGUUCCCCGAUACCCAUGGGUAGGAAAGACCAUGGAGGGAGCGACGUCGUGGGAAGGCCUCAGGUCCUGAUAACCCGGGGCAGUGAUAAAGAGAAGGAAAAGGUGGCUUCAAGGCCAUAGUAAUAGUAUCAGUGUAGGGCAGCCUGACUCGUGAAGUGCUCCUCCCGCCCCAGAGACGCCUGUGGGGCAGAUACGACUCAAGAGGAAAGUCACGCCCAGGGCAACCGGGUGCAGAGUACAAAAGGAAGGCAGAUACGCUCUCAAAGUAAGUGACUAGAUACUUGGGGGCAUGAGUUGGCACCCAAAAAGUCACCCCUAGCGCAGUAGCACUCCCAAGCAGGAGGACUCACACACAGAAACAUCCCUAGAUGGGCAGAAACGCCCCCAGAUGGGGUCACGGCGUCGUGAGGCCCUCCACGUGUACAACAGCCAUGUCAGAAUGGAAACACCCUUUAGUCAGGUGCCAGGUAAUUAAAUCAUUCAAUACAAUUCCCCUUUCGAGCAUUCAGGUACUAUAAUGACUCCCAAGCGGUUCAACGUCUUAAAUGCGCUACGUUUUCUAAUUAAACGCUUUAAUGGGUGCAUUACGUUUGUUAUUAAAAGCGCUUUAAGGCGCUUUAAAUGCUUGGGUAGUUUAAAUAGCGCGGAGAAUGUUGGAAAGAGGGUUGGAACUUUUGGCAAAUUUACCAGAGAACUCUCUAGUUGCUUGCUCGUGCUUCAAGGUUACGUACAAGUGACUGGGGAAUAUUUUUGCCUGAAAGAGACAACAUACACAUAGAUACACAGUUCUUUUACCACCUUCAGAGUGCCAUACGCGGUGCUCAGAGACGUAGGUGGACAGUUUGGUGUUUCUUGCUGGCUGACUUGAGCGUCGGAGUGCACACGGCCGCUAGGGCGCCUCUUUGUCCUCUUUUUUGCAAGAAUCCACAGGUAACCAGUGGGAAGGAGUCCCUAGCUGACGGUUGAGGUCGCGCACGAAGACGUCCCGGUCAACCGAACGGAACAGUUAACAAAAAGCAAACCUAUGCGGGUGUUGUGAAAAACGAUUUAUCAAAUACAUGGAAGGACCCUAUUAUUGUAACUAAACAACAAACCCUCCCAUGGAUGAAUAAUAAUGUUGUAGGAUUCUUUUCAACAGAGUUGAGCUACAACCAGUUAUGUGAAGAGUUCAUUUUGGGAGUAAUGAAUAUGGUAAAGUUAGUUGAUCAAGAGUGAUCAAGUGCUUUGAAGAAUUCAAAUCCAAAUUGUUAGAUGAAAGGCUUGUGUUGCUGCUGUGCUUGGGUGGAUCUGGGUAGAAUAGAAUGUGAUUCACUCAUUUGUUGAAUCUAAAACUGAUGUGAUUUAAAACUGAUCCUGCCUGUUGACCAAAACGCUGGAGCCUUGCCUCGUCAGACCUGGAUCGACUUCUGCGCCGUGUUAGCCUCCGUCCUUCACCGCGAUCCACCUCAAGAACCUGCAAAAGACAGAACGGCGCCGCUGCGGCCGAUCACGCUCCGAUGCCCAAGUCAGCGACUGAACCACCAAUUACUAAGAGAAACUCAAGAACUCUAAGGAACCGUGCAAAGUUCUCUCUCAGCGUACUCAAAACUCGCAAGCGUAAAGAAGUAAUCUGAACGUGCGUACCUCAGAAGUUCGUUAGAAACUCUUAUAUACCUGCGCACUUUCUCUCUCCAGACAGUUACACUUCUGGACACGUGGCUCGCAUCCAGCUGUACACGUGUCACCAUCUGGAGCAUCCUUGACUUGGGCGCCACUUCUUACUCUUCAGGUUUUUUGGCUAAGUUACUUAUGCAUGACACAACUCAGUGCAUAGUUGCCUUGGAGCGUGAUCUCUUCUGAGUGGCGAGUUCGGGUGCCUUCGUAUACACCUUCCGUGUGGUCUCGCCGGCCGCCUUCACGAUCUACUCUUCCUACUUCACCGUGUAUGUUCAGAUAAGCUGUCCCCCGACCUUAUCCUCUGGCUAGCUUAGGAAAUGACUAUCUGACUUUAUCUUCGGCGAUGUCCCUGUUUCGGCGAUUUCUAAUCACUUGGUCGCCUAGGUUCACAUCUGGCGACUUCAUCUUCAACCCGGUGACCGCCGGUUUAGGUAUGCUAGAGAUCGGAGCACGCCAACUUAACAACCUGCGACUACACGAGCCCCCCGACUUCCUUCCCUUUUGCCAGCCAGGUGUCCCGUCCAACACGCCUAUAUAAUAGCUUGAUGCCACGUCAUCACUUCCGACUACCAGGGCGGUACACAAGCCCCCCAGUCUUAAGCGAAGACUUGUCCAGCGAAAAGACUAAAGGAGUCACGUCACUACCGAUCUACGUGGCGCUGGCGCAGAAUUCCAAACGUUCGUACUUUCUGCUUUCCUGACGCUCCACCAAACACCUUCCCAAUCGCCCGACACGUGGCUUCAUCAACGGUCAUCUUUAGUUGUCGUUUACGCUUCCAAAAAUCAUUUGAAAAACCCUUAAACCCAUUUCACUUUUACUGUUCCAUCAUCUCUUUGCCUUCUCAAACGCUCUGAGUUUCCUCUGCGAAAACCCACGACGCUCUUCAACCUUCUGAAUCCUCAACUUCCUUCAGCGUUCGUCUGAUCAUCGAAAGGUACUCCCUUUACUUCUUCUGUCGAUAUUUGCUGCAUUUUAACCGAUUCGCAUCAUCCAUUAACUGCCUGGUGCAUACGCUGUGGGUUGUUUGUUCUUCUUCUCCUUUUUCGCACUUAAGGCUUCGUCUUCCAUUUCUCCCAUCAUAACGAACUUUCAUUCGUUCGUCUUUUUCAUCCUUCGUUCACAAUCAAGUCGACCUUUGCAACCUUCGCUCACUCUUUUUUUUUUUUCUCUUUGUUCCUUUGCAGUUCCUGCGAUGGCUCGAACAAAGACCACCGCGAAUCCUCCUCCCUCGUCACGAAACCCUCCAUCCCAAGCUCAUAACCCACCGCGAGCACCUGGUGCUUCCUCCUCCCAGGCUGAGAGGCCUGCAACCUCUCGCCCCAACCUUGCUCAGGCAACCCCACCCAUCGCCGGAGGUGCCUCCAUUCCUUCCCCAGACUAUAAGAAGUUAUACCCAUGGGCCACUUCAACUUUACUGAAGGAGACUUCUUUAGUAAACUCCGUUGUGGCAGUGCUUCGAUUGAAGAAAGGGGACGAGCCCAACCUUUCGUUCCACAAGGAGCACGAUGACAAACUGACGAUGCUGCCUUGCCCCCCGACGUGCCAUUCUGCGCAGAUGACAAAGGGAACAACAGCGAGUUAUUCUGCUUUGUGUACACCACCUUAUUCAAGAAGGUGAAACUUAGGUUCCCCCUUACCCGUUUCGAGCGGGAAUGACUAACCGAGCUCGACAUCGCCGCCGCCCAACUCCAUCCCAACAGCUGGGCAUUCGUGCGGGCGUUUCAGAUUAUAUGAGCACAUUUGGGACUACCGGCCUCGGUAGACGUGUUCCUCUUCCUGUUCGAGGCCAAGAACCCUGGAGAUCGCCUUUGGGUGAGCCUGAACAGGAUUGCUGGGAGGUCGAUCCUCUCUAUCUUCCAGCAAUCUUACAAGGAUUGAAAAGGUAAAUUCGUCCAAGUGUGCCAGAAUGAUCGGGACACUUCGCUGCUCGACGGCUUUCCCUUGUACUGGGUAAACAAGGGAAAUAAAGACUCCAAGGGAAGCUUUAGAAAGCCAAGAAGCCCCGAUAACAUGGGCGCUUUGGACAAGGACCUGUGCCUCUUCUGGAAGAGCGUGGCAACUGCGAACAUUACCUUUCUUACUUCUGCAAUCAUCUCCUUCGAGUUCUUCGAGGGCCAACUCGAGGCUCGCAUAGGUUAGUGCUUACCUUAACACCUAAGUUAUUGCCCUGUGCUGCACCUCUGUUAUCUGUUACUGGGCGUCUUGUCCGUUGCGCGCUAUACUUGGUCUUUAUUUUCUGCACCACUUGUUUGUCUCAUUUGCAUACUUACCCAUGUGUUUAUCUUUGCCUUUGAGCUGACCUGUAUACCUUCGCAUUAUGCAGAUCUCAUGUUGGGUAAAGGCAAACUAGCUGAAUUGAGGGCGCUCGCCCGAGCUCAUGGGUUGGCGUCGGGCUCCCAGACUGUGCCCAACUCAGUGGUGGAGAUCGCUGCUGCUCAGGGCAAAUCGCCCCCUCAAGGCCCAGCUCCUUCAAAAGCCUUGCCCGCCCAACAACGCCAAAAACUCAUCCUCAGGAAGCCAAAGAGGAAAACUCCUCAGGUGGUGAGUGAUGAAGNNNNNNNNNNNNNNNNNNNNNNNNNNNNNNNNNNNNNNNNNNNNNNNNNNNNNNNNNNNNNNNNNNNNNNNNNNNNNNNNNNNNNNNNNNNNNNNNNNNNACGUGUCUAGGCGGCUCGUUGACUGGACGACGCUCUGUGGCAUUUACGGCACCUUCUUUACCACCUGCUCCACCUCCUCUUCCAACACCAGCACCGCCUUCUCCGCCAGCUCCAACUCCAACACCACCUUCUCCCCCGGCUCCAACAUCGCCAGUCCAAGCAGUGCCUUUGGCGGCUGCAUUUCCGGCGGUUGAGGCUACUGAGCCCAACUUCAUGGAGAACCCUCCGAGCGCCUCUACGCCGUUUGUAUCUGCUGGAGGUGGUCCUCCUUCAACAGCCUCAAUUGCGGAAGCUGCACCAGGCGGGGAUGAAGGUGCUCACAACUCACCCAUCAUCAUCACUAAGUCCCCCACGUCACCACCACGCCAAGAAGCUCCAAUUCAACAACCAGUCCAAGAGGGCGGUGGCGAGAGCCAGCACCCAGCUCCUUCAGCGCCUCCACCACCAGCGGUUGCCAACCUUCCCCUUGCGGUUAAAGGGAUGUGGGAACCCUUCUUAGCGAAACUCAAAAUGAUGGCAGAGGACCUCCCCUCCAUCAUAUCAAAAGUUGUGGAGAGUUCCAGCAAGAAACUUCAGGACGACAUCUCCGUGCUCCAAGAGGAGAAUUGCCUAAUAAGGAUCGAGGCGGAGAAGUUGUCCUGCAACCUUAUGCUGGCAGAGAUCGACCACUCGCGAGUGGAGGACGCCAUGAGCACCGAACUGAGGGUGGCGUGCAAGGAAGCCAUCGAUCUACGCCAUAGGGUGCACCUCUUAGCUCNNNNNNNNNNNNNNNNNNNNNNNNNNNNNNNNNNNNNNNNNNNNNNNNNNNNNNNNNNNNNNNNNNNNNNNNNNNNNNNNNNNNNNNNNNNNNNNNNNNNGUCCCCUACCGUCUCAAGGUGGCUGACCUGGAGCAAAACGGGCCUUAACUCUUGCCAUCGCUUGAAUUUCUUCUGAUCGCCAAAGAUUCUUGGCGAUGCCAGCUUCCUCUUGCCUUCAUAGUUUGGCCAUUGUUCCCUCAUCUGGGGGUAGAGGCGCCUUUCGGAUCCUUCUCUACCUUCCCUGACUUUCGGGACAGUAAGUUGGAUAGCUAAGUGUUCUCUUCGAACCUACCUUAGCUAUCCUUUAAACUUCUUCCACCCUCCACACCGUACCUGAACUCGUUCGAGACGAGAAGGAUUUUAUCUUGCCUGAACUCGCUCGACGGCGAGAAGGUCUUUAACUCGCCUGAACUUGCUCAUCAGUGAGAAGGUCUUUAACUCGCCUGAACUCGCUCAUCGGCGAAAAGGUCUUUAACUCGUGCCUCUACAUUGCCCCAGGGGCUACAUCUUCUCUCCCCUAGAAGCACUGAGGACUUUUUACUCUUUCUCGCCUGCACUCGCUCGACGGCGAGGAGGUCUUUAUCUCUUUCUCGCCUCAGGACGCGCGAGGGCGUUGAGGUCUUUUAACUGGUGCCUCCGAUCGCCGAAAGACGACGAGGACUUUAAACUUUAACUGAUGCCGCUGCCGAAAAACGAUGGGGACUUAGAAUCUUUUUUAGAAAGCAUGCGACAUAACUUCAAAACUCGCCUUAAAUCACAUAUAAGCGACAAGGUCUUUCUUCAAAACUUUCGAAAAAACAACAAGCAUGCAAUCUAAAAUACUUCAAACUUUGAAAACUCUUCUUUAUUGGGUGGCCUCAUUAAAAACCCUCCUUAGGGAAAAAGAGUGCCCCCUUCAAACUGUUUCAACAGAAAGCUUGCAAACUCUUUGUGUUUGUCUUUACUUACAAAGCUUUUAACUGUAAUAUAAUUUCAGGUGUGUGGCGUUCCAGGUGCGAGGAAUCGCCCCUCCUUCCAACGUUUCUAAGCGGUAGGCGCCGUUCCCGAGCACCUCGGUUAUCCUGAACGGUCCCGUCCACUUAGGCGACAACUUGUUCUCCAUCUCGUACUGGUGGGCCUUCCUCAUCACCAGGUCGCCUUCUCUGAACUGCCUUGGCAUCACCUUCGAGUUAUACCUCCGUUCAAUCCUUCUUUUUACUGCCUCAGCUUUCAUUUUUGCCUCCUCCGUGACCUCAUCCAGCAAAUCCAGAUUCAGCCUUCUUUCUCAAUUCGAGUCUUCCGCUACAAAGUUCUGGAAUCUCGGCGAGCUCUCCUAGAUUUCUACUGGAAUCAUUGCGUCGCAUCCAUAGACCAGGCUAAACGGGGUCUCAUGGGUUCCUGACUGCUCGGUGGUGUGGUACGCCCAAACUAUACGGGGUACCUCCUCAGCCCAACUUCCUUUGGCUUUCUCUAGCCUUCUCUUCAAACCUCUUAGCAACACCCGAUUGGCUGACUCUACUUGGCCAUUCGUCUGAGGGUGCUCGACAGAUGCAAAUACUUGUUGAAUUCCCACCCCUUCGCACAGCUUCUUCAACAGGUGACUUGCAAACUGAGUUUCGUUAUCUGACACCAGGCGCUUGGGCACACCAAACCAGCACACGAUGUUCUUCCACACAAAGCUCUCGAUCUUGUGCGCGGUGAUCUGGGCCACUGGUUCUGCUUCGAUCCACUUGAUGAAAUAUUCAAUCGCCACCACCAAGUACUUCAUCUGCCUGAUCGCCAAUGGAAAGGGUCCCAGAAUGUCGAUCCCCCAUGUAUGAAACGGCCAAGGGCUGUAAAUCGACUUCAACUCCUCGGGAGGCGCCUUGUGCCAAUCGGCGUGCUGCUGACAUUGCUUGCAACACUGUGCAUACUUCUUGCAGUCUUCUCUCAUUGUUGGCCAGUAGUAACCUACACGGAGAGUCCUUGCGGCCAGAGCUCGACCCCCGACGUGGCUUCCACAAAUCCCUUCAUGGAGCUCGGCCAUGAUUCUUGUACAUUUCUCUCCGUGCACACAUUUCAGGAGUGGGUGUGUGAACCCAAACCUAUACAACUCGCCAUCAAUCAUUGUGAACUUGCUAGAAUUCUUCUUUAUCUUCCUAGCCUCCGUCGGAUCCAGCGGAAGAAGGCCAUCCGCCAGGCAUCGCUUGUACUGUGUUACCCAGGUGUCUGGCUCAUGGGUCGUGCAGACCUGCGUCAUGUUCACCUUCUCUCCCCGACAUGCUCUUAUUCUUGGCGACCUCAAGGUCUCCUGAGUCAAAGACCUGUGACUCCUCGCCGCUCUCUCCGUCGAUUUGCUUAUCUGAAGAACCAGGUGAUCUGCCACAAAUGCUCUGGGUGUCUUCAGAGUUUCUUGGAUCACCGUCCUCUGCCUACCCCCCUUGCCUGAACUGGCGAGCUUGGCUAGCAAGUCAGCUCGGGCAUUCUGCUCUCUGGGCACAUGCACCACUUCAAAGGAGACAAAGGAACUCUUCAACUCUUGUACAUACUCCAGGUAAGCCGCCAUUUGUGGAUCCUUGGCCUGGAACUCGCCUGUUACUUGCCCCGUGACUAACAGCGAGUCACUCUUAGCCAUUAGCACCCUAGCCCCCAUUUCCUUGGCCAACAAGAUUCCGGCGAUCAGUGCUUCACACUCUGCUUGGUUGUUGCUGGCUUUGAAGGCAAACCUCAGGGACUGUUCAAUCAGCACGCCGUUGGGCCCUUCCAAGAUGACCCCAGCACCGCUACCCUGCUGGUUCGACGAUCCGUCCACCGAAAGCACCCAACGAAAGUCAUCCCCCUCAACUCGUGUUGCUCCUGACGAGAGCUCGACCACGAAAUCUGCGAAAAUCUGCCCCUUAAUCGAACCUCGGGGCUCAUACUUAAUAUCGAAUUCCGACAGCUCCACCGCCCACUUCACCAUCCUCCCAGCAACGUCGGGCUUCUUCAGGACCUUCUGGAUGGGCAAGUCGGUCAUCACCAGGAUCAUGAAACUGUGGAAAUAGUGGCGUAACCUUCUCGCCGAAAAAACCACUGCCAGUGCAGCUUUCUCCAAGGCCUGAUAUCUCACUUCGGGGCCCUGCAGCACCUUGCUGACAAAAUAAAUAGGCUUUUGAGCCUGAUCUUGGUCUUGGGCGAGCACCGCACUCACCGCCCUCUCAGUCACAGCAAAGUACAGCCUGAGAGGGGUUCCCACCAGCGGUUUGCACAAAACCGGCGGGCUCGCCAGGUACUCUUUAAGCUUGACGAAGGCAUCUUCACACUCCUUCGUCCAGGCAAAUUUGUUGUUUCGCCUUAAACAUUGAAAAUACGGAUGGCCCUUCUCCCCGCUGGCUGACACGAAACGAGACAGGGCGGCCAUCCGACCUGUAAGUUGCUGCACUUCCGUCAUGGUAGCCGGGCUUCUCAUCGCCAAGAUGGCAGCACACUUAUCAGGAUUGGCUUCUAUUCCUCUUUCAGUCAAGAGAAACCCCAAGAACUUUCCCGCCUCCACGCCAAAGAUGCACUUCUCAGGAUUCAGCUUUAACCUAAACUUGGCGAUCGUAGUGAACAACUCCUCCAAGUCUGCAACGUGCUUGCUCUUCUCCGGCGAGGUCACGACCAUGUCAUCCAUGUACGCUUGCACGUUCCUUCCCAGCAUUGGUGCAAGUACCCGAUCCAUCAACCUCUGGUACGUGGCCCCCGCGUUCUUCAGCCCAAAUGGCAUCACCUUGUAGCAGUAGCACGACCUCUCGGUCAUGAAGGCAGUCUUCUCUUCAUCCGUGGGAUGCAUCUUGAUCUGGUUAUACCCCGAGAAGGCAUCCAGGAAGCUCAACAGCUUACACCCUGCAACACUGUCCACCAGGCCGUCUAUGCUUGGCAAAGGAUACGAAUCCUUUGGGCAAGCCUUGUUCAGAUUGGUGAAAUCGACGCACAUGCGCCAUUUCCCAUUGCUCUUCUUCACCAGCAUGACAUUAGCUAGCCACUCAGGGUACUGGACUUCCCUGAUAUGGCCUGCAGCGAGGAGCUUCUGGGUUUCAUCCCUGAUCGCCUGCCUUCUCUCCUCGUUGAAUUUCCUUCUCCUCUGUCGCACUAGCCUGACCUGGCUGUCCAUUGCUAGAUGAUGGCACAAGAAGUCGGGGUCAAAUCCCGGCAUGUCUGAAGCAGACCAUGCGAAAGCGUCCAGAUGCCGCUCUAUCACCUUGGCAAUCUGGUCUUGGAGCUCAGUCUCCAAGGAUCUUCCCAACUUGAAGACCUUUCCCCCGAUCUCCCUUUCGAGCCAUUCCUCGACGGGUUUGGGUCUAGCUUCCCUGGCGAUCACCGCCCUGGCGAUUCCCAGCUCCCUCGCUUCCUCAGGGCGAUUCCUCGCCUCUUCUUCCCGCUCGGCGUUCUCUCCCUCAUCCUCAGCAUCCAUCAUGGCGACGUCUUGCCCAGCGGCCACCUCCAUCGCUGCACCACCAACCCGCCACUCUGUUGGCUUGGGCUUCACGCCGGGAGGCGGCGUCGUUGUGAUGUAACUCACUGACCUCUUGUUUUUCAGGCUAUUCUCAUAGCACUUCUUCGCUUCUUUCUGGUCAGAUUUGAUGGUGAUCACCACCCCUUCCAUCGAUGGCAACUUCACCUUCAUGUGCCUGGUUGAAGGCACAGCUCCUGUUCUGUUGAGUGUUGGUCUUCCCAACAGAAUGUUAUAUGCUGAGGGAGCGUUCACGACGAGGUACUUGAUUUUCUCUGUUCUCGAGCCCGCCUCAUCCGUGAAAGUAGUUCUCAACUCUAUAUACCCCCUGACCUCCACCUGAUCGCCAGCGAAGCCAUACAAGCACCCUCCAUAGGGCCUCAGCUAGUCAAGGGGCAACUGCAACUGUGUGAAAGUCGGCCAGAACAUGACAUCUGCCGAGCUUCCUUGGUCCACUAGUACUCUGUGGACCUUCCUUCUGGCCGUAACAAGCGAGAUGACUAUCGGAUCGUUGUCGUGAGGCACAACGUCCCUGAGAUCUUCCCUCGUGAACGUGAUGUCCACGUCUGGUGAGUGGUCCUCAAACAUGUCCACCGUCAUCACAGACCUCGCAUACUUCUUCCUCUGUGACGCGGUGCAUCCACCACCCGAGAAACCUCCUGCAAUGGUGUGGAUCUCUCCGUGGGUAGGCAUCUCGUGCUGCUGAGCCUCACCACCUGUUGGCUGGGAGCUCGACGCGCCCCCCGUCCUUCUAUCCAGCAAGUAAUCGUUUAGGAACCCGCUCUUGACCAGAUCGUCGAGCUGGUAUCCUAAGGCCAAACAUGAGUCCACGGUGUGGCCAAAGCCCUGGUGGAAUUCGCACCAGGCGUCUGGCUUUGGUCCCAACACCUUGUCGCCCACUUUCUCGGGCGCCUUCAGCCUAGCUGAUAUAUUGGGAAUGGCGAUCAGGUCCGCCAACCCCAUGACAAACUUAUGCUUCGGCGGGCGAUUGUACUCCCGACGUGCCGGUUGAGGGCGCCCUGGGCCCCUGCCCUUGUUCUUCCUUGGAUCAUAAGGAUGGCGAGUCCUCUGAUCCCUCUUGGUCGCCGCUGUCUCCAGCACCCUCUGUGGCUGGAUCCUGGUCUGGGCGCGUGGCCUAGCGGGGGCCACGCUUCCCCUCUUCUCGGCGACCUCACUUUCAUCGGCGAUGUGGGCCACCGCAAGUCGCCUAACCUCAGCAAACGUCGCGGGGUGAGCCCUGAUCAACGCCUCGCAGAAGGGUCCCGGCAGCACGCCCUUCUUGAACGCGUAGACCAACAUCUCUUCGUCCUUGGCCGGCGAGCGGACCAUCUGCGCCCCAAAACGAUUCAAGUAGUCCCUGAGGGACUCUCCCUGGUACUGCCUUAUGUCGAACAGAUCAUAAGACACCCUAGGCGGCGCCUUGUUCACUAUGUACUGCUCAACGAAGAUCUUCGAAAACUGUUGGAAGUUGGUUAUGUGGCCUGUAGGCAGGCUCACAAACCAUUCCAGCGCUGUUCCCUGGAGUGUGCUCACAAACAUCUUGCAGUACACAACAUCCGAUCCUCCUGACAGCAUCAUCUGCGUGUGANNNNNNNNNNNNNNNNNNNNNNNNNNNNNNNNNNNNNNNNNNNNNNNNNNNNNNNNNNNNNNNNNNNNNNNNNNNNNNNNNNNNNNNNNNNNNNNNNNNNACAGCUUUCACGGGUACUACACUCGCAGGGUUAGGCGUGUCUGUAAUCGCCUGAGCGAAAGGCAUGGGAAAAACGCGAGGCGGCGUUGACGGGGCGACCUCUUCAGCGACUGGGCGCCCUCGCUGCUCCUGAAGAGCUUGGCGCAAUUCCUCAGUAACUCUGCUAAGCUCUUCAUUCCUGGCCUGAGAGGCGACCAGGUCCUCGUGCAUUUUUGCCUGCUCUAUGCGCGAGGCUUCCACAUUCGCCUGCAGCGAACGCAUGAUUUCCACCAUCUGCGCCAUAGUCAUGGCGCCUUCAGCAGCAACGGGCGCAACUGGACUUGAACGGUUGCUUCUCAUCUUUCUCAUGAAAACUUGACAGAUCACAAAGAGCGACAAAAAACACCUUCUUCAGCGACGAUCGAUUCAGCGAUCACUAGGUCAGAACUUCACAAAACUCCAAAGAGCUUCAAGAACGCAACCUCAACAGCAAACCUUCACAGAAACUCACGACUCCACCACAAACCACCGUUUCCUCCACGAAAACCCAAACGAGCGACGAAACUCAGAUCUUACCGAUUAAAACACGCGUAAGCAGCGAAAAACCUCACCUCACCGAACAAGAACUCAAACGAACGGUGGAAAACGCGAAACUACCGAACAAAACUUAGAUGAACGGCGGAAUAUGGUUGCACCAGCACACAACCACAAAGAAACUGCAGAAACUUCCAAGAACUCACGUUGUGGAUGGGAACAGGUUUUACACGGCCCCACGGUGGGCGCCUGAUGAUCCUGCCUAUUGACCAAAACACUAGAGCCUUGCCUCGUCAGUCCUGAAUCGACUUCUGCGCCGUGUUAGCCUCCGUCCUUCACCGCGAUCCACCUCAAGAACCUGCAAAAGACAGAACAGCGCCGCUACGGCCGAUCACGCUCCGACGCCCAAGUCAGCGACUGAACCACCAAUUACUAAGAGAAACUCAAGAACUCUAAGGAACCGUGCAAAGUUCUCUCUCAGCGUACUCAAAACUCACAAGCGUAAAGAAGUAAUCUAAAUGUGCGUACCUCAGAAGUUCAUUAGAAACUCUUAUAUACCUGCGCACUUUCUCUCUCCAGACAGUUACACUUCUGGACACGUGGCUCGCAUCCAGCUCUACACGUGUCACCAUCUGGAGCAUCCUUGACUUGGGCGCCACUUCUUACUCUUCAGGUUUUUUGGCUAAGUUACUUAUGCAUGACACAACUCAGUGCAUAGUUGCCUUGGAGCGUGAUCUCUUCUGAGUGGCGAGUUCGGGUGCCUUCGUACACACAUUCCCUGUGGUCUCGCCGGCCGCCUUCAUGAUCUACUCUUCCUACUUCACCGUGUAUGUUCAGAUAAGCUGUCCCCCGACCUUAUCCUCUAGCUAGCUUAGGAAAUGACUAUCUGACUUUAUCUUCGGCGAUGUCCCUGUUUCGGCGAUUUCUAAUCACUUGGUCGCCUGGGUUCACAUCUGGCGACUUCAUCUUCAACCCGGUGACCGCCGGUUUAGGUAUGCUGGAGAUCGGAGCACGCCAACUUAACAACCAGCGACUACACGAGCCCCCCGACUUCCUUCCCUUCUGCCAGCCAGGUGUCCCGUCCAACACGCCUAUAUAAUAGCUUGAUGCCUCGUCAUCACUUCCGACUACUAGGGCGAUACAAAAACCUUUUUGAAAUCAAGUGUUUUUCCAACUAAGUGAAAAACAACUUGUUAUUUUGUCGAAUCAACUGGUUGUUUUACUCUUAGGAGUUUUGAAAAGGUUGAAAACUAUUUUAGUUUGGUUGACUUAACUGUCAAGCCAAACAAUCGGUUGUUUCGUGGUUUCAACCGAUUGUUUCUUUGAAAAGCCUAACAAAAUUAUGUUUUGAAUGUUGAAUCUGCUUUAAAUGUUUUUCAACUGAAUACGCUCCUUCAUUAACCAAUGUGUUGAAAGUAUAAAUGGUUUGUUUAUGUUUUCAAACAAAAAGAAGAAAACAAAUUUGAUUUUUCAGUUUGAGAAAUUUUGUUUCUAAGAUUUGAACAUUCACAUCAAGCUUUGGUUCCCCCACACCCCCCCCCCCUCUCAUUUAAGGCCAUAUAUUCUAACAAAGAAAGGUGAGAUACUUGGGGAAUAAUAUGGCACUCAUGACACCCAACCAGGGAGAUAGGAUGGAGGAUAUUAUCAGAAUCAAUAAAUAGUGGUUCGAAAGUGUUUUCGAGGUUAUAGAGCCAUGGUCUGAUGCACAUGUAACAGGUCACAAAGUCAUAUGGGUUAGAUGUUAUGGCCUCCCUAUAUCUUUAUGGAAUAGGGACUGUUUUUCUAAAGUGGUAGGGGAGGUAACCUCCUCGGUGGAUGUCGAUAAAGCAACGGAAGAGGGGGAUAACCUUGAGUAUGCCAGACUCCAGGUGCGCACCCUUAAAUCGUGCAAUGUGAGAUUAAAAAAGGGGAUGAAGAUCAAUGGUCAAAUCUUAAAUAUAUACAUGGAAGAAGAGCAACCUAAUUUCUUAGAAGGUAAAUGCAAGUUCACGUAUAAUCACUAUGCAUCCUCAAACAGCGUAACCUCAUCAGAAUCCUUCGUGGAGGGAACUAACUUAUCGGAGAAGAGUGUUGAUGAAGAGGGCAAGCUAGGGGAGGAGGAGCUGCGAUGGCCGAAGGAAUUAAAGGAAGGUGGGAAAGGUAACACACCAAAUAAGACAAAAUUUUCGAAUGAGAAGGAAGGGGAAAUGCAAGAUAAUCAGGGGCAGGAGAAAGGUGUCAGUGCUUACAUGAAUAAGGCAAAGGAGUUGAAGGAAAAUUUGCAGGGGUUGCUGCAGGGGAAUCAGCUUUGUCCGUAUCCCAUAUGGUCAACAUUGCAUGCAAAAGUAAUUUUGUUCAAGAAGCGUUAACCAACCUACUUGUAGCUUUGGAGGCAUCAAAUUGUAGCAAAGCUAAAAAGUGUGUGGGCCACGAGGGGUACGGGAUGAUGGCCCAUCAGGAGAGAGGGGUAGAGCCCAUACGGGAAGAAGAUAGCCCACACUAUGUAUCCAAUGCCUCCGCCCAUUCGACGUCUGGUACAAAUCGAAGGGAGGCAGAAGGGGACAUGGAGUGCGACAUGCAUCUAUCAACGUUGUGUGAAGAUGGGGCUGACAAAGAGAAUUUGCAUGGGGAGGAUUCCGAAGAAAAUUCUAGAUGGGAAAAAAGGUGUGUAGAAAAUAGAUAGUCUGGGAGGAGAGAGGUUGCUAUCGGCCGAUUAGAAGGGGACUCGGUGCAAGGGGAGAAGUGCGUUACAGAUUCCAACAGCGACGACAGAUCUAACCAAAGGGGCGGUGACAACCAGGAUGAACAAAUUGCGACUCUUGGUGAAGAAGAAGGCGCAAAGGAGGCCAGCUAUGUAAUACCAAUUAGGCAUAGAAGGCGUAAAGGGCUGUGGGAGUUGGGAAAAUCCAGUAGGAGGUCGCAGGGAAAAAUCCGACUUGAAGCAGUAAACAUAUCCGAUGAAAGUUGUAGAGAUUCAAGGGUCAAUAAAAUCUCUAAUAUUGUGUCUGAUGGAGAUAUUGCUAAAGGAAAUAGCAGAUGUAGGAAGGAUGGAAAAGAGGAAGAACCACUUGAUCUUUGGGUGGCUGGAAAAUGGCUCGGGGUUGCUUGUCAAGAGGAUGAGGAUGAUGUGGUUAAGGAAAUAGAAAAAUGGAAGCAAGAGAUCUUGAGGUUUUGAAGAAGCAUGAGGAGGGAAAUAAGGGGAGUUUUAUAUGAUCAUAGCAAACUUGAAUAUAAGAGGAGCGAGAGGGGGAACCAAGGCUAAAUACUUGAAAAACAUUAUUUUUAAGGAGUGGGUGGAAGUGGUGUGUCUACAAGAAACCCAAAUAACUGAGUUUUCGAAUGCGCGUUGCUUUGCUUUGUGGGGGAAUAAUGAGAUGGGUUGGAUACACAACGAAGGUAUAAGCGGGGCUGGAAGCAUGUUAGUAAUGUGGCACAAACAAGCAUUCAUAUGUGAAAGGCAUGUGGAGGGUAGGGGGUUUAUUGCAAUAUUCGGCCAGCAUACUAGCACAAAGCUAAAAUGCGUGGUGGUUAAUGUGUAUGCGGCUUGCAAUAUGACUGACAAGGUGGCCUUGUGGGAGGAACUAACAAAUAUGAAAAAUACCAAUCUGAUCUGAGCAUGGUGUUUUUGUGGAGAUUUUAAUGCGGUUAGAUGUGCAGACGAAAGAAAAGGUGUAGGAGAAAGGGGUAGCCAAAAGAGUGAGAUCAAAGAUUUUAAUAAUUUCAUUGAAAGGAACCUUCUGGUGGAACUGUCGGUAGUGGGCAAGAAGUAUACAUGGUUCAAGGCGAAUGGUACAAUAAAAAGUAGACUAGAUAGAGUGUUGGUGUGUGAUGAUUGGCUACACAAAUGGCCUAUGGAAAAACAAUACAUCCAACCAAGAGAGGUGUCGGACCAUUGUGCAAUAGUGGUGAAAUGUGUCUCAAAAGAUUGGGGACCCAGACCCUUCAGGACAAUAGAUUCUUGGCAAAUGGAGCCCAAAUUCAAGGACAUGGUAAAAGCUAAGUGGAGUUCGUAUGCAGUUCAAGGAGACAACAUAACAAAGCUAAAAAACAAGUUGAAAUGUCUUAAGUGGGACCUCAAAGUAUGGAAUAGAGACGUUUCUGGACAUUUAGCACUGAGAAGAAAAGGGUUUUGAAGGAAAUUGAGGUUCUCGAUAACCAAGAUGAUGGUUAAGGAAGUUGUGUGGAUGUGUGAGGGGUCAAAAAGCCCAGGCCUAGAUGGCUAUAACUUCAACUUUAUUAAACACAAUUGGGAGGCUCUAAAGCAGGACAUCUUAGAUGCAGUACACUUCUUUCAAGACUCUGGACGCAUGCCAAAGGGGAGUAAUGCAUCGUUCAUAGCACUUGUGCCCAAAGUGAAGGAUCCUCAAUGUUAGAUCAUCACAGAUCCAUAUCUUUUGUGGGUUCUCUCUAUAAAAUUAUAUCCAAAGUGUUGUCCUGUCGUAUGAAGAAAGUGCUAGCCUCGGUCAUUGAUGAAUGUCAAUCAGCCUUUCUGAAGGAUAGAGGGCUUCUUGAUAGUGUAUUAGUACCUAACGAGGUUAUUGAUGAGCUAAGGAGGUGUGGUAGCAGAGGUUUGUGUCUAAAAAUUGACUAUGAGAAGGCGUACGAUUCAGUGAGUUGGGCUUUCCUAUUUGAGAUGUUGCAGAGGCUGGGUUUCCAUACGAAAUGGAUCUUGUGGAUUAGAGGUUGUUUGGAAUCUGCAACAGUGUCAAUCUUGGUUAAUGGAAGUCCUACUUCAAAGUUCAAAGUCUCUAGAGGGUUGAGACAAGGAGACCUCCUAGCACAUUUCCUGUUUAUUGUGGUUGCUGAAGGGUUAACUGGGCUUGUUAGGUAGGCACUGAGAGCCAAUGUGCUUGUAGGAAUCUAGGUGGGUAGGAAGGAGGUCGAUGACAGCAUACUACAAUUCGCUGAUGAUACCUCUUCCUAUGUGAAGACUCAUACUCUAACGUAUUCACUAUAAAAGCAAUACUCAGGUGCUAUGAAUUGGCCUCGGGAUUGAAGAUCAACUUCCAUAAGUCAAAGCUUGUAGGAAUCAAUGUUGGAAUUCAGACCCUUGAGGUUUAUGCAAAGAGCUUACAUUGUACUAUAAUGAGGGUACCCUUUAAAUACUUGGGGCUGGAAAUAAGAGGAAAUCCCAAGAAGAAAAAGCAUUGGGAGCUGAUUAUAGAAAAGAUAAACACAAAGCUUAAUGGUUGGAAGGGGAGUUUUUUGUCUAUGGCUGGCAGAAUAUGCCUAAUUAAAUCAGUAUUUACAUCUCUAACGUUAUAUUACUUUUCCUUCUUCAAGGCGCCUAAAACGGUGUGUGAUAGAAUUAUCAGUAUUCAAAGAAGAUUCAUGUGGGGCUGGGGAAGGGAGAACAGGUCGAUACCAUGGGUGAGCUGGGAGAAAAUAUGCAGUCCUUUGGAGAAGGGAGGGCUGUUAGUUAAAGAUGUUAAGAAAUUCAAUGGUUCUCUUUUAGCGAAGUGGAAGUGGAGGCUUAUGAGAGGAGAAAAGGGAUUGUGGAAAGAAGUCUUGUUGUCUGAGUAUGGUAUGGACCUAGAACAAAGUCGUAGCAAUGAGAAGAAAUACUCUUGGUGGUGGAGAGACCUAUGUAAGAGUUGUGGUGAGGGAGAAGAUGUAUGUUGGUUUCAUAGUGCAAUUGGUUGGAAGUGGGGAUAAGGUGAGAUUUUGGGAGGAUGCAUGGGCUGGCAGUAGAUCUCUACGAAAUAUUUUCCCUAUGCUCUUUUCGUUAUCGGUCAAAACUGUAAGAAAGUAUGGCUUUAAACUAGAGGGGGGUGAAUGGUUUAAAGAGGGUUUUCGCAAACUUUUAAGUCUAGAAUGAAAUUACUUUGAGAAAACUUGAUUCAGAAUUCAGUUUUCCAAAAACACAAAGCAAUUUAGCACAGCACCAGAGAAACAAUCGGUUGUUUCGCAGAAACAAUCGGUUGUUUAUACCAGUUCACAAUAUAAACUGAAAUUAAACAGUUCAAGGGAUAGAAAGAUUGAACGCACAGGUUUACACUGGUUCACUCUUAACCAAGAGCUACAUCCAGUCUUCCCAGAAACCACUGGGGAAUCCACUAAGCAAUCAACCCUAAAUUACUUACAACACCACCAAAGAAGUGACCUUGAUCCCCUCAAGACACACACUUCCUUUGGCUCAGCACAAACACCACUAAGAAUGUUGAUCUUGACAACCUCAAGAACACACAGCACUUCUCAGCUUCACACACAGAGUUUCUUCAAAGUACAAAAGGAUUACACUUGUUACAGAAAGAUUUGAAAUCAAUACAAGAUGAAAAUCCUAUUCCACACUCUCUUGAUCCAAGCAAACUUCAACUCUUCAAAAGCAAAAUCAGUGAAAAACUCAAAUCUGUUUUUCUUUGAUUAAAUCCCAAUUCUUGUUUGUUACACAAACAUAACAAACUAUUUAUUGCUUUCAAAGACUGGUCAAAGCAUUUAAAACUGGAGCGUUAUCAGUUAUAAAAUCAUUUAAUGCUCAGUCAAAGCACAAAACAGUUUUCUGUUAUGGUCCCAAAACAAACAAUCGGCUGAAUACUUGAAUCAAUUGGUUGUUUUGGUUUGACAGCAAGUCAACCAUCAAAAACAGUUUUCAACCUUUCUAAAAACACCUAAGUAUAAAACAAUCGGUUGUUUCGACAAAACAACAUGUUGUUUUUCACUUAGUUUGAAAAACACUUUCAAUUAAAAGGUUUAAGAAUGCUUAAGCUUUGGAUUCAAUCAAGAGUGGAUUUACACAGAAAAUCUACCCCGGAUCCUAUUCUAAAACACCUUUGCAACAGCAAGCACAACCAGCCUCCCAUCAAACUUCAAAGGGGUUUGGAUUCUUCAAAGCUUGAACACACUUGAUUCUACAAUCUCCCCCUAUUUGAUGAAGACAAAUCCUUGGUUGCUUGUGUUGGAUUUGAUUGAAUCUGAAGCAGUUCCUGCAAAAAUAGCAUAUAUACAAUCCAUUGCUUCCUACAACAGCAGGUUAGAUUUUCACAUGUUCAAAACAAUAUUCCAGACAAACAAUCGGUUGUUUCUAUCAGCAUAAGAAAAAAUAGUUUUAAUAUCAGAGAUUUCAGCAGUUUUAAACACUUCCAGAGAAAAAUACACAAGAACCAAUCAAUUCUCCCCCUAUUUGUCUUCACAAAUAGACUCUAACAGGUAUUAAAACCGAUUUAGGAAAGAUUUUGAAGGUCAAGGAUACCUAACUCAUUUCUCAAAAAGAAGAACCUCUCUUUUGGUAAAGGUUUUGUGAAGAUAUCUGCUAGCUGCAGUUUUGUCUUGAAAAACUUCACUGCAAGUCCCCAUUGCUCACAUGAUCCCUGAUGAAAUGAUGGCGUAUCUCAAUAUGCUUAGUUCUUGAGUGCUGAAUCUGAUUUUUGGUAAGAUUGAUAGCACUUGUAUUGUCACACAUCAAAGGGACCUUGCUGAUUUGAAAUCCAAAGUCUGCAAGUUGUUGUUUGAGCCAUAGAAUCUGUGCAUAAAAGCUUCCAACAGCUAUGUACUCAGCCUCAGCAGUAGAGAGAGCCACAGAUGCUUGUUUCUUGCUAUGCCAUGAGAUGAGGCUUGAACCAAGAAGGUGGCAAGUGCCACUUGUGCUUUUCCUAUCUAGCUUGCAUCCUGCAAAAUCAGAAUCUGAAUAGCCAAUUAAAUGAAUGGGAGAGUGAGAAGGAUACCAUAACCCAACAAUUGAUGUUCCUUUGAGAUAUUUCAAAAUUCUCUUUGCAGCUUUGAAGUGUGACUCCUUCGGAUUUGCUUGAUAUCUUGCACAAAGACAUACCGCAAACAUAAUGUCCGGUCUACUUGUUGUUAGAUAGAGCAAAGAGUCAAUCAAACCUCUGUAUUUAGUUUGAUCUACCCCUUUUCCAACAGCAUUUGCAUCCAUGUAGUAGCUUGAUGGCAUUGGUGUGCUUGCUUCCUUGCAACUCUCCAUUUCAAAUUUCUUGAGAAUCUCUUUACAAUACUUUGAUUGGCAUAGAAAGAUUCCAUCCUUUGUUUGCUUAACCUGCAAUCCAAGAAAGAAAGACAAUUCUCCCAUCAUAGACAUUUCAAACUCACCUUUCAUAGCAGCCACAAAUUCUUCACACAAACUAUCUUGUGUAGCACCAAAGAUGAUGUCAUCAACAUAGAUUUGCACAAGGAUAAUUUCAGAAUUUGACUUUUUGAUUAAGAGAUUCUUGUCAAUCAUUCCCCUUUCAUAGCCAUGAGACAAAAGAAAGUUGCUAAGCCUUUCAUACCACUGCCUAGGAGCUUGCUUCAGCCCAAACAAAAACCUUUUUCAGCUUGAAGAUAUGAUUGGGAUAUUGGUGAUCUUCAAAGCCCGGUGGUUGAUCCACAUACACUUCCUCAUUGAUGUAUCCAUUUAAAAAGGCACUUUUGACCUCCAUUUGAAAGAGUUUAAAGCCACUCAUACAUGCAAAAGCCAGCAGCAACCUCAAAGCUUCCAAUCUUGCAACAGGAGCAAAGGUUUCACCAUAAUCAAUUCCCCCCUCUUGAUUGUAGCCUUUGGCAACUAGCCUUGCUUUGUUCCUUGUGAUCACACCAUCCUCAUCCAGUUUGUUUCUAAACACCCACUUCGAACCAAUGAUGUUCAUCUCAGCUGUUUUAGGGACAAGAAACCAUACCUCAUUCCUUGCAAACUGAUUCAGCUCUUCAUGCAUAGCUUCAACCCACUUUUCAUCCUUGAGAGCUUCAUCAAUUGACUUUGGUUCAAUUUAAGAGACAAAAGCAGUGUGCCUGCAGAACUUUGAGAUGGAGCUACGUGUUGAGACACCUUCCUUUAUUUGCCCAAUGAUGUUCUCCACUGACAGAUCUCUAAGAAUCCUCCAUUCUUGGGGCAACUCACUCUGCUGCAGAAUUUCAAUCGGUUGUUUGAAGGAAUCAACCGGUUGUUUUUCUGCACAGAUGUCCAGCUUCUCCAUACUUGUGUUCUGCUCAUCCUCUUCAGCACUAUUCUUCUAUAUUUGAAUGCUUUUGUGAUCCACUUCAUCAAAGACAACAUGAACAAACUCUUCUACAGUCAUUAGCCUCUUAUUGUAGAUUCUGUAUGCAUGACUAGUUAGAGAAUAGCCUAUGAAGAUACCAUGGUCAGCUUUUUCAUCAAACUUCCCUAGGUUUUCCUUUCCAUUGUUGAGAACAAAAUAGUUGCAACCGAAAACUAUGAGGUGAUUGAUGUUUGGCUUCCUUCCAUUGAAGAGUUCAUAAGGAGUCUUUUUCAGAAUUGGCCUAAUUAGCACUUUAUUCAUCACAUAGCAAGAGGUGUUAACUACAUCAACUCAAAAAUACUUAGGAAGAGAAUAUUCACUUAGCAUUGUUCUAACUAGUUCUUCAAGGGACCUGUUCUUCCUCUCCACCACACCAUUCUGUUGUGGAGUUCUUGGAGCUGAAAAAUUGUGCAGAAUUCCCAUCUUUUCACAGAACUUGCUGAACUUUUCAUUUUGGAAUUCACCUCCAUGAUCACUUCUUAUUGAGCCUAUGUUAUUGUUCUUUGUAUUUUGCAAGCUUCUUGAAUGCAGAGAAGGCAUCACUUUUUUAUUCCAAUAAGAGAGUCCAAGUGAACCUAGAAAAAUCAUCCACAAUAAUAAGAGCAUAAUAGUUUCCACCAAGGCUCAUGGUUCUUGAAGGUUCAAAACAAUCCAUGUGAAGUAGCUCAAAAGGUUUUCAAGAAGAAACAACAUUUUUUAUUUUAAAAGAAUUUUUCACUUGUUUCCCCUUUUGGAAAGCUUCACAAAUGUGGUCCUUCUCAAACUUGAGCUUUGGCAGCCCUAUCACAAGAUCUUUAGAAAUCAACUUGUUCAAGUGGUUCAUGUGAAUGUGAGCAAUUCUUCUAUGCCAAAGCCAAGACUCAUCAUGCUUGGAUAUAAGACAACCAAUUGAACAAGGUGAAGAGAUAUCUAGAAGAUAAAUUAUUGAUUCUCUUACCAAUCAACAUUACCUCUUUUGUGUUAGGAAGACAGAUUUUACAGGAGUUUAUUUUGAAGAUAACCUGAUCUCCUUUGUCACACAAUUGACUAAUGCUCAGCAGAUUGUGCUUUAAUCCUUCUACAUAGAGAACAUCAUGAAUGACCAAGAUAUUUUUGUCUCCUAUGGAUCCUCUCCCAAGAAUCCUCCCCUUAUUGUUGUGCUCAUAGGUAACGUGCCCUUCUGGCUUAAAGGAGAUGCUUAGAAACUUUGAUUUGUCCCCAGUCAUGUGCUUGGAGCACCCACUAUCUAGGUACCAUUGUUGCAUGCUCUCCUCCAAGGUUUCCUACAAAGAAGAUUUUCAAGUACAAAGAUUUGGUCCCCUUAUGAAAUGUGGGUCCAUUUGGUUUACAUUUAUCAUUUGAACCGUUACUACACUUGGGAAUCCACUUCAUAAAGCCCCUAGGAACAACAUAUUUUCUGAUUUUACAGAAUCUGACAGAAUGGCCUUUUUUCGUGCAGUAGAAGCAUGUAACAAUUGGUUGUUUCGACAGAUCAAUCAGUUGUUUUUCAGGCAGUUUCGAAAAUGACUUUGAAAAUCUAUCUUGCUUGUUCUAUGGGUUAAAACCCAAUCCAGCUUUUCCAAAAACACAGUUUUGAGAUGUCAAGACAUUCUCAAAGUUGGAUUGACCUUUAGAAAGCUUAUCCACAAUUUUAACAAGAUAAUGAAUGAACUUUCUUUUCAAGAUUUUCGCAAUUUUCACAAAUAAGAGUAUCACUCUUGCAAGAGGAGCUUUUGUAAACUAUUUCAAGGUUUUCAAAAUUUGUUUUUGAAUUUUCCAAUUCCUCUUCCAGUGUUUUGACUUUGUUUUCAAGCCAGCUAUUCAUUCCCUUUAACUGGUUUUUCAAGAAGGCCAAUCGGUUAGCUUCUUCAUGUGUUUCUUGAAAAGCUUGAAGCAAUUGACUGUAAUUUUCAGAGUUUGAGGAGUUAGAAGAACUUACACUACUUGAUUCAUCUUCCUUUUUGGCCAUGAAGCAGAGGUUGAGGCUUUUUCUGUUUUUCCUCCUUUUCCUUCGUGCUUGACUUCUUGAUCUUACUUCCUUUGAUUCAUUGAUGUUCCCAUGAGUAGCUUUGAGUGUGUCCCACAUCUCUUUAGCAGAUAUGCAUUUUGAUAUCCUGAAAAACUCAUUAGUAUCUAGUGCAUAAGCUAUUAUGUUUUGAGCAACACAAUCAAGCUUGGCCAUCUUACAUUCUUCAUUGGUCCAUUGGGACCAAGGUUUUGCAAUAAAAGAUCCAUUCUUUUUAAGCUUUGGAAUGAAAGGGCCAUUUUCGAUUGAAUCCCAAAUUCCUUGAUCAAUAGAUUCAACAAAGAUUUUCAUUCUAGCCUCCCAAUACUUAUAAUUCAAACCACAGAAUAAAGGUGGUUUGUGGAUUGAAGCACCUUCCUCAAAAGAUAGUUUUCCAGCCAUAGAAAAAGAUUUUCGGAUCAAACUUGAUUAUCUUUCAAGUACCAAGCUCUGAUACCAAUUGUAAGAAAGUAUGGCUUUAAACUAGAGGGGUGAAUGGUUUAAAAAGGGUUUUCUUAAACUUUUAAGUCUAGAAUGGAAUUACUUCGAAAAAACUUGAUUCAGAAUUCAGUUUGCCAAAAACACAAAGCAAUUUAGCACAACACCAGAAAAACAAUCAGUUGUUUAUACCAGUUCACAAUAUAAACUGAAAUUAAAGAGUUCAAGGGAUAAAGAGAUUGAACACACAGGUUUAUACUGGUUCACUCUUAACAAAGAGCUACAUCCAGUCUUCCCAGAAACCACUGGGGAUUCCACUAAGCAAUCAACCCUAAAUUACUUACAACACCACCAAAGAAGUGACCUUGAUCCCCUCAAGACACACACUUCCUUUGGCUCAGCACAAACACCACUAAGAAUGCUGAUCUUGACAACCUCAAGAACACACAACACUUCUCAGCUUCACACACAGAGUGAUAGAGAUCAAAUAAGGGAGGAUUUUACUAAUGGAGGAAGAGGUCAUUCACCCAAACAUUUGAAGUUCUUCCUUCUAGUCUUCUCAAAAAUUAAAGAAGAAUUAAAAUAAAGAGAGGACCAAACCUAAAGCCAAAAGAAGACUCAAGAAUGGGCUUCAAUUAAUAUCUCUCUUUAUAGUUUCUUUUGUAUAAAUUUGUUAAUAAUAUAGAAUAGUGUUUAGGUAGGUGCUAAGAGGGAAACCUAAAGAUACCUCUUGUGUAAAGCAUCUUUAGAUAUUAGCUUUAGAAAAUUCUAGAAAGAUAUCCCUUCCUCCUUCACUUUAGGCGCUAGAAGUGGAAGAGUUACAAGGGAACUUUAGUUAGCUUCUUUUGUAAGCCUCUUGUACUUUCAUGACUGGUCCUUCUCCUAUAUAAGGAGGACUUGAGUCUUUCUAAUACAGAUUUGAUAUUUUGAGUAAAGAAAUUCUCCCAAAUUGGUGAGUGAUAGAGAGACUUGUGUCUUUUCUUCUUCUAGUCUCAUCUUGAGUGCAUCUUGGAACCUCAAGUGGCGGCAUCUACACUCAUCUUGGAGCCUUACAUCCUUCAAGUGGCAUGUUCAUCUCCAAGAACUCCAACCACAUAAGUUCCCUAUUUCAUUUCAUCUUCUUCAUCCAUUUUCCCUUCAUUCCAAAUUACCCAUUUUUGUUCUACUUGUUUGUUUUCACUUUCAAUCGGUGCAAUCUCUUCCUUAUGAUGUCCUCUUUCAUUUGCUGUACUUUACAUUCUUGUAGUUACCUUUCUGUUUUAGGUUUAUUUUUGGGUAUUUCUUGUUGUUUUCUUGUUGUUCUUACAUUGUGUUUGUGUCAUUUUGAUUUGUGAAUCCUUAUUAGUUUUGUCAAAGUCAUGUUUCUCCCAAAAUGUUAUCAAUUCCAUGUGGUCCUUUUGUUGUAAUUUUUGUUUCUUGAUUUUGUGUUCAGUACAGUUUUAUGUGUUUGUUUCUUGAUCCUUUGGUGCAUUUUCUUGUGGUUGGGUAACCAAUUCUGGUAGGGUGGGUGUCCAGUUUUGCCACAGGUGUAAUAUAUGGCCCAUAUUACACCGAUUAAGCCAUCUAACUGGUGUAAUAUAGGGCCUAUAUUCAAAAACAUUUUGAUUUUUUUUUCAUGAAGAGUGGGUGGCCAUAAACGUCACAGAAGUGACAAUUUACAGGCACACGGGUAACCAGUUUUGCGUGUGCCAGUACAUGUGGAGGAACUUGUGGUUGGGUAACUAGUUCGAGUAGAGUGGGUGUCCAAUUCUACCAUGGGUGUAAUAUAUGACCCAUAUUACACCAGUUAAGCCAUCUAACCGGUGUAAUAUAUGCCCCAUAUUAAAAAACUUUAUAAAAAAAUUUUCAUGAAGAGUGGGUGGCCAUAAACGUCACACAAGUGACCACUUACAGACACACACAUAACUAGUUUUUCGUGUGCCAGUACAUGUGGAGGAACCUCUGGCUAGGAAACUAGUUCUGGUAGGGUGGGUGUCCAGUUCUACCAUGGGUAACCACGUGGUUAGCCCAAAGGGUAGUAAUGGCGAAAUUGAAAGUGAUUGAGGAGUAAGGGUGAGUUUUUAAUGUUGUGGGGGUGAUGCAAAAGCAAUUUCUGACUCAUUUGAGACAGUUGAUGCUGUGAAAAGUUGGUGGUCAUAAACAUAACACAGGUGGCCAGUUACACAAACACAAGAGUAACCACUUUGAUUGUGACAAUAGGUCUGCAAGAAGCUAUGUCGUAUAUUACACCGGUUGGCUCGAGUAACCGGUGUAAUAUAGGUCCAGUUCUGAUAGGUGAGUGAAGCCAAUGACAUUGAACACUUGAACAACAAACAAAAGAAGCAUCGGUGACCGCACAAGAAAGACGUUUAUGGUUUGUGUUUCGCUUGCUCUACUGCUUGGUUUGUGCUUUCCGCUACUUCUUUCUCUCUCCCUCCGACGAGGCCGCUGCUUCUUUCUCCCUUUCGUUCGAAACUUUUAUGCUUCCGUACCUGCACUCCAACGCUAAACCCUUACACUCUUACAAAAUUGCUCUCAGUGUCACAUCACUCCCAUAAGAAUUACAAAAAGUCCAACUGCCACAUCCUCAUCUAAUGCCAUGUCUACGGCGUCAAGUGUGUGUUAGUAGACAGAGGGUAUUAACAAAACAUUUUCGUAAAAAAAAUUAAAAUUGUUAGUGAAUAUUGAAAUGCAUUUUUGGUACAGGUAAAAGAAAUUGGUAUUGGUAAUUCUUUGAACAUGUUUUUGAUGCCCUCCUAGUACAAUGACUAUUUUUUUUUUCUGAAAUCUCUUAAUUAAUCCAUUUAUUACCACUUUUUUCAGGAUAAAUCUAAUUUUUUAAAAAUUCCAUAUUUAAACCAAGUCUCAAUUUAUUUAGAGUCUUAAAAUUGUUAAUUGAUUUCUGAAUUCAAUGAUGAAUUUACUAUUAAAUUUGCAUGCCGAUUUCUAUGCAUGUAUUUAAUAUAAUUAAUAUGAAAAUAUAAAUUUUUAAAUUAAAUAUAUUUAAAAAAUAAUUUUAAAAACAUAUUUAAAUUUUAAAAAUAUUAAUAUUUUCAAUGUUAUAAAACCUUUUAAAUUUAUGAAUACUAUAAAAAAAUGAUAAUAAAAGACGAUUAAUAAUAACCAUUUCAAAAUUAAUUUAAUGUAAAUGAAUAUAAUAUUUAAAAUAUUUAAGUUUAUAGUUAAUGAGAACUUUUGUCUCACAUAAAUCCUUUUCCAAAAAUAUUUCUCAAAUAAUUUAAAUAGAUAACAAAAUAAUUGAUAAAAAAAUAUACUUUUUACAUUUUAUUUAUCAUCUUUUAAGUAAUUAAUUAUAUUAAAAUUCGUUUGAAUUAGAAAAUAAAAAUACUUAAUAUAAAUUAAUAUUAAAUGGAUUUUUUAAUUUAAUUUUAAUAUAAAUUUUUAUUAUUUUUUAUAAUGAUUAAUAUAAAAAGUUAAUGAAACAAAAAGAUAAGCAAACAUAAAAACAAACAUAAUAUAAACCAGAUGUUAUGUUUAUUUAACCGAUUGAGUUAUUAUAAAAAUAAACUAGAAGAUAAUAGUACAGUUUAAAAGAUAGAGGUAGAGAGAAUCACACAAAAAAUUUAUAUUGGUUCACUUUUAACCAAGAGCUAUAUUUAGUUUCUAAUGAGAUACUGAGAUUUUACUAAAUCAAAAUCAAAAAUUACAUAAGAACUACGCACAAUAGCUUUGGUCCUUGAACCUUUCAAGAAAAACAAACUCUCAUAGACAUAACAGAAAAAUCAAAAACCCUAUCUGGAUUUGCCCUAAGAACAUAAUAUAAGAAAAUAUGAAACGAAAGCACCUGAGUCUUUUAUAGAAUAUGAAAACAGAGAAUUACAAACAUAGGAAACAUUUCUUCAGACAACAUGAUAAUCCAAGAUUAAAAAUAACCUCAAAGACUUUUUUUUGCAAUUUGUUUUCUCAAGAAAUUCAUUACUUUAAAAUGUUCAGAAAACACCUUUUAUAGGUUAUAAUGAUUGUCAAAAUCAGUUUUUCCAUUAAUGAAAAUAGUUGUGUCAAUUAAACCCAGAUUGAAAAUCAUAACAAAAUUUGUUAAAACAUUUAGUUGAUUCUUUAAAAUAAUUGACUGAUUUCAUUUAGAAGAAUAAAUUAAGUUUAAAACACUUGAUUUAUUUAUCGAAAUAACUAGUUCAUUUCAUUAAACUGAAAAUAAAAAAAGAUUUAAUAUUAAAGUCUUAAGGUCAAGUAUACAAAUAUUUCUUUUAAAUCAUUAAAAAAAAUUAGUAUUUUCAAUCAGUUGAUACGAUAAAUCAAUCUGUCAAAAUACUUUACUAAAGUCACAAGGCUUCAAUGUAAGUGAUUUUAACCGAUUAAAAACUUGAAUCAACUUAUUUAAAAACAUAACAAAUUUUAAAACAUUUUCUUAGAGAUGUCUUGAAGCAUAAUGCAUAGUGAUGAAUAUACUGCAAAAUCUACCUAAGCACACACAUGCACAACUUUGCAGACCAUGGUUGAGCUUUGAGCACAUCAAAUCCAUCCACUUUAGUGAACAAUCUCCCCCUAUUUGUUGAAGACAAAACAUUGAUGUUGUGUAGAUUUUGCAAAAGAUGAAGUCCUGCAAAACAAGGAAAUACCAAGCAAUCCAAACAACAUACGCAGAUAACACAAAAUAUUUAAAAUAUAAAACAAAAUCCAACAACAGUGUUUUAACAACAACCAUUUUUUUCUCCUCCAUUUGUCUUCAACAAAUAGACAAACUAUGGAGAGACUAAAAUAACAACAAAGAAAAUUUAAUCACCAUGAUGGUAGAGAAUUGACAGUUGCUCCUACAUUGCUUCAAUUUGCUGAUCAAGGUGUUCAAACCUUGCUUCAACCCUUUCAUAAUGUUCCUUCUGUGUUACAGAGAUAAAAUCAAGCUUGUUCACCAUGAAUCUUUUGAAACUUGAAAGCAUUUUACUUCUUUCAAAUGGAGGAACAUAUGGUAUCAAGGCUUGCAAGUUGUAAUCUUUAGCAACUCCACUUUUUCCACUGGAUCCAACACCAUGACUUGAUCCAGCCAUAGGGUUGUCAUUUUCUUUGCUUACCCACCUGUCAUUCAUUUUCACAGGUCUUUCCUUACUUCCUUUAAGUUCUUCUCUUUCAACCAGUUGAAAGAUAGCAUCUUAGGAGUGUUUAUUAUUUUCUUACUCAUCUCAUGGAGGAAAACUUCAAUUUGUUCAUUAUCAUCAGAGAACCAAGUCUCCAGGUCACCAGCCCUUGUUGUGCCAUUUGAAGCUCAUGUCUUCUUUUGUUUUGAAGGGUGAGAGGAUGCCAUUUAUGAUCUUUGAUGAAAUGAUGUCUAAUUUCAAUGUGCUUUGUCCUUGAGUGUUGUAUUUGAUUCUUAGUAAGAUUAAUUGCAUUAGUAUUGUCACACAAUAAAGCACAUUGCUUAGCUUUAAUUUAAAGUCUUCAAGUUGUUGCUUAAUCCAUAAUAUUUAAGCAUAGCAGCUGCAAGCAACAAUAUACUCAGCCUUUGCAGUGGAAAGAACAACACAGGCUUGUUUCUUGUUGUGCCAAAAGGGUGGAACCUAUAAGAUGGCAUGUACCACUUGUACUCUUCCUAUCUAGUUUGCAUCUUGCAAAAUCCGAAUUAGAAUAUCUAAUGAAAUUUAUAGUAGAGUUAGAAGGAUAACAUAGACAUACUGAUAAGUGUCAUAUUUCAGUAAUAUUACAUAUUAAAUUACGGACACUUAUGUGUAUUUAUUGAUAAAAUAACUAUAAUUUAACCCUUAAUUUAUGAAUUUAAACAUUUUUAUACAUUUUGUGAUUAUAAUAUGAAUAAGGACGAUUUAUUUUCAAAUUUGUGUUAAUUUCAUAAUUUUAUGGAAAAAUGGAAAUGUAAGGGCUAAAGGAUAAUAGACAAGAUAAAAAGGGAAGGUUGGAACGCUCAAAACUCGCCCAAAAACUCGCCUAAGUCAGAAGCACUCUAGAGUAACUCACCCAAGCGAGAUCACUCUAGAGAAGUUGGGUUUUUUCUCGUCCAACUCGCCCAGACGAACCCAAUCAUGCCCAGGCGAGAAGUCACUUAGACCAAACCCAACUAGGUAAAAUAUGAGGCAUAAGGCACAACCCUAGACAUCAUUGGGAAAAUAGAAUGUGAAAAAAACCUUAGAGGAGGCAACCGUCAAGGAGAAAUAUCAUGGAUAUUAUUUUCUUGCUUUUCAUGCUUGUAAUGGCCAACAUGAGUCAUUGUGGUUCUUGAACCCUUCAAGAACAAGGCACACACAAUGCUGAAAAAAACUCUAUUUCAGAAGCAAAAACACUCCAAGAAACCCUAUCAAGAAGUGUCCAUACAACCACCUUUACACAAGAAUGAAUGAGGAAAGAAAAGACUUGAAAAGAGUGUACAAGAACCCAAAACAACAACACUUUUCUGCAACACAGUAAUGAUAGAACCUCAAACCUUGACCAAGGCACAGAAUGAACAAGCAUACUUGAAUUCCUUUAAGAGAACCUUUUAAGAAAACAUUCAAAGCUUUUAUCUCUUAAUAAAAACUCUUUGAUCUGUGGUAAAAAAACGUGAUCACCCAGUCAUUUUUCAUGUGAGAUGUGCCUCUCUUUAUAUAGAAAACAAUUUAUAACAAUUUUUCAAAAACAGUUGAAAGUUGUUAUAAUAAGAACAGGUUGAAGUUAAAAUAAACGGUUGUUUUUUUUAAAGCAAAAAAUGAUUUUUAAACCACUUCCAACUCAUCUUACUGUAAUAAAGGGAUAAAACAAACUAUUUGGUGCCCUAACAGAAUUUUGAAAAAAAACUUUAACAAAAGAGCACCAAUUCAUAAAUAAAUCUAUUAUUUUACAAAUUAACAGAUUUAUUUUUAUGCAGUAACCUGAUUUUUUAGAGAACUUAAGGUAGUUGAUAGAAGAACUUAGAAAAACAUUUUGUGCUUGAUCUUACCACCUUGGUUAGGGACAUGAAGUAGGCCACGCAGCAACAGAUCACCUUAAACUAACUCUAACCUAUUAUGACCACUAAUAACAUCAUCACUAAUCUUCAAAGUAAACAAUACAAUUUUCUACAUCAAACACACUAGCACUUGCAGAGAAGAAGCUUCAUCCAUCUUCAACAUAUUCAUCCAGUUAUUUUUCUAGACUAAGUUCCAGCUUUUGCAAAAUGGUGCUUUGAUCGUUUUCUUCUACACAUUUCUUUAAAGAAUCUUGUUCUGCAUGGUUAGUCUCAUCAAAUACAACAUGAACAAAUUUUUCAAUAGUCAUCAAUAUUUUGUUAUAGACUCUAUAUGCAUGACUACUUCAAGAAUAUCCAAGAAAGAUGUUAUUUUUAGCUUUUUCAUAAAACUUGCCAAAGUUUUCCUUUUCAUUAUUUCAAAUGAAACAUUUGCAGCCAAAUACCCUUAAGUGACCAAUGUUGGGUUUUCUUCCAUUGUACAAUUCAUAAGGUUUUUUUUUCAAAAUAAGUUUCAUAAGGACUUAUUCAUUACAUAACAAGUUGUGCUAACAGUAUCAACCCAAAAAUACUUUUGGUAGUGAAGAUUCAUUUAAAAUAGUUAUAGCAAGUUUUUUAAGAGACUAUUUUUCCUUUCAACAACCUCAUUUUGUUGGGGAGUUCUAGGAGAGGAAAAAUUGUGAAGAAUAACCACUUUCACAAAAACAACUAAAUUUUUCAUUUUGAUAUUCUCCAUCAUGGUCACUACGGAUGACACAUAGGUUACUGUAGUUUUUAUUUUGUAACAUCUUGGCAAGCUUUUUGAAUGCAAAGAAAGUAUCACUCUUGGAUUCAAGAAAUAAAGUACGUGUAAACCUUGAGACAUCAUCAAAAAUUACAAGAUCAUAGUAAUUUCCACUAAGACUCCUGGUUCUUGAAUGACCAAAUAAAUCCAUGUGAAAUAACCCAAGGGAUCUAGUUACUUAAACAACAUUUUUUAUUUAAAACAAAUCUUUUUUCUUGUUUUCUCUUUUGACAUGCUUCACAUAUAUGGUUUUUCUCAAACUCGAGUUUAGGUAGACCAUCAACUAGUUAUUUUGAAAUCAACUUGUUUAAAUGAUGCAUAGUUAUAUGAGUUAUCCUCUUAUGCCAUAACCAUGAUUUUUUAUGUUUGGUUAGGAGGCAAUCUAUAUCAGAUGCAGAAACAGAAAUGUCAAGCAAGUAAACAUUGUUGAUUCUUUUACUAAUCAACAAUACUUCUUGUGUGUUAGGCAAGUUGAUUUCACAUGUAUUGGGUUUUGAAGAUGAUUUGAUAGUCCUUGUCAAACAACUGAUUUAUGCUUAGGAGGUUGUGCUUUAAUCUUUUCUAUGAACAACACUACAUUGAUCAGAAACGUAUUUUUAUCACUUACGGUGUCUUUGUCGAGAACUCUUUCUCGGUUAUUGUCUCCAUAUGUGACUUGUCCUUCUUGCUUGAGAUGGAACUUCACAAACUUGCUCUUGCCUCCUAUCAUAUGUUUUGAGCAGCCACUGUCCAAAUACCAGAGAUGUUUAUUGGCUUGGUCAUUUUAUUGAAGUCAAAAUGAAGUCUUUACUCCAAACAAAGGUUCUGAGAAUGCCCGGUAACAAAUCACAUAAACCAAUAGUUAUAAUCCUACGCAUAUUCUCUAAAGAAGAGAAAACAAAUUUAUAGAAACUUUUAUCUAGAGGAAUUGUUUGCCAAGUAGCCAAAGAUCCAUGUGGAGAACCUAAUAUACAAAACUCAAGGUGCGUUAAGACUUAUGUCCCUUUUAGAAUAACUCUUCCAUGAAAAUAUUCUUGCAAUCUUCCAAGCUAGCCAAGUAAACCUCUUUAUGAAUCUGUACUGAAACCAUGUCACCCUUAAUGCAUGACAUGAAAAGUUGAGUUAAAGAGAUAUUACACGCAUUGUUAAAGACUUGAGCGAAAGUCUUUCUCUAAACCCAUGCGGAUUGUUAAGGAAAAGGCUUAGGACCUUCUUGAUCUUUUAGACAACCCGAUGAUACUUGAAACCUAGUAGAAUCCUGGCUUAUUAUGCCGAAAAGCAAAAAGAAUAGCCAAGAAAACUAGGAUCACCAAAAUGCAGAAAAAAAUAUCAAAUAGGUUAAAACGUUUAACGUGCAACAAAUAACCUUGCAACAAAGAAACCAACAAACGUGGAUUCAACAAGAAACAUAAGCAAAUGCGAGGUAGAAGAAAGAGGAACCAAAAAAUCCUAGAAAACCGAGAAGAGGAAUGAGAAAGGGAGAAAAUCUUAGGUAGAUACUUAGAGAAUUUUGUUUCAAACUCUUAUCAGUCCAAACUUUUUUUUUUUUAUCGGCAAAAAAAAUUAGUUAAAAGAGAUAUUUCAAGGGUAUCUCAAUUCGUAUACAGAAACCUGCCAAACACACAGGCCAACUGCUCCUCUCAAGUAGAGGAAUUCUUAGAAAAUAUAACAGACCUCAUAUAUACCAUUGACUCAAGAUCAAUCCAAACUAUUAUCAUAAUUAUUCCAAAUAUUUUGAGAUUUCGUAUCACUUCUUUUAAAAAGAUUUGAGAAAAUAUGUCUGAAAAAUUAUAAAACCUAGAAAUAUUUGUAUUUCUUUCUAAUGUUGUAACCGUCUUUAUUCAAGGAAUAUGUAAUAUGGUAUUUUAUAUAUGUUAUAUUUAGUUGUGAUGCUGUAUGUAUAAAGUGCAUGAAAUUUGUUGUUUUUUCAAGUGAUACGUUUCCAAAACAAGUAGCUCAUUUAAAAAAAAAAGUAUAAUUUCAACAUUUAUUGCUACUUUAACUAGUCUUGAAAAAGUUGAAAGUAACCCUUUCAACAUUUGUUGUGCUGUUAAUCAAUGUUGAAAAAUGCAACUUUUAACACCUAUUGAUAUUGAACAUAUAUUUUAAUGUUGGAUAUUGAAGUGAUAUUAAAAUUUCAUAAUUUUAAGUAUGUANNNNNNNNNNNNNNNNNNNNNNNNNNNNNNNNNNNNNNNNNNNNNNNNNNNNNNNNNNNNNNNNNNNNNNNNNNNNNNNNNNNNNNNNNNNNNNNNNNNNUUAGUAUAUAUAUAUAUUAUAUAUAUAUAUAUAUAUAUAUUAUAUAUAUUUAUAUUUGUAUCUGUAUAUAUAUAUAUAUAUAUAAUAUAUAUAUAUAAAUAUAUAUAUAUAUAUAUAUAACACCAAUUCUAAAAUUGAAUUUAAAAGGUUCACAAAAAUUAAACAUUACUGUAAUAUUGAUAUAUCAAAUCAAUUUAUUCAUCUCUUUUUUUAAUCUCCGCAAUGGUCGGUUAGAAAUUUUAAUAUUAAUAGUAUGAAAUGUAUAGACAUACACGUAAAUAUUGUUUCUUCCUUUUAUUCCUACCUUUUUCUCUACUGACGUGUAUCUUUUUGUACUAUUAUUUAUUUUUCUCCACUUUUUUCUUUUUGAACUACUUAACCUUUUUGUACCGACAUAAGUCAUUUGUUAAUCAUUAAAUAUUUUAUUAUUAAAGUAUGAACAUGGUGAGUGGUAGGUAAGGUCACAUGUUGAUGUCUGUUUGUCUUUGGCAAGUGAAUCGGUAAUGAUGAAACUCUCGUUAAUAAAUAUAAUCUUAUCGGUUAGAUAAAAAAAUAAUUAAAAUAAUAAUGCAAUCAGAAAACAAUGCAAAGUUAAAUAUAUUUAAAAAUAAAGAUAUUACUUUAAAUGAUAUUCAUUCAAUUUAUAACAAAAGCAUUAUAUAUACUAAAAAAGAAUCAUUAGAUAAAAAUAAAUUUUAAGGAUAAAAAAAUAAUAAAUCCUAUAUUAAUUAAAUUAUAUACUAUUUUUUAAAAAAAGUUACUAGUAUAUAAAAUAGUUUUUAUUAUUAAUAAAUAGUGUUUAAAUGUGUAUCUAAUUAAUUACAAAUUUAGAAACUUUUUAUUAAUAAUAGAAACUAUUUUAGAUAGAAGUAAUUUUUUAAGUUUCUACAAUAUUAUCUAAUUUAGUUAAUAUAGUGAUUAAUUAUUUUUUGCCUCUAAAGUUAGUUUUUAUCUAAUUAUUUUCUUGUAGUUAACCUUGGAAACUGCAAAUUGUUGAAAGUAUUGUAUACAUCAACACAACUAAGAUUUUGUGGGAAGGUCUAACAGGAGAUUUUCAUAAAGGGAUUAUUUAGAAUCUCCAAUAUGUUGAUUAGUAGGUGCGACAUACCAUGUAGUUGCGCGUUGUCCAAAAUCAUCGUAAAUUAUGAGAAUGAGGAUAUAUUUUAUUCUUCUUCAAAAUUAUUAAUCUUUAAUCUUUAAUCUUGUGAAGACUUAGGUGCUUUUAAUGGAACCACUUCUGAAUAUCAACAAACUAUUUUCCUUGGUCAUACAUCAAGAAAGAAAUUGACUGGGAAUUUUCUUCAUGAAACCAAGGUUUUUAUGAAUACUAUUGAGAAACAACGGAUUUGGAAUACUAUUGAGAAAUUGAAUUGUAAGGCUUAAGGACAUGAGGGAGGGAGGAUGGAUAAAUCAUGACAGAGGCAGAGGACAAGACCUUGCUUAGGGAUCGAAAUGCACUUAUUAUUGAUGAUUGUUAUUCCAAACACAAGUACCCACAUAGGUUCAAAUAGAGGCAAGAUUGUGAUGUUAGGAACAAUUUAGACAAGAAAAACGAACUUUCAGGAUAGUUCUAUGUAAGGGAAAGUCAAGAAUCUACGCAAGCUAGUAAUUUCAAUCCUUUUACUCUUAACAUUAAUCAAUUACAUGGGGUGCACUCUUCCGCUAAAGAUUCAAAAUCAUAUAGGAAUCUUUGGAUACUUGACACGGGAGCUUCUAACCAUGUCACACAUGAUAAAACUAAAAUUAUUUUCUUUUAUAAGAUAUAACAAAUUCAAAUAAGAUUGCUCAAUAACACCUUUAUUAUAGUAGAAUACGCUAGCACACUUAAAUUUUUUGAAGUCUUUGUUAUUUAUAAUGUGCUAUACUUACCUUAUUUUGCCUCUAAUUUGAUAUUUGUGCAAAGAUUAAUUGAAGUUAUGAAUUUCAAACUAAUAUUUUUUACAAGGUUUGACAGAUAUAGGACAAUUCUACAUCCAAAACGAUUAAGCUAACUUAGAUAGAUGAUUAUACUAUCUUUAGAAUUUUACAUCUGUUUUUACAAAUUUACAAUCUUGUACUAAUAUUAUUUUGAGUUGUACUGAUAUUGAUAUUUAAAAUUUUAGGUUAAGACAUCCUUCCAAUAGAAUUGUUGAACAAAUGUGCACAAAAUUUCCUUUUAUACGUUCUAAUUGUAGAUUUGUGUGUGAUACAUGCCAUUUUGCAAAGAAUCAUAGAUUACAUUUCCAACAAAGUGAUUUUAUUUAUUUAUUUUAAGAGCUUUUAAACUCACUCAUAUUGAUGUAUGGAGAUUGGUUGCUAAUACAUCUAUUCAUGGACAUAGAUUCUGUUUUACUAUUGAUGAUGAUUAUACUAGGCAUACUUGGGUUUAUCUCAUGAAAUCCAAGGGUGAAACCAGGUUUCUUUUGUCUAAUUUUGUCUUAUAUGUUAAAACCUAGUUCAAUCUUAAUAUUAAAAGUGUUAGGACUGAUAAUGGGAAGUAACUUGACUAUGAUGAGUUGUAUAAUAGAUACAUGUAUUGUGCAUAAAAAAUCAUGUGUUAAAACUCCUCAACAAAAUUUUGUUAUAGAGCGUAAACACCAACAUAUCUUGAACGUUGCUCAUAGUUUAAUUUUUCAAUCCAAUUUAACUAUAAUCUAUUGGUCUUAUGUUAUUUUUCAUGUUGUUGAUAAGUGUCAUAAUUCAGUAAUGUUUCAUACAAAAAGAUAAACAUUUAUGGACUUUAAUUGAUAAAAUAGUUAUAAUUCAACCUUUAAUUUGUGAAUUUAAAUCUUUUUACAUAUUUUUGGAUUAUAAGAUGAAUGUGAACAAUUUAUUCCCAAAUUUGUGUUAAUUUCAAGAAUCUAGGAAAAAAUAGAGAUAAAAGGGCUAAAGAAAAAUUGACAAGUUAAAGACAAGUUGAAAAAGACAAAGUUGGAACAUUGAAAACUCGCCCAAGUAAGAUCACUCCAUAGGAACUCGCCCAAGACUCAUCCAAGGCUCGCUUAAGCGAGUUCACUCCAGUGAAGUUAGGUUUAGGGUAAUAUCUCGCUUAAGUAAGUAAUAUCUCGCUUAAGCAAGAUGUCACUCAACCCAAGCCCAAUUAGGUUAAACAGAAGGCGUGAGACAUAUGGAUUUGUUUCCUACCAUUGGGCCCAAUCCGUCUCCUGCCAUUAUGCUGCUAGCAAUUAGAUCUAUGACUUCUUUCUAUCUAUACUAAUUAUUUCAAUGUUCAUCUUUAUAUUGAUAAAUUGGAUGAAAUUAAUUAAGACACUUGGGCCUCAGAUAUUAAAUUAUGGCUUAAGAGUCAAGCAUAUGUUGAUCAUCUUACCCAAUGUGUUCGCAAUGUUGUUGCAGAUGAGACUUCCCAUUGGUUGAAAAUUAAUGCUCCAUUAUGCAUUGUUGUUAAAUCUAUUAUUCACUCAUCUUUAAAAAAAAUAGUGUUUUUGAGACGUGUUUAGAAGUUUGGGAAUAGGCGAAAUUAUUAUACACCAAUGAUACUCAACGUCUUUAUGGUGUGUGUCAAAAUCUCCUUACCGUUGUUGCUCCUAAACAUCUUGAUGGUACAAUGGCUAAAUAUUUGGGUAAACUACAUGCUCUUCUUCAUGAUUUUAAUGAAUUAUUGCCUCCUACCUCCACUCCUUCUCAAGAACUAGAGCAACGGUCCAAGUUCUUCAUGUUAUUGGGCUUACAUGGCCUUCCUGAUGAUUAUUUUCAUGUCCGUGAUCAGAUUUUGGGAUCUUCUAUUGUUCCCAAUUUUACUUCCACUUGUUCUACCAUUCUGUGUGUGUCAGGUAAACACAUCACUGAUAUACCUCUUCCAGUUGAUAACUCUUCUUUUGCUUUAAUCUCUCAGAAUUGUGAUCGCACUCGCCUUUCCAAGCCGGGCAAAGGGCGUAACAAGUGUGGCCAUUAUGGUAAAAUUGGCCUCAAAAUUGAUCAGUUAUGCCUUACAUGGUCGUCCUCCUAGAUCUAUUACGGUUGCCCAAAAUGUUCUUGUUCAACCUUCUACCAUGGACCUUACUUCAUUUGAUAUCUCAAGCCAACUUGUAGUUUCAAUUAAUUUCUUAAGCGGUAUGAGGAUCGUCAGAACUCUGGUUCCCCUACUUCUGUUACAUAUUCAGAUACACCUUUCGAUGGCCUUACUCACUCCAAUUAUCUUGGUCCUUAGGUUCUCGACUCAGGUGCUAGCGAUCAUAUUAUUGGUAAUAAAUCUUUUUUCUCUUCUUUUUCUACUGCCGGUUAUUUACCAUCCAUUACGAUGGCCAAUGGCUCUAGGGUCUCAUCCCAUGGUGUUGGUACUAUUCAUCUUCUUCCUUCUUUAUCUAUUGACAAUGUUCUUUAUGUUCCUAGGUCUCCUUUUAACUUAUUAUCCAUUAGUCAUCUAACUCGUUCCCUUGAUUAUUUAAUUUCUUUUACCAAAGAUUCUAUUUGUUUACAGGACUGGAGUUUAGGAUGGAUGAUUGGCAUUAGAUGUGAGUCUCAUGGUCUUUACCACCUACGAACAUAUGCACAUGUUAGCACGGUUAUGGACUCCCCAUCUCUCCUUCAUGCUCAGCUAGGUCAUCCUAGUCUUGCCAAGAUGCAACACCUUGUUCCAAGUUUGUCCAAAGUGUCUAGUUUGUCUCGUGAGUCGUGUCAUUUAGCUAAACAAAGUUGCAAUUCUUUUCCUAGUGUCUCACAAUGUGCUUCAUCCCCUUUUUCCUUAGUUCACUACGACAUUUGGGGACCAAGUCGUGUUAAGUCUAAUUUAGGGUUUCAGUAUUUUGUUACUUUUGUUGAUGAUUAUUCAAGAUGUACUUGGUUGUUUUUAAUGAAAUCUUGUUCUAAGUAGUUUUCUAUAUUUCAAUUCGAACCUUAUGCAGUGAUAAUGCUUGUGAGUAUCUUUCUCAUUCUUCUACCACUUUUAUGAAAUCUCAUGGCAUUCUUCAUCAAACCUCAUGUGCAUAUACCCCUCAACAAAAUGGGGUGGUUGAGCGCAAGAAUAAACACUUUGUUGAAAAUACUUGUACUAUGUUAGUUCAUGGUGAUGUUACUCAACUUUUUGAGCUGAUGUUGUUCUUAGUGCAUGUUAUGUAAUUAAUUGUAUGUCAUCUUCGAUUUUAGAGAAUAAAAAUCCUCAUUCUAUUUUAUUUCCUCAUGAACCUCUUCAUCCCUUACCACCUAAAGUUUUUGAGUCUACAUGUUAUGUUCACAGUUUUUUUCCUGGUCCAGAUAAAUUAUUUGCAAGGUCACACAAAUGUGUUUUUUUAGGGUUUACAAGAUCUCUAAAAGGAUAUAAAUGUUUCACUCUCUCUUAACCAUUAUUUCAUUUCUGCAGAUGCCACUUUCAUUUCUUUUAUUUGAAGUCUUUAUCUUCUCCACUUGUGUCUCCAUUUGAACAAGUACAUAUUCCAGUUGUCUUUGAUCCUCCUGUUAUGCCUAGUGUACCUGAAGAUUUUCCUCCUCCACCACCUUUUCAAGUUUAUAAUUGUCAUCAGUCUUCCCAUCGUCCACAUGAUGACUCUCUUCUAGUUUCAGAUCCUGUCUCUUCUGGCUCUGAUAGUUGAACCUAAUAUUCCCAUUACCAUUUGUAAAGGUAUAUGUUCUACCUGUAAUCCCUCUCCACAUUAUAAUGCUUUAAGCUACCAUCGACUAUCUCAACCUUUUUAUACUUGUCUUUCGUCUAUUUUUUCAUGUCCAUUCCAAAGUCUAUAGUUGAUGCCUUAGCUCAUCUUGGUUGGCGUUAGGCCAUGCUUGAUGAAAUUAGUGUGCUUAAGAAUAAUGGAACUCGGGACCUCAUUUCUUUUCCUUUUGGGAAAUCUGUUGUUGGUUGUAGAUGGGUCUUUGCUAUUAAAAUUGGUCCUUAUGGUACUAUUGAUUGUCUCAAAGCUCGUCUUGUGGCUAAAUGUUAUACCCAAAUUUUUGGUUUAGACUAUGGUGAUACUUUUUCUCCAGUAGUAAAGAGGGGUUCAAUUCGCUUAUUCAUAGUCAUGACUGCUCUUUAACAAUGAUCUCUUUAUCAAAUGGAUGCCAAAAGUAUCUUUCUUAAUGGGGAUUUCUAGGAAGAAAUUUAUAUGGAGCAACCGUCCGACUUUGUUGCUUAGGGAGAGUCUUCUAGAUUGGUAUUAGGGAUGACAAAGUGGGGCGGGUCGUACGGGUCGGCCCGCGGCCCACUCAGAAAAACGCGGGGCGGGCUACCUAUUCUAACCCGCUAACCCACUUAGGCCCGACCCGCAUAAACCGCAACCUGCGUGGGUCAAGUGUGAGGCGGGGCAGGUUGUCCCGCAUAACCCACAUAAUUUAAAAAUGUAAAUUUUUUUUUUCUGCAGCCCCAUAUUUUAUUAAUGUAGACUCAUAUUUCACAUUCUAAAUUUUUUAAUAACAUCUUACUACCCUUGUCUCAUGAGAACAAUAUUAUGAGACUAUUUACCUAAUGCAUCUAAAUAAAAAAAGAAUUAAAUUUAUUCAAAAUUUAUAUUUAAAAAAUUAUUUUUUAUUAAUUUUUUUUAAAAUUAGUAUUUCUUUUGCAGGCUGGCCCGCGGGACGGACUAGAAAAAUCAACCUGCAUAUUCCAUGCCGGGCAAACCAACUCGAACUGCAUUUUGUGGACCUAGUGUGGGGCGGGCCUAUGCAGGGCGAGCUAGUCCGCAUUGUCAUCCCUAAUUGGCAUGUCAUCUCCAUAAAUCUUUAUAUGGUCUCAAGCAGUCUCCGAGGUCUUGGUUUGAAAAAUUUAGCAAAAUUGUUCAACAAUUUGGUAUGACACGCAAUGAAAAACAUUCUGUUUUUUAUCGUCACUCGAGUGUUGGGUGUAUCUAUCUUGUAGUAUAUGUUGAUGACGUUGUUCUUACAGGUAGUGAUCAUCAUGGCAUCUCACCGGUGAAACAACACCUUAUCAACACUUUCUGACCAAAGAUCUUGACAAACUCAUAUUUUUUGGAGAUUAAGGUAGCACAAUCAAACAAUGGUAUUGUUACGCUUCCUCGAACUAAAGUGAAGGGUUAAAACAUAAUAAUACUUGGAUUAUUUGUUAUAUCAGCUUAAGGGCCAAGAAAACCAAACAAAAUGUAGGUUCAAAACAGAUACAACCAUUAAAACUGAUGCAGAUAAAAAAUGUACAUACAAUGAAAACUACUCAGAGAACAAGGCCUUAGUUGGCUGGGUAGAAAGGCCAAAUCCAAAUGGGAAGAGGGGAUCAUAGUGAGGAUCUCCAACAUUCAUUGGAAGUUGAUCAACAGAUUUGAACCAUGUUCUUGGAAGCCUUCCUGUGAAACCAUAGUCACCAUAUAAAACAUCAGCCACACCUUGGCCUUCGCUACCUGGAAGCCAUGCAGCAACUAGUGCAUCUAUUAUACCGACAUAUGGUUCAAUCACUAAAGGACGACCAGAAAUUACGAUAACCACACAUUUUGUUACUCCACAGAUGUUUCUUAUGAUCUCAGGGCCAGGGUCUGGGAUAGCCAAGUUCAUGUUGUCACCAUGCGUUUCAGCAUAAGGAUGCUCUCCUAGUACAACAAUGGCAUAGGAAAAUCCAUUGGAUUUAACAAAUUCUGCAUCAGGGUUCUCCUUGUAGACCACUUUGGUUUCAGGAUCAACAGUGUUUUUCACAGCCUUGAGAAUUGUAGUCCCUGGUCAUAUAAGGUUGACAAGAAUAAUAAGAAACAAGAGUUGCAUUAUGUAAUUGAUAGUGAUGAUAUAAUUAAAACAAAACAAAAUACAUAUAUUUUAACCUUCGAGAAGAUUGUUCCCACUGACCCCUUGCCAUCCUAUAGUCCAGCCACCACACUGGUAUCCUAGAUUAUCUGCAUGGCUUCCAGCCACAAGUAUUUUUGGUACCUUUUUAGGAAGAGGUAGUAAAGGCUUAUCAGCAGAUUCACCAUUUUUCAGAAGGACCAUUGAUUUCCUCACAGCUUCUCUAGCCAAAUUUCUGUGCUCCUGUUGAGAAUUUUGGUAAACAUUGAUUAGUUACAAGGUGAUUAUUAAUAGUGAUCCCUAUAUCUAAUUGUGAACUUGGGGAUGUUAAAGGAAGUGCUUGAGGAAAACAAAAUAGUUAACCUGGAUUCCUAAAUAUUUGGCCAAACUGUAAUCGGCAAAAGGGUUCUCAAAAAUACCCAUCAUGAACUUCACCCACAAAAUUCUUCUCACCGCAUCAUCAAUUCGACUCAUGGGAAUGCGGUUAUUUUUCACCAACAUGGAUAGACCAUCUAUGAAUUCUGUGUAAAGCUUUGGAAACAUGAACUGCAAAACCAAGCAUAGUAUGUGACAAUAUUAAACGAAACCAGUUAAGGUUAUAUCAUAUACUUUUGUCCUAAAGAAACUACCAUGUCAAUGCCAGCAGAAACUCCUGCUUCGAUUGAAUAAGUGAUGUUUGCACGAUGUGGAGAUGUGAUCCUAUCAAUACCCUCAAAAUCUGAAAUGACAAAGCCCUGAUGUAAUCCAAGAAAAGACAAUGGGUUAUAUGAAAAAUGUGCACAUAGUAAACAGGUUUCAGCUAAUGUUAAUUCAACAAACAAAUUAUUUUACCUUGAAAUGGAGAGUAUUCUUGAGGAAGGCAGUAAUAAGAUCAUGGUGAGCAUGCAUUUUUACACCAUUCCAACUGGAGUAAGAGACCAUAAUGGUUGCCACUCCUUUACUGAUCGAGGUCAAGUAGGCUGGCAUGUGAAUUUUCAUUAAUCCAUCUCUAUCUAUAACAGUGUCGUGCUCAUUAAUCCCGUCGAUUGUUCCACCGUCACCCACAUAGUGCUUUGCACAACCUAAAACCUUUUCUCUGUCCAGCAAUAUAUGGGUAUUUCAGAAACUAAAUAAUAACUCCAAAAUCAGCAUAUUGCUUUGACCAUGUGGUCUAUUUCAUCCUAGUGACUGGUAUAAACGGAGGGAGUGAAACAAAAUGAAUAGGGGUCUGAAGCAUGGUAACUAAUUCUCUGAAGGCUGAACUUCAUUGUUAGAACAGGAACAGCAUUAGUACAUGGAGAAGAUUUGUAAAUCCGCUUUACAUAUAUUUAUCCAAGACAAAAUGAAUGACUUUUCCUUUGGAUCGUGUAACAAACAAUUCAACAUGAUGAAGAACAAGAAUAUCAACUACCAAGGUUCACAAGUAAUCAUACCAAAAUUAAGUUUUUUUUGUUUGUAAAAUUCUUACUUUCCAGCGAUAAAAGGGACACCCUUUGGUAAAUUAUGAGGGAUGUCCCCUUGCAAUCCUGGUAUGAUUUCGGUCAUAGCUUGAACUAGUUCAGUAUCUUCACCGUAGCUUUCAUAACACCGACCCCAUCUUGGAUCUCUACAGACCUACAGAGAGUAUAAGCUUGUGCAAAACGAUAUCUAUACGUUGAGAGCAUAAAAAGUUGAUUGUAAUUACUCACUGCUAUACAGGGUGCAUAAGCAUAUUGAAUUCCUGUUGCUCUAACUUCAAGGGCAGUUGCAGCUCCAAUUCUCUUAACUAGUUCAGGCUCCCUAACCAGCAAAAUCAAAAUAUCUACAAUUACCUUUUAUAACAAUAAACGUAUUGACAUAAGAAUAGAACAAUUAUCCUGGUAUCAAUAUACCUGGUAGCUCCAAGACCAAUAUUGUGAGGAAAAAUAGUUGCAUUGUGAACAGUAUUGUGGCCAUGAACAGCAUCAACACCAUAAAACAUUGGAAUUCCAAGCCGGGUUGACACAGCACCCUUCUGAAAUUCAUUCACCAUGUCAACCCAGGUUUCAGCAGAUGCCUGUGGAGCCGGAAUACUCCCUCCCUCACUCAUUACACUCCCUACUCAAAACACCAAAAAAAUGGAGUGAGUAUACCACAGAGAAAACAAAAAAUCAAGAAAAGGUAAAGUGGUUACCAAUGAAAUACUUAUUAACCAAAUCAGCAGAUGCAUGCUUGCGCUCAACCUGUAACAUUUGACCAAUUUUCUCCUCGAGAGUCAUCCUGCUAACAAGAUCCUCAACCCGAGUAUCUAUUGGCUGGUUAGGGUCCUUGUACUUCAUUUGAUCUACACUCAACAACCCUGCCCAGUUAAGUAGUAAACAAAGCCCCACCAACAACAUAGAGAUUUUAGCCAUUCCAUCCAGAUCAUGGUAAGUACUAAGAUAAAUUCAACAGGAUAUGUAAAACUCAGUCUCCAUAAAAACUAAGUCCUCUUAGCAAAUAACUUAAAUGCGCCAUAUUAACCCUUCAACAAUGAAAAAGGCAAUCUCUAGCACAGAAAAUAUGUGGUGCUCACUAAGUAAAGAACGGCGGCAAUUAGUACACUGAGCCUCAGAGUCAAAGCCUUAUAUAUAGAACGAGCAGCAUGUACAAGAGAAAAUAUUGUAUGGCUAAGUUAACAGAGAAACAUUACCUCUUGUGUGUAUGGAGGAUUCUCUCAGAUGAUGUUUGUCACUGCAGAAAAUGAAGCAUCAUCCGGAACUGUGAAUGGUGACAUAUGUGAAAACAGGGAAAAAGGAGUCACAUGAAAUCAAUAAUAAAAAAAUGUUUGGUUUGGCUGCAUGAUUGGUUCUACGGCCAAUUAUAAUAUACGUGAUGGUGAGAUGUAGCAUGGGAGGGAGUUUCAUAAAUAUUUUAAGCUUAAAGUCAUUAUUCAAAUAUAUUUUAGAAAUAUAUGUAAGAACUAAAACAAGGUAAAGUGAUUUUAGACAAACAUUUGUAUGCUGGAAUGUGUAUUAAAAAAAAACUUUAUGUUGAAGUAAUUUUGAUCAUUUUUACAUCAAAUAAAAAAAAUAUACUUAGGUAUGUUUUUUUUUUUAAUCAGCAAAAAAUAAAUAAAAUUUAUGUAACUCUUCAAGUGUCACAAUCCUUAUAAAAGAACCAACGCUCUUCCCUAAUAAUAACAUAGCAUGAUACGCAUAAUACAGGUUUGCUUCCCUAAUCCUAAAUAGACAUGAGCUUCAAAACUGAGAAUACCUGACAAAAAACCAACAAAACUACACCUUCAAGUCAUGCACACCAUCUGCUCUUGAAAAACCUGUGAUAGCAGACAAAAAAAGACCUAACCUGCACCUACUAAAAGGGUACAUCACACCACACUGCAGAUCUUUAGAAUAAAAAUAUUUAAACAUAGAUUAUGUCAAUUUAAAAAUUAUUCUUAACUGAAAACUAAUUGUAAAAAUGAUCCCAUUCAAUUUUGACACCUUUUAUAAAAGAGAAAAUCUUUGAACAGAUAGCCCCACGUGACAUGGGAUUCUGAAAAAAAAAAUAUGCACGUGAGCAUGAAAGUGUACAAGCAUCUAAUAAUAUUAACUCAGAGUAUUUAUUGAAAUACAUCGUGGAAAUUAUGACAUAUUUAUGGUAAAUUUGGAUUUUUUUUCUCACCUUAGUUAAUGUGAAUUCCGACAUAUGGAAGGGAGGAAAAGAAAAACUGAGAGAUAGUUUUUAAUAAAUUAAAGUUAAUUUAUAUGUGAAAUAAAAGUUAUUUUUUACAUAAAUUAAUAGAAGAAGGAUUUUAUAAAUUUCCUUAUAAAAAGUUUUUUUUUACUUAAAGUAUUUAUAAAAAUGUUUAUUGAAGUAUAUUUGUGAUAUCAAUAACGAAUUUAAACACGCGAGUUUACAAUAUUAUUAUAAAAUUAAUAUAUUCAUUUCAAUAGUUAAAAUGACAUAUAAUGAAAAUGUGUAGAUGUGAACUUAGGCUGUGUUAUAAUCCAUUUAAUCCGCAAUAGAUUGGGGGUUUUAAAUAAGUAAUCUUGUUGAUGUGAAAUCGUUUUAAAACUAUUACUUCUAUUAAGAAAACAAAUCUGUCAUUAAUAAAAAACACUUUGGACUCAGUUUUUCUUUCUCAUUAUUACUAACAUACCCAUUUCUAUUACAUUAAUAUUGAGAUUGUAUCUACUACAUUGAGUAUUUUAAUAUAUGAUGAGUAAGAAACAAUGAAGAUAAAGUUUAACAUUUCCUUGACUGUUUCAAUGAAUAUAAUAUUAAUUAUAAUAUUGAUGUCAAUGCAUCAAUAAUUUUUAUCGUCUGUUCCAUAUCAACAAUCAUUGUCUGUUCCAUAUCAACAAUCAUCAUUAUGCCACUAACUGGAGCGUCUAGUAGCAUUUUUGUAUCAAAUUUGAAGUCAUUACGAAAGAUACUCAAUUUUACAAUGUCUUUAAACCUAUGAUUUUUGCAUUUUCUUAGCAUCACUUUCAAUCUCUCUCAUGUUUCACAAAAGGCUUCAUUUGAUCCUUGUCUGAACAUAGAAAUAUUAUACUUUUCUUUGAUGUAGCGGGAUGGUGGAAAAAAUCUUUGUAAAAAUAUUUCCUCUACAUCUUUCCAAUUGAUGAAACUCUGAUUUGGAUGUGAUUUAAGCCAUUUUUUAGCUUUUCCUGCCAAUGAGAAAGGAAACAAGCAUAGAAAAACAAUUUCAAUAUCACCUAAUUGAAAGCUUAUUGUUCCCACCAAUUCAUAGAACAUAACAAAUGUGUAUAUGGAUCCUCAUCGUCCAUUUCUGUAAAUUAAUGGGUACUGAUCAAACUAAAAAAUGCAGGUUUCAUCUCCAAGGCCUUAGUGGUAUCAGGUAUUGCAAUAUUAGAAAAAAAAUCUUUGGUCAUUGCUGCAUAGCAUAAUCUCCAAGUGUUCUUCUAGGUUGUGGUGGUUGCUAUAGUGUUUUUUUUUAUGAAAAAUUUCAAUGGGAAUGGGAGAAGUAGUUGAGGAUUCUUCUUUAAUAUCUCUUUGUUUUCUUUUCUCUUCUUAACUUGUUCUUUCAAGCUAUGUUUUCAAUCUAUAAUUGGAAUUAGUAUCUAGAAACUUGUCCUCUUAAUAUCAUAUAAGACAACUCUCUCAAGGAUUAGCACACAUUACAAGAAAAUCAUGAAAUAGAAACCAAUUUUAGAGACAAAAAAUAAUUAGUUGCUAUAGUGACUAAAUUAGAGACCAUUUUAGAGACUAAAAUAAUUUUUGGUUUCUAAAUUAUUUUCUAUUAUUGUUAAAUAGUUUCUAAAUUGGUAUCUAAUUAGCUACCAAGGUUUUAACUACCAAUUGUUUAGAUUCUAAAUUUGGUAGCAAAAAUCUUGGUAAUUAAUUAGAUACCAAUUUAGAAACUAUUUAACAAUAAUAGAAACUAAUUUAGAAACAAAAGUUUUUUUUUUAGUUUCUAAAAUAGUCUCUAAUUUAGUCAUUAUAGCAACUAAUUAUUUUUUGUCUCUAAAACUAGUUUAUAAUUCAUUAUUUUCUUGUAGUGACAAGGAGUAACUAGGAAAUAAAAAAAUUCAAAAUUACAAAAUUUAACACAAAUAUGAAAAUAAAAUAAAAUAUAAUAAAACAUAAUAAACAAUUAAUAAAAUAUUCACAAUAUUUAGGAAUUUGUACUCUAAAAUUAAAAUAAUUCUGCGACAACGGCGCCAAUUUUGUUGAUUUGGAUACUAGUUUUUUAUGUAAACUAUUUUUCCAGAGGUCUCAUGCGACACAAUUUCUUAGGGAGUUUUGAUACUUUAUUUCAUAAGUCACUCAUUUUGUUGUUGAAUAUUGCUCCCCAAUGAUAAUUUUUUAAGUAGUUUAUUUUUUUUCAUUUGGUUAUUUAUUACUUUCCCUUUUAUGAAUUUGGUUUGUUAUUCAGGACCUUCAAAUAUGUAUGUUUUUUAUUGUUUCAUUAUUGAUUAUAGUGUCUUUUAUAAUUAUAUAUUUUUUUCUUUUAUUUUACAAUUAUAAACAUUCAAAAUCAUUAACUUAAAAUUAUUUAUUUCAGGCAUCAGAUACUCGAAGUGGUGCUCCAUCACCUAAUCAAGUAAUAAUAGGAUCAAGUGUAGGAAGCAAAACUGAUUAGGGAUGAGCAAUGUGUGUUUUAAUUUUAAAUUAUGUACCAACUUUUAAACAAUUAUGUGUGUUUUAAUUGUAAGUUAUGUAUCAACUUUUGCAUAAUUAUUUGUGUUUUGAUUUUCAAUUAUAAACUUUUGAACAUUAUUAUGUGUGUUUUAAUUUUCAAUGCAAUGAAUGGAUGCUUAUAACUUUAUACAUUAUUUCAUUUUAUUAGUAUUUUUUUUUUUUAUUAUGAAAAUAUAUUAUGUUUAGUUUAAUUGUGCAAACCAGAUUAUAAAAAAUGGUGGUUAAAUUUCAUUUAUUUAGAAUUAAAAUUACCUCAGUUGAAACCGAUGUAUUAUUUUUACAAUUUGAUUAUAAUACUGAAAUUUUUUUCAAUGAAUUAAAUUCCGACAAUUAUAACCGACAUUAUUUACAUAUAUAAACUGUCACUUUAAACAUAGUGUUAAAGUGACGGGUGUUGCGGCGGGUAGCGUAAAACCGCCACAUUAAACUUUGUGGCAGCUAAUUGUAUGGCGGUUUGGAAAACCGCCACACGCGUAUAUUGUGGCAGUUAUAAACGCCAGUUUAUACGAAAAUAACUAUCACAUUAUACACGAUUUUUUGUAGUGAAACUUGAUGACUAUUUUACGAUAAGUGUACCAUGUCAAAAGUAAUAAAUUGUUCCUAAGAACGAAUAUCAAACCCACAUGGAACAGUUAAUUUCUCAAGUACAAUAUUCACUAAACAUAAAACAAUAUGUAAAAGUUUGUUGAAAUGUUUUGUGUAUGAUGAAUUUGUAAGAAAUCAAAUAAAACAAAGUAAAUGAUUUGGAUGAUUUAGUUGGGAAAAUUGGGAUUGGGGUUCAUCCUUCUCACUCGUUAUGUAUUUUUCAAAAAAUAUAUAAUAUUUCAUCAUGAUUGAUAUUGGUGCACAUAUAAAAAUCCUUCAUAUCGAUUCUUCACCUACUUAUAAAAAUUUCUUAUCAUUAUGAACAAAUGUUAUAACGCAAUUAACAUUUUAAAUAUAUUCCUAGCAUUUAAAUAUGUUAAACAUUAUCCAAUCAAAUCUAAGGAUCAAAAUCAUGAAUAGUUCAAGCUUUGAAAAUAAAAUGACAAUACCAAUCAUCAAUCAAGAACAAAAUAUUAUAGAUCAAUAUCAUCUCAAUACAUAAGAGUUUGAACUUAUUACUCCCAAUCCCAAAGGGAAUAAUUAACCACUCAUGUUGUUCAUUACAAGCAUGGAAACAAGAAAAGAAGAUUCAAGAUGUUUCUCUUUUAUGAUUGCCUCCUCUAAGGUUUUCUAUCUCUCUCUAUUCUCCCAUUGAUGUCUAGGGUUAUGCUCUCUUCUUCUAUUUAACCUAAUUAGGCUUGGGCUAAGUGACAUCUCGCUUAAGUGAGUUAUUACUUUCUUAAGCAAGUUUGACGAGAAAAAGUCCAACUUUACUGGAGUGAACUCGCUUGGGCGAGCCUUGGGUGAGUCUUGGACUCUCUUUUCAUCUUGUAUAUUCUUUUUUAGCCCUUUUAUCUCCAUUUCUCCCUAGAAUCCUGAAAUUAACACAAAUUUGGGAAUAAAUUGUUCACAUUCAUCUUAUAAUAAAAAAUAUGUAGAGGGUUCAAUUUCCUAAAUUAGGGAUUGAAUUAUAACUAUGUUAUCAAUUAAAAUCCAUAAGUAUCUAUCUUUUUAUAUGAAAUAUUAAUGAAUUAUGAUACUUAUUAGUUACUUCCUUUUCCAUUUUUCAAUAACUUGGCAAGUCUUUUAAAAACUUUAAGUACAUCACUUUUUGUAGCUAAGAACAAAUUUCCUUGUAUAUCUUAAAAAAUCAUCAACGAUCACUAUGGCAUAAUAAUUAACACCAAGACUCGUAAUUCUUGAAGGAACAAAUGAAUCAAUAUGUAGAAGCUCCAAUAGUCUUAAAGUAGAAAAAAUAUUUUUCAUAUUAAAGGAGACUUUUAUAAUUUCCUUUUUUACAAUUUUCACAUUUUUUUCUUUUUCAAGCGCUUAGGUUUUGGCAAGCCAAUUACUAAAUCUUUAGAAAUCAAAUUUCUUAUAAGAUGUAUCUGAAUGUGUGCAGCUCUCCUAUGCCAAAGCAAAAAAUCUUAUUUUUUUUAUUAGGCAUGUUAGAUUCUUGAUUAUUUUACCAAUUAGAUUUUUUUAUUAGUUUUAGAAUCACAAAACAAGUAAUGGUUUGGUUCAAAUAUAAUCUUCUAUCCUUUAUCAUAGAGUUGAUUUAUUCUUAGCAGAUUAUGUGAUGGAAGAGUGCCUUCAUCCGAAUUGCAAUUUCUUGGAGUAGUGGCGGAAGCUUCAAUGGAUGAGAAUGAGCAAGGAACUCACGUAGAGUUGUGAACUCCUUGAAGGUGCAUGUUAGGUGUGGAGAGUGAGUGGUGAGGCCACCUCACUUGGCAAUGGUGAAGAAUGAAGAUUAAAAUGUCUAUCCCAGAGAGGUAGGAGACAAGGGGCAAAAUUGGCACAAUUUUGAUAGAAAUUUGCUCUAGAAUAAUCUUGCUAUUUCAUGAGCCAAGCACCUCCUUUUAUAGAAAAGGAGGGCUGAAAUUUGAAGAGCCAAAUACAAAUGAAAUGAAAGCUAAAUUCAAAUGUAAAGUUUUUGAAGUUGGCGCCUAAAAGAGAAGCACAUGGGAGGUGUGAUUAGCAUUUCUUAUUCCCUCCUCCAUGGGCCUUCUCAUGACCGACCUAGAUUAAAUUAGGUGUUUUUAGAAACCCUAAUUUAAUCUAGGUUGGUAAUCAGGUGCCAAAAUUAUCUCUAAGAAAAUUACAAGUAUGUUUCUGUACCGCCCUGGUAGUCAGAAGUGAUGACGUGGCACCAAGCUACAGUAUAGGCGUGUUGAUGAGACGCCAGGUUGGCAGAAGGGAAGGAGGUCGGGGGGCUCGUGAAGUCGCCAGUUAUUAUGUUGGCGUGCUCCGAUCUCCAGCACACCAGAAUUGUCGUGCUGGUGAAGAAGAGUAAUGAGAAAUGGCGCAUGUGCGUCGAUUUCACUGAUUUGAAUAAGGCCUGCCCAAAGGAUUCAUAUCCUUUACCAAGCAUAGACGUCCUGGUGGAUAGUGUUGCAGGGUGUAAGUUGUUGAGCUUCCUGGAUGCCUUCUCAGGGUAUAAUCAGAUCAAGAUGCAUCCCAUGGAUGAAGAGAAGACUGCCUUCAUGACCGAGAGAUCGUGCUACUGCUACAAGGUGAUGCCGUUUGGGCUGAAGAACGCGGGAGCCACGUACCAGAGGUUGAUGGAUCGAGUACUUGCACCGAUGCUGGGAAGGAAUGUGCAAGCGUACGUCGAUGACAUGGUCGUGACCUCGCCAGAAAAAAGCAAGCACGUUGCAGACUUGGAGGAAUUGUUCACGACGAUCGCCAAGUUCAAGUUGAAGCUGAAUCUAGAGAAAUGCAUCUUUGGCGUGGAGGCUGGAAAGUUUUUGGGUUUCCUCUUAACCGAAAGAGGAAUAGAGGCCAACCCGGAUAAGUGUGCCGCCAUCUUGGCAAUGAGGAGCCCAGCUACCGUGAAGGAAGUGCAACAACUAACAGGUCGGAUGGCCGCCCUGUCUCGCUUCGUGUCAGCUAGCGGAGAGAAGGGCCAUCCCUACUUCCAGUGCCUAAGACGCAAUAACAAGUUUGCUUGGACGAAGGAGUGCGAGGAAGCCUUCGUCAAGCUGAAAGAGUAUCUGGCGAGCCCGCCGGUUUUGUGUAAACCGCUGGUGGGAACCCCUCUCAGGUUGUAUUUUGCUGUAACUGAGAGGGCGGUGAGUGUGGUGCUCGCCCAGGACCAAGAUCAGGCUCAAAAGCCUAUUUAUUUUGUUAGUAAGGUGCUGCAGGGCCCCGAAACGAGGUAUCAGGCCCUGGAAAAGGCUGCGCUGGCUGUGGUAUUUUCGGCGAGGAGGUUGCGCCACUAUUUCCAUAGCUUCACGAUACUGGUGAUGACCGACCUGCCCAUCCAGAAGGUCUUGAAGAAGCCUGACGUUGCGGGAAGGAUGGUGAAGUGGGCAGUAGAGUUGUCAGAGUUUGAUAUUAAGUAUGAGCCCCGAGGCCCGAUUAAGGGGCAAAUCUUCGCAGAUUUCGUGGUCGAGCUCUCAUCUGAGGCGACACGAGUUGAAGGGGACGAUUUCCGUUGGGUGCUCUCGGUGGAUGGAUCGUCGAACCAGCAGGGUAACGGCGCUGGAGUCAUUUUGGAAGGACCCAACGGCGUGCUGAUCGAACAAUCUUUGAGGUUUGCCUUCAAAGCCAGUAACAAUCAAGCAGAAUAUAAGGCGUUGAUCGCCGGGAUUUUGCUGGCCAAAGAGAUGGGAGCCAGGGUGUUGAUGGCUAAGAGAGACUCGCUGCUAGUCACGGGGCAAGUAACAGGCGAGUUCCAGGCUAAAGAUCCACAAUGGCCGGCUUACCUGGAGUAUGUGCAGGAAUUGAAGAGUUCCUUUGCCUCCUUUGAAGUGGUGCAUGUGCCCAGAGAGCAGAAUGCCCGAGCUGACUUGCUAGCUAAGCUCGCCAGUUCAGGCAAGGGCGGUAGGCAGAGGACGGUGAUUCAAGAAACUCUGAAGACGCCGAGAGCAUUUGUAGCAGAUCACCUGGUUCUUCAGAUAAGCAAGUCGACGCAGAAAGCAGCGAGAAGUCAUAAGUCCCUGACGCAAGAGACUUUGAGAUCGCCGAGAAUUAGAGCAUGUCGAGGAGAGAAGGUGAACAUGACGCAGGUCUACGCUAUCCAUGAGCCAGACACCUGGAUAACACAGUACAAGCGGUGCCUGGCAGAUGGCCUUCUCCCACUGGAUCCGACAGAGGCUAGGAAGGUAAAGAAAAAUUCUAGCAAGUACACAAUGAUCGAUGGCGAGUUGUACAGGUUUGGGUUCACUCACCCACUCCUGGAAUGUGUGUAUGGCGAGAAAUGCACGAGGAUUAUGGCAGAGCUCCAUGAAGGGAUAUGCGGAAGCCACGUCGGGGGUCGAGCUCUGGCCGCAAGGACUCUCCGUGCAGGCUACUACUGGCCAACGAUGAGAGAAAACUGCAAGAGGUAUGCGCAGUGUUGCAAACAAUGCCAACAGCACGCCAAUUGGCACAAGGCGCCUCCCGAGGAGUUGAAGUCGAUUUACAGCCCUUGGCCGUUUCAUACUUGGGGAAUCGACAUCCUGGGACCAUUCCCGCUGGCGAUCAGGCAGAUGAAGUACUUGGUGGUGGCGAUUGAGUAUUUCACCAAAUGGAUCGAAGCAGAACCAGUGGCCCAGAUCACCGCACACAAGAUCGAAGGUUUUGUAUGGAAGAACAUUGUGUGCCGGUUUGGUGUGCCCAAGCGCCUGGUGUCAGACAAUGGGACUCAGUUUGCAAGUCACCUGUUGAAGAAGCUGUGCGAAGGGGUGGGAAUUCAAGAAGUGUUUGCAUCCGUCGAGCACCCUCAGACAAAUGGCCAAGUAGAGUCAGCGAAUCGGGUGUUGCUAAGAGGUUUGAAGAGAAGGCUAGAGAAAGCCAAAGGAAGCUGGGCUGAGGAGGUACCCCGUAUAGUCUGGGCGUACCACACCACCGAACAGUCAGGAACCCAUGAGACCCCGUUCAGCUUGGUCUAUGGGUGUGAUGCAAUGAUUCCAGUAGAAAUCCAGGAGAGCUCGCCGAGAUUCCAAAACUUCGUAGAGGAAGACUCGAACGAGGAAAGAAGGUUGAACCUAGAUCUACUGGAUGAGGUCAGGGAAGAGGCGAGAUUGAAAGCUGAGGCAGUGAAGAGAAGGAUUGAACGAAGAUAUAACUCGAAGGUGAUGCCAAGACAGUUUAGAGAAGGCGACCUGGUGAUGAGGAAAGCCCACCAGUACGAGAUGGAGAAUAAGCUGUCACCUAAGUGGACGGGACCGUUCAGAAUAAUCGAGGCGCUCGGGAACGGCGCCUACCGCUUAGAGACGUUGGAAGGAGGGGCGAUUCCUCGCACUUGGAACGCCACUCACCUCAAGUUAUAUUACAGUUAAGAGCUUUGUAAGUAAAGACAAACGCGAAGUUAUAUUACAAUGUCUCUGUUAAAACAGUUUGAAGGGGGCACUCUUUUUUCCCUAAGGAGGGUUUUUAAUGAGGCCACCCAAUAAAAGAAGAGUUUUCGAAGUUCAAAGUUGUUUUAGAUUGCAUGCUUGUUGUUUUCAGAAAGUUUUGAAGGAAGACCUUGUCACUUAUAUGUGACUUAAGGCAAGUAAAGAUAUAUUGCAUGCUUUCUAAAAAGUUUUAAGGCCUCAUCGUCUUUCGACGAUCGGAGGCAUCAGUUAAAGUUAAAGUCCUCAUCGUCUUUCGGCGAUCGGAGACACCAGUUAAAAGACCUCAACGCCCUCGCGCGUCCUGAGGCGAGAUAAAGACCUCCUCGCCGUCGAGCGAGUGCAGGCGAGGAAGAGUGAAAAGUCCUCAGUGUUUCUGGGGGCGAGAAGAUGUAACCCCUGGGGCAAUGUAGAGGCACCAGUGAAAAGUCCUCAGUGCUUCUGGGGGCGAGAAGAUGUAACCCCUGGGGCAAUGUAGAGGCACCAGCUAAAGUCCUCAGUGUUUCUGGGGGAGAGGAGAUGUAACCCCUGGGGCAAUGAAGAGGCACGAUUUAAAGACCUUCUCGUCUAUGAGCGAGUUCAGGCGAGUUAAAAGACCUUGUCGCCAAUGAGCGAGUUCAGGCAAGAUAAAAUCCUUCUCGUCUCGAACGAGUUCAGGUAUGGUGCGAAGGGUGGAAGAAGUUUGGGGGGUGGCUAAGGUAGGUUCGAAGAGAACACCUAGUCACCUGGUCUUUUGUUCUGAAGUUCAGGAAGGUAGAGAAGGAUCCGAAAGGUGCCUCUACCCCCAGAUGAAGGAACAAUGGCCAAGUUGUGAAGGCAGAAAGAAACUGAUACCGCCAAGAGUCUUUGGCGACCAGGAAAAGUUCAUGCAGCGGCAAGAAAGUUAAAGACCCGUUUUGAUGAAGCAGGUCGGGUUAGCGGUGUCUUAAGCCGUUAGUUGAGUUAAAGUUCGUUGCUUGAAGAGUGAUUUUACGCUAAGGUUCAUUACCUUGAGAUUACAAGUUGUUAGAGCGUUAUUGUCCGAAGAUCGGUGGUUCGAAACAGUUAAGUACACGAUUGCGCUUACGAAAUUACUAAGUUAUUUCUUGAAGCAAUUUGUGCAAGGAAAGUUAAAGCAACCAAAGAAGUUAUAAGAGGAAAUACAAAGACUUUGUCAUUAAAGUAAAUAUCAGUUCAGGGCACACGUACAGAAAAAUAGAAAGUUUUAUUACAAUUAUAUGCAAAGGGAAAGCAUAAAGGUAGUGGACGGAGGGAAUCGAUCAGUCUUCAGCGGGAACAACCUUCCCAUCCACCACCUCGUUGUUAAGGGACACCAUGCUGAGAUCUAGAUCGGGGAACAAGCAGGCGAACUGUUCCCGUGCGGCCUCGAAUCCAACAGCCAGAAUUUGGGCAGAACUCAGAUUAAGUUCUUCAAUCUGUUUCUUGAGUUCUUCAGUUUGUUCCUUUAGCCCUUUGUUCUGCUGCUCCAGCUCUUCAGCUUGCUUCUUAAGUUUUUCGAUGGUUUCCUGAGCUUGGAGAAGGUCUUCAACAACCUUCUUGGAUUCUGCCUGCACCUGGCCCAAUUCAGCAGCGAUCUUCCUAUUUUCUUUGUUGGCUUCAGCAAGCUUCGCCAUGGUGUUGUCCCUUUCUUUUUCCACCGUCCCCAGGAAGACCUCCCGAUUGGCUGACCUUUGCUCCAGUUUCUUCACCUUGGCGGCGUCAGUUUUGAUCAAGGCCUCCAGGUCAGCCACUUUCACGCGAUAAGGCACCAGCUUGUUCUCUAGCUCAAUCUUCUCUUGAGCCAAGAGUUGUACCUUAUGGCGGAGAUCGGUGGCCUCCUUGCGCGCCACCCGGAGCUCGGUGCUCAUUGCAUCUUCUACUCGGGAGUGUUCAAUCUCGGCGAGUGUCAGAUUGCAGGAUAACUUCUCCGCCUCGAUCCUUAUAGUGCUAUUCUCAGUUCGGAGGGCGUAGAGGUCAUCCUGGAGCUUCCUGGUGGAGCUCUCCACAACUCUAGAGAUAAUGGUGGGGAAGUCCUCUGCCAUCAUCUUCAGUUUGGCAGAGAAAGGCUCCCACAUCCUCUUGACCUCAAGAGAGAGGUCUGCUUGUGGAGGCACCGGGUGGGCCUGUUGUUGGUUUUCGCCGCCACCUUCUUGAGUUGGUUGCUCAGCAGGUGCUUCUUGGCGUGGUGGCGACGUCGGGGAUUCAGUAAUCAGAAUUGGCGAGUUGUGGGCAACCUCAUCCCCGAUUGGAGCAACGUUUGCGGUUGAGGCAUUUGAAGGAGGACCCCCUCCAACUGAUACAAAAGGCGUGGAGGCGCUUGGGGGGUCCUCCAUGAAGUUUGGCUCGGGGGCCUCAACCAUAGGUGGCGCAGACGCCAAUGGAAUUGCUUGGACUGGUGAGGCGGGAGCUGGUGGAAGAGGCAAUGUUGGAGGCGGGGCAGGUGUAGAUGGUGGCGUUGAUGUUGGAAGGGGGGGUGGAGCGGAUGGUGAAGAAGGUGCCACCCUCUUCCUCUUCGUGACGAGGCCAUCUUUAGUUACCUCGUCGUCUUCCUCUUCCUCCUCAUGGACUACUUGGGGGGCUUUCCUCUUGGGUUUCCUGAGGACAAGCUUUUUGCGUUGGUUGGCGGGUUGGGCCUCAGAGGAAGUUGGGCCUCUGGGUGGCGAUCUGCCUUGAGCAGCGGCGAUCUCCACCACAGAGUUUGGCACGGUUUGGGAACCCGAUGCCAACCUGUGGGUUCAGGCGAGCGCCCUCAGUUCAGCGAGCUUGCCCCGGCCCAACAUAUUAUCUGCAUAGAGCAAAAAUGCAUGGGUUAGCUCAGAAAGAAAAUAAAUGCAUAAGGCAGUAUGCAGCAAAGCAGAUAAGUAGUGCAGAAAAAUAAAACCAAAGUCUUGCGCACAACGCACAAGACGCCCAGAAACAGUUAACGGAGGGAAUAUCAAAAAUAAAACUUAGACGUCGAGGUGAGUUCUAACCUAUACGAAUUUCAAGUUGAUCUUCGAAGAACUCGAAGCAGAUGAGCGUGGUGGUGAGGAAGGUNNNNNNNNNNNNNNNNNNNNNNNNNNNNNNNNNNNNNNNNNNNNNNNNNNNNNNNNNNNNNNNNNNNNNNNNNNNNNNNNNNNNNNNNNNNNNNNNNNNNNNNNNNNNNNNNNNNNNNNNNNNNNNNNNNNNNNNNNNNNNNNNNNNNNNNNNNNNNNNNNNNNNNNNNNNNNNNNNNNNNNNNNNNNNNNNNNNNNNNNNNNNNNNNNNNNNNNNCUUUUAUUUUCUACCACUUGCCACCCACAAACUGAUGGUCAAACCGAGGUGGUGAAUAGAACUUUGGGACAACUAUUGAGAUGCUUUAUUUCGGGGAAUCCUAGAGUGUGGGAGAAUUUACUACCCCAUGUUGAGUUUGUAUAUAACCGAGUAGUAAAUUCUACCACCUCCCAUUCUCCUUUUGAGGUGGUCUAUGGGUUUAAUCCCCUAACACCUGUGCUCCUUAUGGAAUGAUUGGUGAGGCUCAUCUCCUUUCGUCAGUCGCAGAACUGCCCCAGCAGAGUUUACAGAAGAUGUUUCCCUCAACAAAGUCGAGGUGGCCCAUGGGUACAGUUUUUUGAAGUCUGGGAGGGGAACAGAGGCUCCUCCGGCGACAGGGGGAGUGGCCUGAGCCAAGUUGGGGCGGGAGGGUGCAGGCCUCUCAGCCUGAGAAGACGAAGCACCACGUGCUCGCGGUGGGACGUGUGCUUGUGAGGAGGGGUUUCGUGAUGAAGGAGGAGGAUUUGGGGUGAUCUUUGGGCGAGUCAUUGCGGAAGCUGCAGAGGAAAAAGAAAAGGAAAAAUGAUCAGGGUUCGCAGAGGCUAACUCGAUCAUGAAAGAAGGGUGAAAAACGAACGAACGUAGGUUCGUUGUGACGUUGACGGAGCCCUAAGUUACGAGAAAGGAGAAAUGGAAAAAAACAACCCACAACGUAUGCACCAGACAGUUAAAGGAUGAUGCGAAUCGGUUAAAAUGCAGGAAAAACCAGCAGAAGAAGGAAAGGAAGUACCUUUUUAUGAUCAGAAAGGUGAUGAAGGAUGUUGGUGAUUCAGGAGGUUGAAGAACAUUGAGAGCUUUUUUGCAGAAGGGGGUUGGAGCGUGUGAGAAUACGAAGAAAGUGAUGGAACAGUGGAGUGAAAUGGGUUUUAGAGUUUUUCGAAAUGGGUUUAGGAAGCGCAAACGUUAACUGAAGGUAACCGUUGAUGAAGCCACGUGUCGAACGAUGGGAGGGGUGUUUGGUGGAGCGUCAGAGAAGCAGAAAGUACAACCGCUUGGAAUUCUGCGUCAGUGCCACGUAGAUCGGUGUUGACGUGACUCUUUCAGUCUUUUCGCUGGACAAGUCUUCGCUUAAGACUGGGUGGCUUGUGUACCGCCGUGGUAGUCGGAAGUGAUGACGUGGCACCAAGCUACAGUAUAGGCGUGUUGAUGAGACGCCAGGUUGGCAGAAGGGAAGGAGGUCGGGGGGCUCGUGAAGUCGCCAGUUAUUAUGUUGGCGUGCUCCGAUCUCCAGCACACCAGAACCGGCGGUCACCGGGUUAAAGAUGAAGUCGCCAGAUGUAAACUCAGGCGACCAAGUGAUUAGAGAUCGCCGGAGCAAGCACAUCGCCGAAGAUGAAGGUGGUGCAGAUUAUGAAGGCGGUCGGCGAGACCACAGGGAAGGUGUACGAAGGCUCCCUAACUCGCCAAUCCCAGUAGAGAUCGCGCUCCAAGUUAGCUAUGCACUGGGCAGUACCAUGCAUAAGUAACUUAGCCAAAAGAGAGUCAGAAGCAGCGCCCAAGUCAAGGAGGCUCCAGAUGAUGGCACGUGUACGGUUGGAUGCAAGCCACGUGUCCAGAUGCGUAACUGCCAGGAGAGAGAAAGUGACCAGGUAUAAAAGGGUUUCCCAACGAACUUCUGAGGUACGCACGUUCAGAUUGUAUUCUUUACGCUUGCGAGUUCUUGAGCAUACUGUGAGAGAGAACAUUGCACGGUUCCUUGAGAGUUCUUGAGUGUUUGCUCUUGAAGUAUUUGGUGGUUCAGUCACUGACUUGGGCGUUGGAGUGCGAUCGGCCGCAGCACCGCCGCUCUGUUCUUUUGCAGGUUCUUGAGGUGGAUCGCGACGAAAGACGGAGGUUGAAGCGGUGCACACGUCGAUCCAAGUUUGACGAGGCAAGUUCCAACGUUCUGGUCAACAGGCAGGAUCAGUUUCCUAAGCUAAUUUUAACACAAAAAUAAAUUCUACUCUACACUAGAGUUAUGACAUUUUAAACAUGUACAAGAAGGUUUCCCUACCAUCAGUAACCGUAUUCCAAUCUUCUAGAUUCUUCUUGGCCAUGGCUCUGAUGGUAGGCCCGGAUCUUCUCUUUGUUGGGCUUGCACUUGUUCUAGGGCCUCUUCCAUCAUUUCCUCCCUCUUGAAAAGGAUUUGUCCUCAAAUCCAAUGCUUUUACUUCUUCUUCAUUACUUCCUACAAAAGGCAUUAGGUCCAUAACAUUAAAAGUAUUAUGAGCUCCAUAUUCUUCAGGUAAAUCAAGAAUGUAUGCAUUGUUGUUAAUUUUUUUUAGGACUUAGAAGGGUCCAUCACCUCGGGGACUAAGUUUGGACUUCCUCUAAGUUGGAAAUCUAUCUUUCCUAAGAUGAAGCCAAACUAAAUCUCCUUCUUCAAAGACUAUCUCUCUCUUCCCCUUAUUGUUAUGUUUUGUAUAUUUCUCUGUUUGUUGUUGUAUUUGUUCUUUAAUCCUCUCAUGCAUUUUCUUAACAAAUUCAGCUUUUGUUAGUCCUUCCUUAUGCACAAAUUCUUGUGGAUUAGGAAGUGGCAACAAGUCUAAAGGAGUAAGAGGAUUAAAUCCAUAAACAACCUCAAAUGGAGAAAUAUUAGUAGUUUUAUGAACUACUCUAUUGUAUGCAAACUCAAUAUGGGGAAGAUACUCAUCCCAAGAUCUAUGGUUGCCUUUCAUGACUGCCCUAAGCAUAGUACCAAGAGAUCGAUUUACAACUUCGAUUUUUCCAUUCGUUUGAGGAUGACAAGAAGUUGAAAAUUUCAAUUUGGUUUCAAGUCUUGCCCAAAGGGUUCUCCAAAAAUGACUUAUAAAUUUUGGAUCUCUAUCGAACACUAUGCUUCUUGGUAGACCAUGAAGUCUUACCACAUCUCUAAAGAAGAGUCUAGAGGUAUUAUUUGCAUCAUCCACUUUGUGGCAUGGAAUAAAAUGUGACAUUUUGCUAAACCGAUCCACAACCACAAAAAUGGAAUCAAAACCUUUUGUCAUCCUAGGAAGUCCUAGAAUAAAAUCCAUGUUAAUGUCUUCCCACGGAGCACUUGCAAAAGGUAAAAGAGUAUAUAGUCCAUGAGACAUUGUUUUAGAUUUAGCUUUUAAACAUGAUAUGCAUCUAAAGCAAUGUCUCUGAACGUCUCUUCUCAUAUGUGGCCAAAAGAAUUUUCCUUUUAAAAGCUCUAGAGUUUUGUCAACUCCAAAAUGGCCCAUGAGACCUCCUUCAUGAGAUUCUUUUACAAGAAGUUUUCUAUGUGUUCCUUGGGGUAUGCAUAGUUUUCCUUCUUUAAAAAGAUACCCCUCAGACACAUAAAACCCUAAUUGUGCUCUAUGUUCACAUUUAACAAAGAUGGAUGCAAAAUCAUGAUCUUCUUUGUAAAGUUCUAUUAUGUUUUCAAAUCCAAGAAUUUGGGCUCGAAGUUUUGAAAAUAGGGCAUGUCUCCUUGAAAGAGCAUCAACCACAAUGUUUGAACUGCCCUUAUUGUAUAUGAUAACAUAAGGGAACUGUUCAAGAAAUUCCAUCCAUUUUGCAUGACGUUUAUUCAACUUAUGUUGACCUUUCAAAUACUUUAAAGACUCAUGAUCAAUAUGAAUGACAAAUUCUUUAAGGCCCUCACAAGUGCAUAUAGCUCCUUAUCAUAGGUUGGGUAGUUGAGGGUGGCACCAUGAAUUUUUUCACUAAAAUAAGCAAUUGGGUGUCCACCUUGCAACAACACUGCUCCUAUGCCUACUCCCGACAUCACACUUUAGCUCAAAAGUUUUUGCAAAAUUUGGUAAAGCUAGAAUGGAUGCAUUAGUGACUUGAGCUUUUAGCCUUUUGAAGGCUUGAUCUUGCUACUCGGUCCAACAAAAUGGAGCGUCUUUCUUCACUAACACAUUGAGUGGUGAAGCUAGACUUGAGAAGUUAGGCACAAAUCUCCAAUAAAAACUUGUUAAUCCAUGAAAACUCCUAACCUCUCUUACAUUUUGUGGAAUUGGUCAUUCUUGGAUGGCUUUGAUUUUUUCAGGGUCAACAUAUACCCCAUUUUUGUUAACUAUAAAUCCUAAAAAUACUACACUAUCAACACAAAAAGUACAUUUAUCUCUAUUAGCAAACAAACUAUUAUUCCUAAGCACUAGGAGAACAUCCCUAAGGUGACUUAGGUGAGAUUCUAGGCUUUGGCUAUAUACUAAUAUAUCAUCAAAAUAAACUACUACAUAUUUUCCUAUACAAUCCCUUAAGACAUGAUUUAUUAGCUUCAUGAAAGUGCUAGGUGCAUUAGUAAGCCCAAAAGGCAUUACUAACCACUCAUAUAGUUCAAAUUUGGUUUUAAAAGCGGUUUUCCACUCAUCACCUUCUUUAAUUCUAAUUUGGUGAUAUCCACUUUUAAGAUCAAUUUUAGAAAAUAUGGUGGACCCAUGCAAUUCAUCAGGCAUGUCAUCUAGUCUUGGAAUCACCACACAUUUUUCAAAACAAUGUGCUUCAAUUUAAUUCAAAUAAGUUGCCCAGAUUUUAUUCAGAUUGACUUAUCAGAAAACAAGAACAGUAUGAACAGACCAAAAUGAACAGAUUCAAAUUUAAUUGAACAGGUUUAUUUUUUGACAGAUCACCAAACAAAGCAGUAAAUGAGUGUAGAGAUUAAGAAAGAUUGAACACCAUAAGAUUAUACUGGUUCACUCAAAUGAGCUACAUCCAGUCUCACAUUUACCAAGGUGAAAUCCACUAAAAAUAGUGCACACCAAUUACAACACCUAAUGUUCUUGAACCCUACAAGAACAAGGCACACCUAGCUAAAAAAACUCUAUUUCAGCACACACAACUCUUUAAGAAACCCUAUCAAGAGGAGUCUUACAAUCACUCUUUACAAAGAAACAAAUGAUGAAAGGAAUACACCUGGAAAGAGAAUGCAGAAAUCCUACAAGACCAGUAGAACAAAUUGCCCAAAGCAAUGACAACACCUUCGAUCAAACUUAGAACAAAAACAAGAACAAGCACACCUUUCUCUUUUGAAAAACUCUUUCAAGAUCACGUGCUAAUCUUCUGAAAACUCUCAAUCUCUAUUUUAAACUCGUUUUCUCAACACACUUUUUAGUGAGUUAUAACUCUCUUUAUAUAAGAAAUGAUUUAUAAUAGAAUAUCAAAAAACAGUUUAAAAAGCUAUUAUAAAAAGAACAGAUAGAAGUUAUAAUGAAUAGAUUUAUUUUCAAAAAGAUAAAGAGAGACUUUUAAAGAAGAAGGCAUCAGUUUAAAAAAGAAUAUAUUCAUUUAAGAAAGAAGAGAUUCAUUUUUUGUGCAGUAAAGCAUAUUUUGGGAAAACAUGAGAAAAAACAUUUUAGAAAACGUUGUGCUUGAUCUUAUCACCUUGAUAAAGAUUAAAAGGUGGGUCACCAGGCAAAAAGCUCACUUUAAACACACUCUAACCUAUAUACAACACUAUCCAAUUACAAGUACAAUCUUCAAAGCAGAACACACACAUUUCUUCAUCAAACACAUUGACUGGAAGGAGCAACAACCAUCUUCAACAGUGGACUCCUUGAAGGUGCAUGUUAGGUGUGGAGAGUGAGUGGUGAGGCCAUCUCACUUCGCAAAGGUGAAGAAUGAAGAUUAAAGUGUCUAUCCUAUAGAGGUAGGAGACAAGGAGAAAAAUUGGCACAAUUUUGGUAGCAAUUUGCUCUAGAAUAAUUUUGUAUUUCAUGAGCCAAACACCUCCUUUUAUAGCAAGGGAGGGUUGGAAUUUGAAGAGUCAAAUACAAAUGAAAUGAAAGCUAAAUUCAAAUGUAAAGCUUUUGAAGUUGGCGCCUAAAAGAGAAGCACAUGGGAGGUGUGAUUAGCGUUUCUUAUUCCCUUCUGAUGACCGGCCUAGAUUAAAUUAGGUGUUUUUAGAAACUCUAAUUUAAUCUAGGUUGGUAAUUAGGUGCCAAAAUUAUCUCUAAGAAAAUUACAAGUAAAAUUCAUGAGCUAAUUUUAACACAAAAAUAAAUUCUACUAUACACUAGAGUUAUGACAUUUUAAACAUGUACAAGAAGGUUUCCUUGCCAUCAGUAGCAGUAUUUCAAUCUUCUUGAUUCUUCUUGGGCAUGGCUAUAGUGGUAGGCCCGGAUCUUCUCUUUGUUGGGCUUGCAUUUGGGCUUGUCCUUGGGCCUCUUCCAUCAUUAUGUUUAAGUUUAUCCACAUUAAGAACAUUCUCUAUAAAAAUAAAAUAAGCAUUAACAACAUUCACACUUCUGUUAAAGAGAAGUCCAAUGAUAAGUGUCAUAUUUCAGUAAUAUUUCAUAUUAAAAUAUAGAUACUUGUGGAUAUUAAUUGAGAAAAUAAAUAUAAUAUAACCCCCUAAUUUUGGAUAUUAAAGAGAAGUCCAAUGAUAAGUAUCAUAUUUCAGUAAUAUUUCAUAUUAAAAUACAGAUACUUGUGGAUAUUAAUUUAGAAAAUAAUUGUAAUAUAACCCUUAAUUUAAGAAUUUAAUCCUUUUUUACAUGUUUUGUGAUUAUAAUUUGAAUUAGAACGAAUUAUUCCCAAAUUUGUGUUAAUUUUAGGAUUCUAGGAAAGAAUGGAGAUGAAAGGGCAAAAGGAGAAUAUACAAAGCUAAAAGGGAAAGCUGGAACGCACCAACACUCACCCAAGCUUGCCCAAACUCGCCUAAGCAAGACACCCCUAGAGGAUCUCGCCCAAGUGAGAUCACUCUGGUAAUGUUGGGCCUUUUUUCGUGCAACUCGCCUAAUAACGCACUAGCGAGAAGUCACUUAGCCCAAGCCCAACUAGGUUAAAUAUGAGGUUUGAGGCACAACCUAGAGAUCAUUGAGUGGAUUGGAAUCCAAUUGGGAGAAUUGAAUGUGUUAGAAAUCCUAGAGGAGGCAAUCAUCAACGACAAACAUCUUGGAUCUUCUUUUCUUGCUAUCCAUGCUUGUAAUAGCCAACAUGGGUGGUUAAUUCUACCCUUUGGGAUUGGGAGUAAUAUGUUCAAACUCUUGUGUAUUGAGGUGAUAUUUAAAUAUAAUAUUUUGUUCUUGAAUGAUGAUUGGUAUUGUCAUUUUAUUUGUAAUGCUUCUUUCUAUGAUCUAGAUCCUUAGAUUUCACUAGAAAGUACUUCUAAGUUUCUGACCCAAAUGAUAAUGCUUAACAUAAUUGAAUGCUAGGAAUAGAUUUGAAAUGUUAAUUGCUAUCAACGUCUAAUUUUAAUGAUAAGAAAUUUUUAUAAAUAUGCGAGGAAUCGAUAUUUAGGAGACUCUCUAAAUAAUUUUAUAUGCGAUGAAUCAAUAUAAAUGACUUUUAUACGGGCAUCAACAUCAAUCAAAGGAUAGAAUAUUAUCAUGCUAAUCAAAAUACAAAAGAGUAAGAAGGAUGAACCCCAAUCCCAAAUUUCCCAAUUGACCCUACAAACUCUUUGACUUGUUUUCUUUUUAAUCGUUCUAAUCAUAACAAACUCCCAACAAACUUUAUUAUUUUGUUUUCUAUUUAGUGAAUCCUUUUACUUGAUUAUUCAAUUGUUCCUUGUGGGUUCUAUAUCCGUCCUUAGGGAAAAAUUAUUACUUCUGACAACACGGUGCACUUGUCGUAAAUCAGUCAUCAUCUAACACCCUACAAUUUUGAUUAAAUGCUAAAAAUAGCUAAGUAUGAAAACUGAUUAUGUUUCCUUUGAAAUACGAUGGUUUAAUGCAUAACAGAUCAUGAAAAACGCAAUGAUUUUAUUUGAUAGACGAUACAACAUUAUAUAGUCUUAGUUUAUGUAUGAUAAAAUACAAAUGUUCUCAGACAAUAAAGCACGUAAAGGUGAACUAACCUCUUACUGAAAUGAAAACACAAAAGGAAAUUCUAUGUUGCAAGGAAUGUCUACUUCUUUCGUCUAAUAAUGAGAUUUGUUAGACAAAGGAGAAAGUCACAUCAAAAGGAUCUCUUGAACAAAGAACUAAAUUUGUUUUUCUUCACCAAAUCCCUCCAAGCAUUGUCAACUCUAGAAGGAUUGUAUACUUCAUAUGACACUACAAAUUGAAGACAAAUCCAAAAAGUUCACACUUCCUAAGAAGGAGUACAUCAAUCGUUUGGGAUAUUGCAUAAAGGAGAAAGAAGCAUUUACUGGUGCAUAGGGUGCAUUAAAUGCAUCCAUCUUUCUCAAGCUAAUUAGACGAAGAAUUACAUUCAAAAGAAUUGAAGUUACUAAACAGCCAGAAAUGGAUUCACAAUGGUUACUUUCUUCUAAGCUCAUAUAAAGCAAAUCAAGAAGAAGAAGAAAGUGUGAGACAAUGCUAUAUUUUGAAAAAACUCUACGAAAUUUUCUAGGCCAACAAAAGCAUCAAGAUGAACAUUGUUACUUUUCAAACCAACAAAGUAGAUGAGAGAGUUUUAGUUCAUACACGUCAACAGAUGAUCAUCCCCUCUAAUAAGCAAUUCAGUGAUCCUUUUAUCAUUAUUUAUAUCAUCUAGUCAUCUUAGCCAAUUGUGGUUGUUUGGUAAAGAAUACUCAGAUUAUUAGUUAAGAGUGAUUGUUUUUUAAAGAAUACUUAAAUUAUUAGCCAGGGGUGAUUUUAUUCAAAGAAUACUCACUAAGGCAGAAAUGGCUUAGUAAAAGAAUACUUGAAUGGGGCCAAUCAUGAGUGGUUGAGAACUGAAAGAAUACUCAAUGGAGCUAGGAGUGGCUUGGAAAAAAAUACUUGGUUGGUCCAGGAGUGGUUGGGGAAAGAAUACUUGGUUAAGACAGGAGUGACUUGAGAAAGAAUACUUGGUUAAGACAAGAGUGACUUGGUAAAAAUGUACUUAAGGGGCUAACCAAGGCAAUACAAGGCUUGGAAAAAAAAUACUUGGUUGGUCCAAGACCGGUUGGGGAAAGAAUACUUGGUUAAGAUAGGAGUGACUUGAGAAAGAAUACUUGGUUAAGACAAGAGUGACUUGGUAAAAGUGUACUUAAGGGGCUAACCAAGGCAAUACAGUUUCCUCUGCGGUGCACAUCCAUAAGAACCCUAAAAUAGCAGAACAAGAGUUCAAGAGCGUGAGAAACAUAAAAGAAAGAAGAAUCAUGGAGUGUAGUAAAAUGAGGUUGGUGGAGUAAGGAAUUGAAUCACUUAUAAACUUCGAAAAGGAUGUCGAAAUCUUGAGAUGUGAUGUGGUGAUAGUUGGUGGAUAGCGGAAAAAAUGGUGAGCCAUGAAGAAGAUUUAGUGGCAAAAUUAUAAUAGGGUUUAGAUAAAAGAAAUUGUACUUGGAAAUAAAACGUUGUAUAAGGCGAGAUGAGUUUUUUUUUUCUUUGGAAAAUAAUAUACAAGAGGAAACGAAAAAUUUAAUUAAUUAUUUUAAUUAGAAAUAGAAGAAAGGGAAUAAGAAACAUAAGAUAAAAAAAAAUAGAAUAUGUUCCUGCUAGGGAGAUGUGACCUAGAGAACUAUUGAAGUCUUCGUCUUCCUCCUUCGGUCCGGCAGGUUGCUAGGGCUUCACUGGGAUCCUUCUCGCCUUUGUGUUACUCCUUCGGCUCUCAGUCUCGGGUGAAUGCCAAAUGGGGGAGGUACCUGCAGAAGGCACUCCGAUGCUCAAGUCAGUAAAGGGUGUUCGGUAUUCGGGUAAGUGUACAGUAAUAAUGACGUACCAUGCUCCUUGAAAUGUGUGCUAUUUAUAUUAUGUUAAUGGGCUUACCUCAUUGGGCCUGAUUAGUGGAAUGGAUCACACUUAUGGUUGUAUUACCUAAUUCUUAAUGGUAGUUUAACUUCAUUGACCUUGGUUUGAGCGUUAAUGGUUAUAUGUCUGGUCGGCUUGGCCGUGUGUGGUGUCUCGGCCAGCUCGGUCAAGGAGACCGAGUCGCGUCAGCGUGUGUCUCGGUCAGGCAGGCCAAGCCACGUCAGCGUGUCGGUCGGCCAUACCAAUACAGUUGCCCCCUAGGCUCAAAGAUGGACACAUCCGAUGAGUAUUUAAUGAUGGGUGUCGGUCGACCUCCCUUGGGUGCGUGACUGUUGGACUUCCCGAGGUGUGAUGUGACCUCAGGCGGCGUGACGUGACCCGCAUUAAUGAGGGAAUUUUUUUUGCGGUAGACGUUGUGGACCGUUGGAUUUGGAAGAUCUAACGAUUGAGAUCGUUUUGAGGUUUCGUAUUCCGAGGUCCUUGGGCCCUAUAAAUAGUGGUCCCAACAGUGUCGAGACACUAUGCUUUCUUUUUGUGAGUUGUCUGUUGUUAACAGUUGGUCUUAUUUCUUAUCUUUCUAACACUUGUGAUUUUUUUGCAGAGAUCAUGCUGCAAGAGUCACCUGCUGGUGCUGACGUCCUCGACGCCUACAGGAAAUGGGCCGUCGAGCGCAAGGGGUGUCAGAGCAUUGACGCUCUGCCAACCACAAAGGGAUCGAAUGCCCGAGGUGACAAGGGCUUGGUCGGCCCUUCCCACAAGUCCAAGAAGAGGGUCAGGGAUGGUGGUAACAUUGCCACCACUACUCGUUCCCCUGGGUGUCGAUACCGCCACCACGUUGGGACACGAUCAAGGUGGACUCACCCUCACCGAGGCACGUGGAGCAGGCGGUUACAUCUCCUGAGGCCGACCACGUAAUGGAAGUCUCGAUAUCACCCUUCGCCCACCUAGGGGGGUGACUUGCAGUUUGCACGAAGGGUGCACGUAGCUCUUCCCGAGGACACUCGGGAGCUGAUCUGAGGCGUCCCUUCCUAGGAGUUGCUGAGGGGCGGCCUUGAGAUGUUGUGUCUCUCGGUCGUGCUGAUCCAGCUGGGCGUCCAGGAGAAGGAGUGCCAUGCUGAGGAGAUAUCUCGGUUGGACCAUCAACUAGCCGAGACGAUCGGCCAACUACAACAGUCUUUGGCUGCCAACUCCGAUUUUUCCAAGAGGUUGGAUUCUGAGGUGGUCGAGAGGGAGAAGGCUUAGGAGGAGGCUGAGAACGCCAAUCUGAAGAGAAUGGUCGAGGAGAGAGAUUAGAAACUCUCGUCCUCGGCCACUGAUUGGCCACCCUCAAAGUUGCCAAGGACAAGGUCGAGGAAGAGCUCGAUCGCAACUUCAACCAAACCGAUGAGUUGCUGAAGUAGAGCUUCCUUCGGGCUGUCCGCUAGGCCCACGUGCUCUAUGGGAGGCUACCGGCCUCUGGUGCUUUUGACCUCGACCACGAGGUAUACAAGGGUCGGCUGAUGCCCAGUGCCAAGGCGAGUGCUUUGGCGGCGCAGGAGGCUGGGUCGACCGAAGGCGAAAAGGGCGAAGUUCAUGAAGGCAAUCAAGAUUAGAUUUGCCUUCGGCCGGGCUGUGGCCUUUUUGAUUUGAUGUUUCUCUCUCCUCCGAGGUCGGGGUGUGGCCUCCCUGUUUUGCUAUCAAUGUAUCGCCCUUUUCUUCUUUAUUGUGUUCUCAGUCUCCUUGAAUUUGAGGAAGAAACAAUUUCACAAGUUAAAAAUGUCGGUCUCUAUUUGAUUAGGGAGUCGGCAUUUAAUGCGAAACCUGAAUUAGAACAAGUUGAAUUGGUUGUCGGCCUUUAAUUGUGAAUGCUUAAUCGAACGAAUUGAAUGGGCAGUCGACCAUUAAUUUUGAUUUCUUAAUCAAACAAAUUGAAUGGGCGGUCAGCCAUUAAUGACAUUGUUUAAUCGGUCGGCCACUAUCGGCUAUUAAUCGUGCAUUCAUUGAUUUUUAUGUUACUUGUGUCAAGUUACAAGGGUAACUUGGGUGUGUUGAUCGGUCUCGGCAGGGUAUGUCGGUUAAGGCUACAUCCAGACCAAGCCAAGUGAGAGGUGUUGGCAGGGUAUGCCGGUUAAGGCUUCAUCCAGACCAAACCUAGUUGAUCGGUCUCGACAGGGUAUAUACCGGUUAAGGCUGUUAGAAUAUAUGCCCUUAAACGAGAGGGGGGUGAAUUGUUUAAGAGGGGUUUUUGAAACUUUUUAAGCUUUAACAAAAUUCUUUGUAUGAAUCCAGAACAGAAAUCAGGUUAGCCAAGAACAAGAUUAAUAAAACAGCAAAGCAGCAGAAAAACAAUCGGUUGUUUCUGCGAAACAAUCGGUUGUUUAUACCAGUAAAAAUUAAAAACAGAAUGUAAACGAGUUUAAGGGUAAGAGAAAGAUACACCAACAGUUUAUACUGGUUCACUCUUAAACCAAGAGCUACAUUCAGUCCCCAGAAAACAACUGGGUAAUCCACUAAGUAAUCAAAUCAGAUUACAACACACAAUCCACCAAAGCAGUGACCUUGAACCCUUCAAGAAACACACUCACUUUGGCAAUUCACACACCAAGAGUAUUGAUCUUGACCACCUCAAGAGCAAACACUCCUUGGCAACAAUACACCGGAAAUACAAAAGGUUGAGAAGAGAUUACACUCGUUUACAGAACAAUCUGAAAUCAAUACAAAUGCAAUCCUAUUCCACUCUCUUAGAAAACCCAAAGCUUUGAUGUGAAUGUUCAAAUCUUGAAUCAACUCUUUCACAACUGAAAAACUCAAAUAUGUUUUCUUACCUCGAUUACAUAUAAAACUACCCAGAUCCCUCCCAAAACACAACAGCAACACAACCUUGCAUUAAGCACAAAGGGUUUGGAUUCUUCAAAGCACAAUUUGAAUUCUUCAAAGCACUUGAUCACUCUUGAUCAACAAUCUCCCCCUAUUUGAUGAAGACAAAUCCCUGGUUGUUUGUGUUGGACUUUGUUUGAAUCUGAAGCAGCACCUGCAAAGCAAAACUUAUGCAAACUAGAGCAUCUUUAACAGCAGGUUAGAAUAGCACAUUAACUAGUUUUCUGCAUAAACCUUAGAGAAAAACCAAGCAUAAACAGCAAGCCAAAAGCAAAUUCUAAACAUCAGCAGCAACAGCAGAAUAAUAAACAUUCAAGCAAAUAGAGUUUGGCAGAGUUUAAGAACAACACAAAAACCAAAUAAUCUCCCCCUAUUUGUCUUCACAAAUAGACUUUAGGAAGAGAGAAAACAAAAUUGUUCCAGAUAAAACAAAAUAUAGAAAGAAAGAGCAACAAAGCCUUGACAGAUUGAAAAAACAAUCGGUUGUUUCGAGAGAUCAACCGGUUGUUUUUCUUCAGUCUUCCUUUCCAUAUUGUAGCUCAAAAAUCUGAUUCUGAACAGCUUCAAUCUGUUCAUUAAGGGUUUGAAAGCGAAUGUCCAUACUCUGGAAUCUGUGGUCAAAAUUCUAAAAGUUUGAGACACAAAGAUCAUGAAGAUUCCUUUGAUUUUCCACAAAGCCAUCAAGCCUAUCCACCAUGUAUCUUUCACAGGAAGACAUUGAAGGAGUCCCAUCUCCUUGAUGUCCAGCACUUGUCCCAGUACCAAAGUUAGUUGCAGGUUGUUCUGCAUCUUGAACAUUCAUAUCAACACCUUCUUGAUCUUCGUCAUCAUUUUCAGCUUGAGCAGCACUUGAGGAACCACCAUGUUCACCAUCCUUCCUUACCCAUCUUCCAUUGAUCUUGGUAAAACCCAUCUUGCUUAGUGAACCAUUGUUCACUUCAAGUGUUGAUUUCACCAACUCAGAUGUUUCAUCCUCAAGAUUCACUUCAAAAUAGAGUAAAAACUUAGAAAUCAAGACAGCAUAAGGAUAAUGGUAAUCACUUAACCUCAUUGACUUUUGCAUAUGCUCCUUGAUGAUAUGAAUCCAAUUGAUCUUGACUUUGUUCAUGAUGCAAUAGAUAUAGACAAGAUCUUCCUCAAUUAAAACAGAAUGGUUGCUUCCUCUAGGUGUUAAAAUCCAUGUAACAAUGAGAGCUAACAACCUUUCAUUUAACUUCAAACCUCCAACAUAACAAGUUCUUAUUUGAGUUUGAGGAUUUUUCAAACAGCUUUUGUAGUACUGAACUUUGUUUAAAUUUUCCACAACACCAAUAUUUCCUUUAUUGAUUCUCAGCCCAUCAUAUUUCAAACAAGUUACAGCAGCCCAUACAUCAUGGGUAAUCUCCAUAUCUACCCCCUUAACAUGAGAAACAAGAGUAUUGAUCUUGACCACCUCAAGAGCACACAACACUCAUUGGCAACACAACACCAGAAAUACAGAAGGUUGAGAAGAGAUUACACUCGUUUACAGAACAAUCUGAAAUCAAUACAAAUGCAAUCCUAUUCCACUCUCUUAGAAAACCCAAAGCUUUGAUGUGAAUGUUCAAAUACUGAAUCAACUCUUUCACAACUGAAAAACUCAAAUUUGUUUUCUUACUUGUUUGAAAACAUAAACAAAAUAUUUAUAUUUUCCAAAGAUUGGUCAAAGCAUUUAAUGAAGGAGCGUAUUCAGUUGGAAAUCAUUUAAAUCUCAUUCAACCAUCAAAACAUAAUUCUGUUAGGAUUUUCAAAGAAAUAAUUGGUUGAAACUACGAAACAACCGAUUGUUUGGUUUGGCACUUAAGUCAACCAAACUUAAACAAUUUUCAACCUUUUCAAAAACUCCUAAUAGUAAAACAACCGCUUGAUUCGACAAAACAGCAGGUUGUUUUUCACUUAGUUUGAAAAACACUUUAUUUUAAAAAGGAUUUAAAACACAUCAACUUUAGAUUCAACAAAGGAGUGGAUUACAUAUAAAACUACCCAGAUCCCCCCCAAAACACAACAACAACAAAACCUUGCAUCAAGCACAAAGGUUUUGGAUUCUUCAAAGCACAAUUUGAAUUCUUCAAAGCACUUUAUCACUCUUGAUCAACAAAGGCUUCAUCCAGACCAAACCUAGUUGAUCGGUCUCGACAGGGUAUGUCGGUUAAGGCUUCAUCCAGACCAAACCUAGUUGAUCGGUCUCAGCAGGGUAUGGCAGUUAAGGCUACAUCCAAACCAAGUCGGGGAUUUGCAUGAGAACAAUGCUAGUACUUUGAGAAAAAUGCCUCGUCAAAACCUCCCCGAUGGGGUGAGGAACGAGUGCGUGACUUUAUUUAUUCAACUGUAAUAAAAUUUGAGGUGCGUGGCAUUCCACGUCCUUGGUACAAUUUUGCCCGAGAGCCAUUCAAGGUGAUAAGCUCCCCCCUUUGCGACUUCUUGGACUCGGAAAGGCCCCUCCCAGUUGGACGAGAACUUCCCUUCGUUUUUUCUCACAUCACUGCGCAUCCUCCAGACGAGGUCUCCCUUCUGGAAGCUCCUUGGUCAAACUUUUGUGUUGUACCGCCUUGACGCCCGAAGCUUGCACACGAUCUCUCGAAUCUUGCUCUUGUCGCGAAGCUCACUUACCAAAUCGAGGUUGAAUCAUAGUAGUACUAUGUUCUUCAUCCAGGAGUGGUACUCGCUUCAGCUCUUCCCGCGCUUCUAGUCUUUCCUCAGUCACCCGGGGGUCUAGGUCUACCAACGCGACUAUUUGCUCGACUGACAUCGGUCGGGCUUCCUGGGGUGAGCGGUCCUUUCAGAAGAAUUUCCUCUUGGGAGAGAUGUUGUUCCUCAAAGGCUCCACCUGAAGGCUUUCGGCAUAGCACUCUCGUGCCUCCUUCUAGUCCACGUGGACCGUAUAUCCCCCUUCUUCGAAUGGAACUUCAUUGUCAGGUGAGGAGUCGAUACGAUGGUCAUCAGUCGGUUGAUGGACGGUCGGCCGAGGAGGAUGUUGUAGGAGGUAUUGUUCUUCUCCUGACCGAAGGUGGUGUAGAGCUCAAUGUAGCCCUUGGUACCCACCCUCUCACCUGAGAAACCGACUACAUGGUCGUCGUAAGGCACCACCUAGGCCUCGAGUAUCAUCAUGGCUUUAAACGUUUUCCAGUAGAGGAUGAGAUGGAGAAGUGCCUUCAUGAUUGGAGUUUUUGUUGGUGGAAAUGGCGGAAGCACAAUGGAUGUCUACGAUCAAGGCCCUCCUAAGAGGUGUGGUGGCCUUGGAGGUUCAUGCUAGGUAGGGAUUGAGAGUGGUGAGGCCAUCUCUCUUUGGUAGUGUGGAAUUUGAAGAUCAAUAGUCUAACCUUGAGAGGUUUUUGACAAGAAGUGAAAUUGGCUCAAAUUUGGCAGCAAUUCACUAGUAUAUUAAUCUUGUGAAAACAUGAGCCAAGCCACUCCUUAUAUAGCAAGUGAGGGUUGGUUUACAUACAAGCAAAAUGAGGGAAAUUCAAACUUACACUAAUUGAAAUUGGCCCCUAAAAUGGGAGAACAUGGCAUGUUCAAGGAUCUAGAAUGUGCAAGGAUUCUAGAACUUGCGCUCCAAUUGGGCUUGCUUUGGACCGGCCUAGGUUUAAUUAGAAGUUUAGGAAACUCUAAUUAAACCUAGGUUGGUAUUUUAGGUACCAAUCUUCAUUUUAACAAAAAUUACAAAAGAAAUUUCCUAUGCUAAUUUUGACAAGAAUUUAAAUGCUACCUUACACAGAGUCUAUGGCGUCUUGAACAUGUAUAAGAAGGUUUCUCUACCACCAGUAGCAGUAUUCCAGUCUUCUUGAAGCUUCUUAGUCAUGGCUCUAGUGGUUGGCCCAAUUCUACUGAACUCCCUUGGUCCACAAGGGUCUUCCUGAUGGUGAAUCGGUCUAUAUUGAUUGAUAUCACCAUGGGGUCGUCCUGGUGGUAAUCCACCCUUUAAAGUCUUCAUCUGUGAAGGUGAUGGGUGGCAUCCUCGGUCGGAAUGUCACCGCAUUCACCUGGUACACCGCUCGCAGGUGUUUCUUUCGGGCAUUGUUGGUGCUCCCUCCUCCGGCGAAGCCGCCGGCUAUGGUGUUGAUAACCUCUCGGUUACCUCCUCUUUCGGCUUCCCUGGGAGGAUCGUCCUUGCGGGGAGGGUCGUCUCUUCGAGACUGGCGGUCAUCCCUGCGGUCUCGGUCGUCUCGGCCUCGUGGAGGUGAUCUCGUCUUCUUGGAGGGUUCCUCUCUACGAAGUGAGCAUCUUGUGUCUCGGUCAUUCCUGACGAAUCGGCGCAAGUGCCCAGCCUGGAUGAGUUCCUCAAUCUUGUCCUUCAAAUCCUGGCAUUCCUCAGUGGAGUGCCCGUUGUUUAGGUGAUACCGACACUGCUUCCUUCGGUCAACAUUGUUUGGGCUAGCCACCUUUCUGGGAGGAGGGAUCAACUCGGCGUUGAGUGCCUCAUCCAGAAUUCUUCCUCUCUCGAUUGUCAGGGGUGUGUAAGGACCUGCCGACAACAUUGGUCGGUCUAGUGGAUGGUCCUCCCUCCAUCAGCUUCUUCUUCAUUUCUUCAUUCUCCCUUUGGAGUGUUUGCCUCUCUUUCUCAUUCUGAUGGACAACUUCCUCUGUCCUCCUCUUCAUCUUGGCCAUCUCUCUCUGGAGAGACAGCAACAGCAUUUCCUGGUCGGCAUUAGUCAUCCUUUUCAUGCUUUUGGUUGAGACCAUCUACUUUCUCUCUUCAGCUAGUUUCUCUUGACCCCACGGUGGGCGCCAAUUGUUCCUGCUAGGGAGAUGGGACCUAGAGAACUAUUGAAGUCUUCGUCUUCCUCCUUUGAUCGGGAAGGUUGCUAGGGCUUCACUAGGAUCCUUAUCACCUUCGUGUUACUCCUUCGGCUCUCCGUCUCGGGUGAAUGCCAAAUGAGGGAGGUACCUGUAGAAGGCACUCCGACGCUCAAGUCAGUAAAGGGUGUUCGGUAUUCGGGUAGGUGUACAGUAAUAAUGACAUAUCUUGCUCCUUGGAAUGUGUGUUAUUUAUAUUAUUUUAUUGGGCUUAUCUCAUUGGGCCUGAUUAGUGGAAUGGAUCACACUUAUGGUUGUAUUACCUAAUUCUUAAUAGUAAUUUAGCUUCACUAACCUUGGUUUGAGCAUUAAUGGUUAUAUGUUUCGGUCGGCCUAGCCGUGUGUGGUGUCUCGACCAGCUCGGUCAAGGAGACCGAACUGCGUCAGCGUGUGUCUCGGUCAACUCGGUCAGACAAGUCGAGCCACAUCAACGUGUCGAUCGACCAUACCAAUACAUAAUAUAGUUAUUAGAUUAAGUAUCACAAUUAUAAAAUUAUCAUAUUAUACCGAUAAUUAGGAUAGGUCUUUAAAUUGUCAUAUUAAAACAAUUAUUUUUUUUAAAAAACUACUAAAUUAUACAAUAAAUAGUGGUAAUUUUAUGUAAGAUUUGUACUUUUUAAUAUCAUAUUUAAUUUACUUUUUAAUAAGAUUUGUACUUUUUAAUUAAGUGGGUAUAUGAUAUUUUGCUAGUAACAUAUGAGUAUGAUGAUAGAUUUUCAUUUCUGGUGUAUUUACCCUUAAAUAUGAAUCAAUGUGUGGAGAAUAACAUGGUUGUGGAACAAAUACAAAAAUUGUUUUGUUUUCUCCUCAAUGCUCUUCUCCUUCUUCUUCUCUCUCUCUAGAUAAUACUUUUCCUUUUUAAAAUAUACCCAUCACCAUUCCUACCUUUUUAAAGACUCUUUAUUGUUUUUAUUUUUUACAUAAAAAUAUAUAUACAAAUGAAGAUGAGAACUAGGCAGAGUAAAACCCCUUAGUGGGUUGGGUAGAAAGGCCAAAUCCAAAUGGGAAGAGGGGAUCAUAGUGAGGAUCUCCAACAUUCAUUGGAAGCUGAUCAACAGAUUUGAACCAUGUUCUUGGAAGCUUUCCUGUGAAACCAUACUCACCAUAUAAAACAUCAGCCACACCUUGGCCUUCGCUACCUGGAAGCCAUCCAGCAACAAGUGCAUCUAUGAUACCAACAUAUGGUUCAAUCACUAAAGGACGACCAGAAAUUAUUAUAACCACACAUUUUAUUGCCCCACAGACAUUUGUUAUGGUCUCAGGACCAAAGUCUGAGAUUGUCAAGUUCAUGUUGUCCCCAUGCAUUUCAGCAUAAGGAUGCUCUCCUACUACAACAAUGGCAUAGGAAAAUCCAUUGGAUUUAACAAAUUCUGCAUCAGGGUUCUUCUUGUAGACCACUUUGGUUUCAGGAUCAACAGUGUUUUUCACAGCAUUGAGAAUUGUAGUCCCUGGUCAUACAAAGGUUGACAAGAAUAAUAAGAAACAAUAGUUGCAUUAUGUAAUUGAUAGUGAUGAUAUAAUUAAAAAAAGAACAAAAUACAUAUAUUUUAACCUUUGAGAAGAUUGUUCCCAUUGACCCCUUGCCAUUCUAUAGUCCAGCCACCACACUGAUAUCCUAGAUUAUCUGCAUGGCUUCCAGCCACAAGUAUUUUUGGUACCUUUUUCGGAAGAGGCAAUAAAGGCUUAUCGGCAGAUUCACCAUUUUUCACAAGGACCAUUGAUUUCCUCACCGCUUCUCUAGCCAAAUUUCUGUGCUCCUGUUGAGAAUUUUGGUAAAUAUUGAUUAGUUACAAGGUGAUCCCUAUAUCUAAUUGUGAACUUGGGAUGUUAAAGGAAGUGCUUGAGGAAAACAAAAUAGUUAAC
rnacentral:lncRNA from 1 species